rnacentral:lncRNA from 1 species
GUUGAUGCACAUUGUUUUUUUUGCCACCUAUUGCAUUGAUUGAAUGAAGGCUAUCAUGUAAUUUAAUUAGUUGUUUUGCAAUAUUAUGUCCAUUGAUUUAUGUUUCUCUAUGGGAUUCAUGUGUAUCCAGCUCUGAAUGAAGCACUAACGGGUGAGGUCCAGCGGCUGAAACUUGCAACCGGUGAGAUUACGGAUGCUCGUAUGUCGAAGGCGGGCCUACAGCAGCAGAUGAACUCCCAGCUGAUUCAAAUGCAGCAGCUGCAAAUACAGCAGCAGCAACAGCAGCAGUCAUCACAGACGCAGCAGGCUCAGCAACAACACCAGCAGCAGCAGCAGUCGCAGCAAUCAGCAUAGACCAAGUUACAAAGAACCUGGAUCUCUGUAGCAGAGGAGAAACGCGAAUCUAGACAAGCAUGAUGAGUUGAAGGAUGGUGAUCGUAUGUGCUAUGUGCGAGCGGAGAGAAAAUAAUAUCUUUUGAUUAUAUCAGACAGGUUGUAGGAUUGAUAGCAGUGGUUGGGCAACGGAUGCUGCCCGAGUUCUUUUGUUUAAGGUGGUCAGCGUGGAGCAUGGUCGUCGUCGUACCGUAUUGUCUGUCGUAUAUUCGUGCUGUACAUGAGUACCUUCCUGGUGAGUCACUGUGGUAGUCUUCUCAUUAAAGAUUCUUCCCGACGAGUUGUUUCUGCGAGUCUAUGAGAUUAUUAUAUUACAAAAUCUACAACAGUACCUGUGCCGUGAUCGUGUAAUGGAGUGAGAAAAUAUCAGGUGAUACAAGCACUUAGAUGCUACUACCAUGAUACAGGUUCCCGUGAGCCGUUCGGGCUAUGCUUGUAUUCACGUUUUGGCGUUGGUUGCUUGUGAAAGUAACCGUUGCAGAUCUGGCUCUCCAAAAAUUCGAGUGUGGCGAGCUAGGUAAGCAAUCCAUUCAAAAGAAAAAAAGUUCCAGUCCGCGAACAACGAACGUGGACAAGCUCAGCCGGCCUCAGAGCAUCUACAUUUUAUCCCUAAACGUCUAGACUAACCAGUGUAUCUCAUACCUGUCUAAAAAGGUGAUUCGAUCGGACUCCCAUUUUGUAAGCACAAAAUCAGGGGAAUUCCAUCGAUCUAUGCAUUUUCUCUCACUUAACAGCAAUUUCUCAAGUCUGGGAUACAAAUCGGGAUAGAUCGAAGGUCAGAGACCCCGUCUUGCAGUACAAGUAGUUAGGGUUCUAAGCUAUUACAAGAAAUGGGGAAAGAUAACAUGCUUCUGGUGAUCUCGAUCGGCAAGAUAUAAAUGGGAAGGGGCCAGCGAUACAGCUGGCACUGUCGUAACGGACACGCCACAGUACUUUGCGUUUAAUUUGAGAGGAGACGCGAGGAAGCAUCCGAGCCGUCGAUCUUCUGUGAGGUUUAUCCUUUCAUCUGAACUGUUGCUUGACUGAAACUCCUAGUGUGUGUUGUUUCUUCAGUACCGUCUGGGUUCAGGCCCUGACAAUGCCGCCGCCAUGACGAUCGCCUUGUCCCCAAGGUGAAAAAGCUUGUGACCUGGAAAAGUUUUGUUCAGAAAUGCUGCGUCUUCCCAAGUUGCAUCAUCUGGCGCUAAGCUUUCCCAUUGCACCAGACACUGGCCCACUGGAGUUUUGUUCCUCUGAAUCACUCUCCUGUCGAGCACUGCCACCGGAAUAGUCUUGAUGCAACCUUCUGGAGUAACUAGUGGAACAUGAGGGAGUGGGAUUGCUUGAUGUCCAAUGUGUUUCUUGAGUUGACUUAUGUGGAAUACUGGGUGUAUGUUCGUUCCUUCAGGCAGAGCCAACUUGUACGAUACCUCUCCAAUUCUUUCAAUGAUCUUGUAUGGACCGUAGAAUUUGGACCUGAGUUUCAAUGAGCCUCUCAGUCCAAAUGCAUUUUGUCUGUAGGGUUGUAUCUUUAAAUACACAUUGUCUCCCACUUGAAAGGAUCUUUCAGUUCUGUUUUGAUCAGCAAAAUACUUGAUUCUGCUUUGGGCAUGUUCUAAAUUUGCUUUCAAUCUCUGUACCAUAUGUUCUCUUUCAGAAAUAGUAAGAGCUGCUUCCGGUGAGAGUGAAGUAUCCACUGCAAAUUCCCCAAUUUGAGGUGGUUUAUAUCCAUACAAUGCCUGAAAAGGAGUGCAUUUCAGUGAGGGGUGGUAACUUGUGUUGUACCAUAGCUCAGCUAAGGGAAGCCACUUGAUCCACUUCGUAGGUUCCUGGAACACCAUGCCUCAUAAAUAAGCUUCGAGACACUGAUUUACUCGCUCCGUUUGCCCGUCAGUUUGUGGGUGAGACGUUGUACUGAACCUGAUUUUUACUCCAAACGCUGCAAAGAGUUCUUGAUAGAGUUUGCUGGUGAAAAUUGAAUCCCUGUCUGAAACUAUGCAGAUGGGCAAUCCAUGUAACUUCACCACAUUAUCCAUGAGUGCCUCAAACACCAUCUGAACCGUAAAUGGAUGAGCUAGAGGGAUAAAAUGGGAGUACUUGGUGAACCUAUCCACUACCACUAGUAUCACUUCUUUCCCUUGUGAUUUCGGCAAAGCAGUGAUAAAAUCCAUGGUUAUGUGAGCCCAAGCCAUGUCAGGUACAUGAAGUGGUUGCAGCAGUCCCGGUGGAUGAAUGUGCUCUACUUUGCUUAAUUGGCACACAGGACAGUUGGAUACAUACUGCUCAAUAUCCUUUCUCAUGUUGGGCCAGUAGAGCACUCUUUUUAUUCUGUAAUAGGUGGCUUUAAUUCCAGAAUGGCCCCCUAAAGCAGAAGUAUGGAAUGUCUGUAGCAGAUGCUGUCUGAAUUCAGUACUGGCUCCCACAUAAAUUCUGUUGUUGUAUUUAAUGAGGCCAUUUUGAGCAGUAAAUUUGGGUGUUGGUCCUGUAUCAGCAGCUACCUUUGUUAACAGAUUGGAACUGUCCUGAUCUCCUUGGUAGCUCUUUUUAACAUCCUCAGUCCAAGUUGGAACUACCACAGUCAUGCUAUUGCAACACAGGCUGCUGGAGUUGCUUUUUCUUGACAAGGCAUCAACUACCACAUUUUCUUUUCCCUUCUUAUACUCUAUGGUAUAAUCAUACUCUAGCAGCUUAAGCAACAGUUUGUGUUGCACUCCUUCUGUCAAUCUCUGUGUGGUCAUGUAUUUGAGAGAAUGUUGAUCUGUUUUGAUGAUUAGUGAAUUUCCCCAGACAUAGUGUCUCCACUUUUUCAGAGCUUCUAGAAUAGCCAUUGCUUCUUUUUCAUAGAUGGAUUGAGCAGCUGAUUUGGGCCCUAAACUUUUACUAAGGAAGGCAAUAGGUCUCCCUCUCUGCAUGAGUACUGCUCCAAUCCCUGUGGCACAUGCACCAGCUUCAAUAGUGAAAGAUAAGGAGAAAUCUGGCAUGGCUAACACUGGGCAACUUGUCAUUUUCUGUUUCAAAAGUUGGAAUGAUUGGCUUUGUGGAGGGCCCCAGUUGAAAGCAUCUUUUUUCAGCAUGUCAUGCAGUGGUCUACAGAUUUGACCAUAGUUCUUUACAAACCUUCUAUAGUAACCAAUUAAACCCAAAAAUCCUCUUAAUUGUGUCACAUUCUCAGGUUCCUCCCAAUCCAGUACUGAUUUGAUUUUUCCUGGAUCUGUUGCUACUCCUUCUGCUGAAAUAAUGUGCCCUAAGUAUGCCACUUGGUCAGUAGCAAAAGUGCAUUUAGAUAAGUUGGCAUAUAACUGAUGUUUCCUUAAGGCUGUGAGAGUCUUUUCCACAUGCCUGAUGUGAUCUUCCAUUGACUUGCUGAAAACCAACAUAUCAUCAAAGAAAACUAGCAGAAACUUAGGUUUUUCUGUUUCAUUGACUUCUUCAGCAACUGUGUUCAUCAGACCUUGAAAUGUCCCAGGGCCACAUGAAAGACCAAAAGGAACAACUGUAUAUUCAUAGUGUCCCAUGUGAGUUCUAAAUGCUGUUUUGUGUAUAUCUUCAGGUGCCAUUCUAAUUUGAUGGUACCCUGACUUCAGAUCCAACUUUGAGAAAAUCUUUGCUCCAUGCAUCUCAUCUAGCAGAUCUUCAAUAAUGGGCAUUGGAAAUUUAUUCUUGAUAGUCACAGCAUUUAACUCUUUGUAAUCUACACAAAGUCUCCAGCCUCCAUCCUUCUUUCUGACCAUGAUAGCUGGAGAAGAAAAGGGACUGAAACUUUCUUGUAUUUCUCCUUUCUUGAUGAGUUGUUUAAUGAUCUCUUCCGCAGCAGCCUUUUGGUAAUGUGGUACUCUAUAUGGUCUUAAAUUGGGUGGUUUUGCUCCUUCCUGUAAAAUGAUCCUGUGAUCACAGUUUCUUUUUGGGGGUAGUUGUUGUGACUCUUCAAACACAUCAGCAAAUUUUUGCAGUAGAGGUUGGAGUGCUCUGGGAGGAGGAAGGACUUGUUUGUUUUGUUCUGUUUCCACUUCAUGCACUUUGAGAAUGUACCCCAUUACUCCCUUGCGUAACAAUUUUUCCAUUUUGGCUGCUUUUAUCACACACUUUUUCUUUGGGAUGGUGUAAUCAAACAAGGUCACUGGUUGUCCUUGCUUGGUCACAAUUAGAAUUCUCUCCACUAAGUCCAGACAAAUUGGACUAUACUGAUAAAUCCAAUUGGCUCCUAUGAUUAUAUCAUAAGAAGCAAGAUCUAAUACUUUGAAACUGCUGCUAAAAGUGUGACCCUGAAUUUUAAACUGAACUUCUGGAAUUUUUGAUACUGACAAUAGCUGUCCUCCCCCAGCUACAGUCACUUUUCUUGGCUGCAUUGGUUGCUGGUAACAAUUACUUUUAAUGGCAAACUCUUUGCUCAUAAAAGUGUCAAAGGAUCCACUGUCAAAUAAUGCUGUAGCUUUCAUACCAGCAAUUUCUACAAUCAAGGAGAAUGUAUUGGGUCCUGUAGUUCCUUCUGCAACAUUACCUGAAAUGUGCAUAGCUUGUGAUGUUUUUGCUGUGCUCAUAUCAGGAACUUUCUCUUUGUCUGGGGUGUUUGGAGCUGUGUGGUAAGCUUGCUCAGGGCCAUUCACAUCCUCAGUUCCUUCACUGUCAUCUUCAUCAUCUACUUCCUGUAAGAUGUGCAAAGUUUUUCCAAUUUUGCAUUUGUGUUGUCUGGACCAUGGUUCUCUACAGUACCAACAUGCUCUUGCAUCUUUAGGAAAUGGUACUGAGUAUUUUUCCUGAUUGGGCACUUGUACUUGUAGUGGAGGGCUAGAUUGUUUCACAUUGUGUGUAUAAGGUCUUGCCUUAUACCCUGUGGAAGGAAAAACUUUUCUGGCUGCUGCAGCUUUUUCAUAUACCUUGGCAUACUAGUAAGCUUCAAUAAUGCCUUGUGGUUUCUGACCACACACUUCAUGCUUAAUCUCAGCUUUCAGACCUCCAAUAAAGCAACUGAGCAAGAAAUUUUCCUGUAAACAAGGAUGAUCCCUCUUGACCAGAGCCACACAAUGUUCAAAAUCAUCUAUGUAUUGAGCAACUGAUGUGUGCUGUUGUAUACUUUUGAGGAGUUCCACUGCUUCAUGUACACUAGCUUCAGAAAAUCUAUCAGCUAUCAUCUGGCAGAACUGUUGCCAUGUGAUCAUCUGCCAAGGCACAUAGAUAUUCUUUAACCAGUUAGAUACUCUUCCUUGCAAAUGCACUGUAGCUAAGUUCACCCAUUGAUCACAAGGAGUACCAGACAUAUCAUAGAACUUUUCACAAGCAAUUAACCAUCCUAUAGGAUCUUCUCCACUGAACAAGGGAAUUUCUAAUCUAGGCCCUUUUAACACAACUUCAGCAAAAUAAGAUGGACCUCCUAGCUGAGUGGCCUGCUGAUUUCUUUGAGCAUUAUAGAGAUUUCCCACUGCUUGAUAUACUGGUGGUUGAGAACACCCAGGAUUUGACAGAUUUAUGUAUUGUCCUGUGAUAGGAUUAUAUGUAGGAGCUGGGUUGUACAGUGGAGCAGUAAUUGGAGCAAAAUAUCCACUGUUUCCUGAAAAACCCAAGGUAUGUGCCUGUACUGCUACACUGGUACUUUCUGGAGUGAGUCUGAAUUGUUGUUGUUGCCCUUGUGCUUCUGGUUGCUUGUCAGUAUGCACUUUUGUGCUUUCUGUGAACAAGCUGGUGGUGGGAAGCGAUGUUAAACCUGAGACAUUGUGUGUGGAAACACCGGCCUUGUUGUUAAACUCCUGCUGUAAAUUUCUGUUGACCUGCUGGUGUCCUGCUCCUAUUGUAUCAGCUAUAGGAACAACAAGGGGAACACUGGUCACAGAUGCUCCAGUGCACACUGGCGGUGGAGCGCUUGGAGUAACCACCUCAGUUUUCUGCUGCCCCAAAUUCAUGCUCUGCAAAAUCAGUUGCAAUCUUUUUUGAAUUUCAGCAUUCAUGUCGGUCAGCUUGGCUUCUACUUUUGGCAUCGUCACCAUCUCUGCUCGCAACUGCUUCACCUCUUGAUGAAGGCCCUGCAGUCCUUCAAUGUCCGCCCUCAGAUCCGCCACUUCCUUCUCCACCUUAUCGACUGUGAUCUGCACCUUGGACCUUGUGUCUGCCAUGGUUUGUCUUGAUCCAACACACUCGCCCUUCCUGCGACUUUGGCGCACGGAUCGCUGCAGAGACCGGAAUUUCACUACCAGGAUAUUUUCUCCCAGCAACCGUCUCGGCGUCAACGAUCUACGCCCGAAUUUCACCGCCGCCGCGUCGCCGCCACCGCAACACUCCGCCGCCGCGUCUCCACCACUGGAACACACUGCCGCCGCGAACAAGGAGGGACGGGAGGGAUUUUACGAGAGAGCCCAACCUCCUGCUCUCCGCUGCCUGAAUCGCCGCCGACCACUAUCGCCGAGGAUCAACCUAUCGCUCUGAUACCUUUGUAAGCACAAAAUCAGGGGAAUUCCAUCGAUCUAUGCAUUUUCUCUCACUUAACAGCAAUUUCUCAAGUCUAGGAUACAAAUCGGGAUAGAUCGAAGGUCAGAGACCCCGUCUUGCAGUACAAGUAGCUAGGGUUCUAAGCUAUUACAAGAAAUGGGGAAAGAUAACAUGCUUCUGGUGAUCUCGAUCGGCAAGAUAUAAAUGGGAAGGGGCCAGCAAUACAGCUGUCACUGUCGUAACGGACACGCCACAGUACUCUGCGUUUAAUUUGAGAGGAGACGCGAGGAAGCAUCUGAGCCGUCGAUCUUCUGUGAGGUUUAUCCUUUCAUCUGAACCGUUGCUUGACUGAAACUCCUAGUGUGUGUUGUUUCUUCAGUACCGUCUGGGUUCAGGCCCUGACACAUUUUAUUCCUAAACGUCUAGACUAACCGGUGUGUCUCAAACACGUCUUAAAUCUGGGAGCAAUAUGAGGCUGCCUGGGCACCCCCAGACACUCCUGCCACCUCAGCUAGCUAGCACACGGACCCACAAGCCAUCCACACUUUUCCUUUCAUCUCUCUCCUCACGCCCAUGGCCGAAGCAAAUAAAUAAAUUUACCGGUUCCGGGAGGUACCGGUUAGGAAUUGAUCGUCCAUCAAUUUCAUCUAGAUCCGUGAGACCAGUUGCGUAACAUGCAAAGCAUUUCGCACCACUAUACUGAGACUAGCCACAAUGGGUAGUAAUCUAUGUUACUACUCUAUGUUACUACCUCUAUAGUAGGGAGUAAGAUAUGUGUGGUAACAUGCAACACUUCAUUUAUUAAGCUAUAGACUCAUUUUGCCUUGAUAUGUGUGAUGUUACUCAUACUAUUAGUAACUACUCCCUCCGUUUCUAAAUACAAGUCUUUGUAGAGAUUCCACUAUGAACCACAUACAGAUGUAUAUAGAUGCAUUUUGAGUGUAGAUUCACUCAUUUUGCUCUGUAUGUAGUCCAUAGUGAAAUCUCUACAAAGACUUACAUUUAGGAACGGAGGAAGUAGCUAUGUUACCACAUGCCUCUCUUUCUUCAUUUAUUGCUUGCCACGUCAUCUUUUUUAUCUAUAUAUGUGUGAUGUUACUACCUAUGUUACUCCCAUUAUGGGUAGUCUUAGCAAUACGGGCUGACACACCUGACAUCUUUUCAGAGGAAAAGGAGUGUGAGGCUGGAUGACCGCAUGCAUGUAAUAUUCUCUCUCCCACAUAAAGACUUGGGUUUUAAUUUCAGGACCACAAUUUAAAUGACUGAUAACUUGUCAACCAUAUUUCUGUUUUUGUAAAUUUUUAUAUAUUUGAAUCCAGGACGACAAGACCUUUCAAACAAGACCAAUAUUGGAUACAUUUUGACUAGUUUGAAUUUUAUGUAUCAUAUUUCAAUUUUAGUUCAUUUUGACUAUUUCACUUAUCUCAAACGACUAAUUUCAUUCAUUUCAAUUGAAAAGCAUGUCUCAAUUUUCCGAAACGGAUUUCAAUUCAAAAACUAUUUCACUCAUUUCAAUAAACAGAUUUUACUCACUCCUAUCAAAUUAUUUCACUAAUUUGAAAAUACAUAUUUCACUCAUUUACAGAACAUAUUAGAUUCACUCAUAGAGAACUAAUUUCACUCAUAAAAAUAUGUAGGUUUUAAAACAAUAUUUCACUCGUUUCAAGAAACUAAUUAAAAUACCAUAUUUCACUUGUUUCAAAAAAAGUGAUUUCACUCAUUACAAAAGAUAGAUUUUGCUCAUCUCACUAGUUUUCAAAACACAUAACACUCACAAUAUACACAUUGAAAUAAGGAGUUUAAAAAUAUUAAUUUAAAAACAAUUUCAUUCAUUUAAAAAUAUCAUUCAAAUAAAAAUUAUUUUACUCAUUUUAGAAAGUUUAUUUCACUCAUUUGAAAUACUAAUUUCGCUCGCUCCAGUUGAAAAGACAUGCUUGAAUUAUUUCACUCAUUUUAGAAAACUGAUUUCACUCAUUUUAAAACAAAAUUUCACUAAUUUAUAAAUAGUUUGAAAUAAUCAGCUUCACAUUCCACUAGAUUCAGAAAACACAUUACACUCGUUUACACCAGUUAGAUUUUACUCAUUUUGGAAAUCACAUUUCACUAUAUUUAACGUAUUUCACACCGAAAUAAGUGUAAUAUGUAUGGAAAACAAAUUUCACUCAUCUAAAGAAAAUAAUUUCACACGGUUGAGAAAACAUACUUCACUCAGUAGAGAAAACAUAUUUCCAAAUUGAUUUCACUCAAUGAAAAAACUAAUUUCAAUUAUUUCAAAAAACAUAUUUCAUUUGUUUCAAAAACCUGAUUUCAGUCAUUUGAAAUGUUCAAAUUAGAACAUGUUUGAAAUGCAUCCAAAUUUGGUCUUAUUCUAAAGCUCUUGGCUUCAGGAAUUCAAAUAUAUAAAAUAUUUCAAAAAUAACAGUAUGGUUUAAAAGAUAGAAACGAUUGAAAAUCCUAAAGAGAAAAUAAAAGGAAAGGAUUUGUACCACGACACCACAUGCAACGUCAGGAUAGACUCUUUCUCUCACCUGACAUGGGUCCCAUCGAUCUGAUAUUGAUUUGACUUAAAGCAGAAAUACAAGAAAUUAUUUACAUCAAUACUUUGAUAUACACAUGCAUGUGGUCCCACACCUUUACACAUGGCAGCAAGGCAUUGGUGAGAGAAUCAUCGUGUCAGCGACCCAAAUACAGUUACAGUCUCAGGUGACAGGCUUGCCGCCAAAUCAGCAAGGAGAAACAACGUGGCCGAGGAAAGGCAACAUACCACCAAUCAGGGACAAGGGCGCGUCACCUCCAGGCCACCUCGGAUCAAACAGCCUAACCACAGGUACGUGGGGCCAAAGUGGGUGAGCUCUACAUAAUGGACCAGUCGCGAGGUAAUCGUCAUCCAGUGGGAUCAGGCAAUCGGCAAGGCACGGCACAACUCCUGUAUUUUCUUGCUUUCUUUCUUCCUCCCAAAGACAAAGUAUAUUCCUGUAAGCUACUUGUGAGUGCUAAGUACCAGAUUAGAGAUCCAUUGCCUAACAUCAUGGUAUUAGACAGCCACCUACCACCCUUCUCCGCCGCCGCCGCCACCUACCACCCUCGUCGCCGCUGUCGCCGCCCUGGAAACUCGCAGCCAGAAGCAAGCUCGCGAUCGCCUCAUCGCUACCAUGGACCCCGCCCUGAAGGCCUACCUCAACAAGAUGAGCGACAAAGCCGCAGCCUGCGCCAACAAGAUGCGUGAAGAGGCCGCCGCCCGCGCCAUCAAGCAAGACAGCGACAACACCGCUAUCCUCCAGGCCUUGGCGACACAAACAACGUGGAUCGACUGCCUCGUCACCUGGAAGCCGGAGCUGGAAGCGCGCUUCGCGCAAUUGGAGCUCUUGGUCGCGGCUCUACAAGCGGCGAGGCCUUCAGUGCCGCCAUCCAAUGGAUCACCACCGCCGGUGACCUCUCCUCUGGUCACGUGUGAGAUCCAAGGGCAACUAAGCCGCGGCGCGUCUCUGCACAUCGGGGAUCCCUCGUCGGUGACCCCCAAGUCACCGAUGACGCGCCUGGUCACGGGUAUGACCAUGAUCCUGUCUCAGAUCUCAUCUCCUCUGUCUUCGCAAGUGCUUGCGGCUAUGGGUCAAGCGCCGUGCAGAUCACAUUUCCCAAUUUCACAGGCGAGAACUCACUGCUGGGGAACGUAGAAUUUAAAAAUUUGCUUACGAUCACGCAAGAUAUAUCUAGGAGAAGCAUAGCAACGAGCGGGAGAGUGUGUCUACGUACCCUCGCAGACCGAAAGCGGAAGCGUUUAGUAACGCGGUUGAUGUAGUCGAACAUCUUCGCGAUCCAACCGAUCAAGUACCAAGCGCAUGACACCUCCGUGAUUUGCACACGUUCAUCUCGGUGAUGUCCCUCGUACUCUUGAUCUAGCUAAGGCCGAGGGAGAGUUUCCUCAGCACAACGCCGUGGUGACGGUGAUGAUGAAGUUACCAGCGCAGGGCUUCGCCUAAGCACUACGACGAUAUGACCGAGGUGUGUAACUGUGGAAGGGGGCACCGCACACAGCUAAAAGAUCAACUUGUGUGUCUUGGGGUGCCCCCUUGGCCAUGUAUAUAAAGGAGGGAGGAGGAGAAGGCCGGUCCAGGAGGGGCGUGCCUAUAGGGGGAGUCCAACUAGGAUUCCCAAUCCUAGUUGGAGUCCCCUUCCUUUUCCAAGAGGGGAGAGAGGGAAGGAGUAGGAGAAGGAGAAGGAAAGAUAGGGGGCGUCGCCCCCUCCCUAGUCCAAUUCGGACUUGCCAUGGGGGAGGGGGGGCGGCCACCCCUUGAGGCCCUUCUCUCCUUUCCCGUAUGGCCCAUUAAGGCCCACUACUUCCUCCGGUGAAUUCCCGUAACUCUCCGGUACUCCGAAAAAUACCCAAAUCACUCGGAACCUUCUCGAUGUCAGAAUAUAGCCUUCCAAUAUAUCGAUCUUUAUGUCUCGACCAUUUCGAGGCUCCUCAUCAUGUCCGUGAUCUAAUCCGGGACUCCAAACAACCUUUGGUACAUCAAAUCACAUAACUCAUAAUACAAAUCGUCAUCGAACGUUAAGCGUGCGGACCCUACAGGUUCGAGUACUAUGUAGACAUGACCGAGACACAUCUCCGGUCAAUAACCAUUAGGGAACCUGGAUGCUCAUAUUGGCUCCUACAUAAUCUAUGAAGAUCUUUAUCGGUCAAAUCGCAUAACAACAUGCGUUGUUCCCUUUGUCAUCGGUAGUUUACAUGCCCGAGAUUCGAUCGUUGAUAUCAUCAUACCUAGUUCAAUCUCGUUACCGGCAAGUCUCUUUACUUGUUCCAUAAUGCAUCAUCCCGCAACUAACUCAUUAGUCACAUUGCGUGCAAGGUUUAUAGUGAUGUGCAUUACCGAGAGGGCCCAGACAUACCUCUCUGAUACACGGAGUGACAAAUCCUAAUCUCGAUCUAUGCCAACCCAACAAACACCUUCGGAUAUACCUGUAGAGCAUCUUUAUAAUCACCUAGUUAAGUUGUGACGUUUGAUAGCACACAAGGUGUUCCUCCGGUAUUCGGGAGUUGCAUAAUCUCAUAGUCAGAGGAACAUGUAUAAGUCAUGAAGAAAGCAAUAGCAAUAAAACUCAAUGAUCAUAAUGCUAAGCUAAUGGAUGGGUCUUGUCCGUCACAUCAUUCUUUAAUGAUGUGAUCCCAUUCAUCAAAUGACAACACAUGUCUAUGGUCAGGAAACAUAACCAUCUUUGAUUAACGAUCUAGUCAAGUAGAGGCAUACUAGGGACACUCUGUUUUGUCUAUGUAUUCACACAUGUACUAAGUUUCCGGUUAAUACAAUUCUAGUAUGAAUAAUAAACAUUUAUCAUGAUAUAAGGAAAUAUAAAUAACAACUUUAUUAUUGCCUUAGGGCAUAUUUCCUUCACCCGCAACUUUGGAAAACUCUCGCUGAGAAGUAUUUCGAGAUGUUUGCGGUUUAGGAAUCGUAUUGGGUGCCGAUGGCAAGUCUGAAUUUCUCAGGCCCGGCUGCCAUUUGGCUGCAGUCGUUGCAACAGAAGAUCAUCGGUCCUACGUGGGAAUCGUUUACAGCUCUGCUGUGUACUCGAUUCGAGCAUGAUAAGCACCAACUCCUCAUCCAUCAGUUUUAUGCUAUCCGUCAGACAGAUUCAGUUGCAGAUUUCAUUGAAUGUUUUGAGACUCUGAUAUCAUAUGAUCUCUUAUUCUGAACUGACACAUCCUUAUUUCUUUCUUACACGAUUAAUCGAGGGUCCGCAGACGGAUAUUCGUGCUCAUUCAGAGACCUCCCGAUCUCGAUAUGACGUGUUCUCUUGCCUUGCUCUAAGAGGAAGUGGUUGAUGGGGAGAACACCUUGCGCAUCGGGUACACCCACUCGCCGGUGCCACGUUUCAUGGUAACCAAUACACCGAGUCUGCCUGCGAGUUCUGCAAAACUGUCCACACCAACAUCCAAAGCAAAAGAUCACCGAGGUACAGAAGCAGCGAGGGCAGGAGCAGAGAGCAGCAAGAUAGCAGCGCUGCGUUCCUCAAACGAGCAGCAAUAUAAAUAACAACUUUGAAAAACUCCUUUCAAACACUCCUUUAUGCUUCCAGAAAAUUCUACAUCAUUUUCGAUGAACAAUAUGUCAUUCACAUAUACUUAUCAGAAAGGUUGUAGUGCUCCCACUCACUUUCUUGUAAAUACAGGCUUCACCACAAGUCUGUAUAAAACUAUAUGCUUUGAUCAACUCAUCAAAGAGUAUAUUCCAACUCCGAGAUGCUUGCACCAGUCCAUAGAUGGAUCGCUAUUGCUUGCACAUUUUGUUAGCAUCUUUAGGAUUGAUAAAACCUUCUGGUUGUAUCUGUCGGCGUUCUGGGAACGGGGGUCCGCAGACUUGCCUACCUGCGGCCUGCAGCGUGGCUCAAGCUGUGGCCUAGUACGGCCCGUCUUCAUUAACCCUAGUUCAAGACCCUCGCGAGGGGCCAAGCCUCGCGGGGCGAAUGACACAAGGCUUCCUCAGGGGCGACCUCAUCAGGCAGGCUCGUGAGGAGGCGGAGAGAUCAAGGCAAGGAGUACCUCGCGAGGUGCUCAUGACGCAAGCCAUGACGAUCAAGACCAGGCGGGCGCGAGGAGAGCGCGAGCCUACGCAGUGUCCUCGUUUCCUCUUUGGUGCAAAGGGGCAAGCGCAGGCGCGGAGUACCAAGGCAUCAAGCAAAGGUUUCCAUAUCGUUGCAACGAGACCAAGAACAGCAGAGCGGUGGGAUGGAGAUCACCGUGGAGCCCAAGACGGCGUAAUUACCAAUGUCUUUGGCAGUCGAAGACCACUUUUAGUCAGGAUAGCUUGUACUAGCUGUCCCCCUUCAAAAUGGCCGUUGUUGGCUCCCUUCCCGCUCAAUAUUUGGGAAGAGGACCAGGGCCUCUAUAUAUAGAGAUAUCCACCACAGUAGAAGGCAUCUGGAUCUCACCUAGAGCCAACAGAGACGGAGCAAUUCCUCUCCAAGCACACCACCAUAAGAACACCCCUCGCGAGGUUGUUCUUCCUCUGUACUGUUCAUCAUCAGCCCCAGAGGCAAUCCACCACACCACACACUGGAUUAGGGUAUUACACCACAACGGUGGCCCGAACCAGUAUAAACCUCAUGUCCCUUGUGUUGUUCAUCGUGCUAGCUUAGAUUCGCGGUGAGGUUUUGAGGCGUGGAUCGGUAGGGAGAAGAUCUUCAUGCGCACCCCAGAGUUUGAACCUCAAGGGUUUUGCUGGAACCCAAUAUCCGACAUUUGGGCACCAGGUAGGGGUGCGCUGGAAUCUUCUUUCCGCGGUCCCGCGUUCCAUCGCUUUGUCGCAUCCAUGGCGGACGCUCGCCGAGCUUGCGCCGAGCGUCGGGCUGCUCUUGCUGCCCGCAUCACCCAGACGGCUCCUGUCGGUGGGCCUCCUCGUCGUUCUCCGUUGCCUGCCGCCAACGCUGCCACCGGCCCGACGGGGAACGAGCAGCAAGCAUCAUCGCUACACCCCUUGGUGCGGCGGGAAGGCUGCACCGCCACUCCGUCGCUGACUCCAGCUGGUUCGUCAUCUCACGCUCGUCGCGCUCCCAGGGACGCGCAUGCUGCGUUGCUCCUGGCACGUGAGCUCCUGCACUACCGCCCCAUCGACGACCUCUACGAGGAGUGGCUCGCUUGCAUCACCGAGCUCGUCAGCGCCGCAGGGGGCUCUCCUGCGCCAUCCCUCUCACUGCCUCACCCGCCGUCCUGCAUGGGCGAUGCAGCUCAAGAGGUGCCUCCGCCACCUCCUCCCCAAGAAGGCGCCCUGGCCCCAAGGCGCGCGGCCCCUGGACAAGACCCACCGCAUCCAGUGCCCGUGCAACAAGAAAGGAGCUGCCAAGAAAUCCCUCGGCCCCAAGAAGGCGCUUGCGUGCUCCCUGCUCCAGCACAUCAAGACCACAUCCCCGCACCAGCACGUCAAAACCCCAUGCUGCCCCUGGUGGCGGCGCACGGGAAUCUCCAAGAGCAGGCCCCACGACUGCAAAGGGCUCCGAUGGCCACGGCAGGCUGCCGCGCCUUCACCACCGAGCUAUGCAGCGUCGCCUGGCCAGGCAAUUUCAAGCCGGAUCUGCCUCCUCGCUAUGACGGCACUGCCGACCCCGCGGAGUUCCUGCAGCUCUAUGAGCUGGGCAUCGAGGCGGCCAACGGAGAUGAAAAGGUCAUGGGGAAUUGGUUUCCCAUGGCGCUCAAGGAUGGUGCCCGCACCUGACUCCUGAACCUGCCUCCCAGCUCAAUGUCCUCCUGGGACAAGAUGCGCAGACGUUUCAUCGCCAACUUCCAGGGCACUCGCGACCGUCCUCCGAUCGGGGGUGACCUGCGCCACAUCAAGCAACAGCCGGGAGAGACCUUGUAGAAGUACAUCCAACACUUCAACAACGCUCACCUCAAGAUUCUCAAGGUGACCAAGGAGGCCAUCAUCUUAGUGUUCUUCGAUGGCGUCUGCGGCGUCAAGAUGAAGGAGGAGUUGUCCAUCCACCAGGAUCUGUGCACAUCUCUGGAGCUAUUCAACCUAGCGACCAAGUGCGCAAGAGCUGAGGAGGGGCGCCUCUCCCUCCUCGAGCUUCCAGCUGCCGACCCAGAAGAGAAGAAAGCCAAGGCCAAGGACGUGAAGCGCAAAGGAGCAGUCGUGCUCGCAGCAGAACCAGACACGAUGCACGGCAAGGACCAGUCGGAGUGGUCCAAGGGCAACCGAUUCUGCGCCUACCACAACCUCUGCACCCACAACACCAACGAAUGCCAGGAGCUCAGAGCCGUUCGAGAAGGACGCAUCGGUCGACGCCCUGAGCGCAACGACCGGGGCUAUGGUCGAAGAGGAGGAAGAGGUGGAGGACGAUGGGACGACCAAGGCCCUCGCCAGGAGUGGCAUGACCGCCCUCACGAGGAUCGCUGGCAGGACCAGCCUCGCGAGGGGGCUUGGAGGGAUCAGCCUCGUGAGGAUCACCCGCAGGGCAACAUAGGCCUUCCUCCUCUGCCACCACCGCCAAGAAGGAAUGAUGACCACCACCAGGACGAGGGGGCUGGGGGCUUCCAGGAGCCAUGUGCUAUCGCUUGCAUCCUGGGCGGUGCCUAGGCCCCAACCUCUCAGCGCAUCUUCAAGCAGUUUGCUCACGAGGUGAAUGCAGUCCUCCCAAAGCUCGAGGCCACGCACCCUCUCAGGUGGUCCAUGUGCGCCAUCACGUUCAGCUCAGCGGACCAGCUCAAGUGUGCGGCUAUGGCUGGCAUCCUCCCAAUGGUCUGUUCCCCAGUCAUUAGCAAUGUGCAAGUUACCAGGACUCUCAUCGAUGGCGGCGCAAGACUCAAUGUUCUGUCCGUCGAGAUGUUCAACAACCUUCAAGUGUCGUACGAUCAACUUCAGCCAACCAAGCCUUUCUCAGGGGUUACUGAUGGCUCCACUACUCUGAUAGGGCAGGUCCGCCUCCCUGUCACUUUCGGACAGUGCAAGAACUACCGUACCGAGCUCAUCAACUUCGACGUUGCCCACAGUCGCCUGCCAUACAAUGCCCAUCCUCGGGUAUCCAGCCCUGGCCAAGUUCAUGGUGGUAACUCACCAUGGUUACAACGUCCUCAAGAUGCCAGGAAGCGGCGGAAUCAUCACAGCCCCCGUGGCCAAGUUCAUGCAAAGAGAAGGAUGCGGUGUGCUCCCUCGAGCGCGCCUUCCAAGCUGCAUCAAUCGAGGACCCAGACAGCAGGAGCGAGAACCCUCCCGAAGCAGUUCCCAAGAAGAAGAAGACAUCACUCAGCUCAAGGCCUCAGGAGGUUGGCAUCUCUGGAGGCGUCGCGUCAGGAUCUGCGCUCGUGCAAGGGGGCGCCUCCCUCCGUUGCAUAGGAAGGCACGCCCGGCGCCCUCCUCGGGCAGGGCUCGGGGGCUCUCUUCUGGAGGACCUCCGACCUUGCCAAGAUCACGAGAGGCACUCGGGCACCACUUGGAGGCGUGCUUCGUGGCGCGCUUCCCUCAAGAAGGCAUGGGGAAAGGAAGGCCCGACCCUCAGGAGUUCAUCACCAAGGCCACUCAGGAGCUGCAGGAAUCAAGAGUCAUACGCGGCGAUCGCCGCCUACCUGGCGUAGCUCCCCAUCCAGGUGAGGAUGGCGGGCUGCGCGUCUGCAUCGACUACCCGGGGCUCAGCCGAGUCGCGUCUCAGGAGCGCUUUUGGCCUUCGCAUGUGGGAUGCUGCAAGGGUCCGCUGCAUAGCUACAUUCACAUGCCUUUCGGUCUGCCGAACGCGGCUGCCACUCACCAGCGUCUUCUGCGGAGCAUUCUGGCAGCUCAGGAGGCCAGGCACCACGCGGUCCUGGCGGAGAUGAAGAUGGUCCUCGAGGAACCGCCCAGACCCCCAGAGCCUCCCGAGGCUCGGGGCUCCGGUGGCUCGUGAGGAUCGGCCUCUUCACCGCGCAUCGUUAGCUACUCCAACACCCGCUCUACAAUGGUAUCAGGUGACAUCUUUCGAGUUCAUUUCAGCUGGGAGCGCCCUCAGGGCUGCAUCAUUCCCAGGUCGCGUGGGUUUCUCCCUGCGCCAUGUAUCCCUUUUGCUUAUGUCUUUAGUUUACCUUGUUGGGGGUGCCCCUCGGGAUACAUCAUCCCCAAGCCGCUCGGGCCUGACCUAGUGGCAUGUAUCCUCCCUGCUUUUAUCUAAGCUGAUUUGCCUUUCAUGCCUAACCUGCUUAUGAUUAUCAUCUCCCGCCUACCAUGGGCCUUUUUCUCCCUCACGCAAAUCGCUUGCACGUUAAAAGGGGGGCUCCUGAGCAUCACGACUCAGGAGCUCUUACUGGCUCUCCAGCCCUCACCCCUUGGCCUUGUCCACGACAUCGCGACCUGGCAUACUAGCGGCGGCUGAGCCCGCUCGAGGGCUGGGACCUGAGGACGUAGAGCAUUUGUAUCUAACCAUCCUGCAGGAACACUCAGCCGCCCAAGGCUCAAGAUCAGGCGCAACCCGCCUUGAGGUAGGGCCUCGUGAGUCCCGUGCUAGCUCACGAGUGCCCAGAUACACCUCGUCUAGCCCUACCAUGCCAGCCACGUGUCAGGGCGGGGUUGUACACGCCCAGGGGGCUCCUCCUGGAGGGGAUCUCCCCUCCCACGUACAAGUGGAAGCACCAUGCUCCGCGAUGGCUGACGACACUGCCGAGGAGCGGCUAUGCCCGUACACAUAUGGAAGCGCUAUGCUCCGCACUGGUGAUAAACAACUGAGGGCAGCCCACGGCUGUAUCAACCUCAAGGAGCCCAGUGCUCAGUGUCUGGCCUCAUCGCAACGCCUCCUCUCGGGAGCGCCACGCGAGGGGGCUGGACACGGGGGCUGCGCCCGGGUCACGCCCGAGCGCACGCCACCCAGCCAGGUCCCUCGAACUUGGUCGUCGCGCGCCCCUCCCCGAGCGGAGCCAAGGUAUGAAGAUCGUUUUAGCAUCAAGGAGGACUCCUGAGCAUCACGACUCAGGAGCCUAACUGGUCAUGUAGCCCCUCACUCCUUAGUUCCACAAGGCUAAUGGCGGUUGAGGUAUGCGCGGGGCCGGGCCCUGCCGACAUAGAACGACAGAUCUAUUCCUACACCCCUCCCUAUUUGCUGUUUGCACGUCAAGGGGGACUCCUGAGCAUCGCGACUCAAGAGCCUAACUUGUCACGUAGCCCCUCACUCCUUGGUCCCGUCCUGGUGAUCCGGUCGGUGCUAAUGGCAGCUGAGGUAUGUGUGGGGCCAAGCUCUACCAACGUAGAACACAAAGCAAAUAGGAAGGAAACCGCAAAAUCUCGCAAAUUCAGAAGCAAAUAUUACAAACCAUAAAUUGUACUCACAAUACCAGACACAAGUUUAAAUGCCUCCACGAGGCACGGUGCAUGUUGCAGGAGUUGAAACAGGAAAGAAGCCGCAAGAAGAUCACCCUUGGGCAGCGCCGUCAUUCGCCAGGAGCCCCGCCUCUGUGGUGGUGUUGCGCCUGUCAGCUCCACCUCCCGAGGCCGCGGAACCAGCAGUACCUGCCUUGGGCACAGUGGCGAAGGCGCGGAACUUCGCCAGCAGGGCUUCCGCUCGGCCCUUCAUGGCUUUAGCAGCAGCGGCGGAGCACUCGAUGUCCACAGGCUCCAGUAGCUCGUCGAGGUUGGUGCCAGGGUCACGAAGGUAGACGUGGCUGAGGACCCGCGUCAGUGCCGCAGAAGAAAGGACGCGAGCUUCAACCUCGACCAUGGGGCCGACGCCGGUCAUGACUUCCUCAAGCACUUCGACCAAGAAGGGAAGCAGCUUGGCGGGGCCGUCCUUGGCCCCGGCCAGCGGCUUCUCCAGGCCACCGUCGUAGAGCGUCUUCAGCGCCUUGCGAGAUCUCUCCUCAAGAUCUGCAAAGGCCACGCGAUCCUCGGCCAGGACCUUCGCCUUGGCAUCUAGCUCGGCCCUCUCCGCCUUCAGCUUCUGCUCCAGCGUCUUCAGUCGGCUGCGAUCAGCAGACAACUCGGUGUCGCAGUCCCUGAUGGCGGCCUCCCGAGCCUUCAUCUCUUCCUCCUUUGCCUGACGGCCGUGAGCCCCUUUGGCGAGCUUGUCGCGCAAACCCUACAGCUCGUCCUCCAGUGCCUUGCACCGGUCUUGGGCGACCAUGGCAUCCUUCAGCGCCACAUCACGGGCGGCUGCAACCUGGGUGGCGACUUGCUUCUCCUCCUCGGAAGCUGCCGCUGCCCGACUCAGCGCCACUCGGACGGAGGUGUCGGAGUGAACCCAGCCAAAGAUCAGCUCCAGGCGCCCGACCACCAGGUGGGGGUUGGUGCCCUAGAGGUCUUCUCGCAGCUGGCCUAGCCCCGCAAGGGCAUGGUCCAAGACGGCGGAGGAGUUAGAGGAGUCAGGAACCAAUGGAGCAGGGGGAGAAGGCGGCAGCGUGACCACGACUUGGGAGACUGGGAGCUCCUGGGUCUUGGCAGCCUCAGCAACAACAUCAAGCACCGGCAUCUCCAGAGUCAGCGGGGCCACGGGGGCUGGCACCCUGCCAGGGCGCUCCUCCUGGCCUCACGAGGACGACCGGGCAGGGGAGGUGCGAGCUCCACUGCCUCCCCUUCCCACAGACGAAGGCGCGGCCACAACGGAUGAGCUUGCCCCAAGUGGAGCCACCGUGUCCCCCUUCAGCUUCUUCGCCACAAGCGGCGGCCUAACCAGAUGAUGGAGGACGUCAAGCCCUGAUAGCAAAGACAAGAACAACACGGAGUUCGAGCACUUACUGGUUAAUCGCACGUAUUCUGGCGGUCUCUUGCCGAGCUUAAAGCCCUUGAGCCUCUUGGUCCGGGGCGCAGCCUUGGGAGGUCCAGAGGCAGAGGAGGGCGCACCAGAAGGGUUGGAGCUAGCUUUGAGCAGUGCAUGGGCCGGGGUAGCCCCUCGGGAGAUCAGCCCCGACCUGUCCUUCUUCGGGAUCGCGGGCGGGUCCUCUCCCCCUUCCCUGGUGUCGGCCUCGUCAUCGUCCAACAGGGUGCAGAGGAUGUUGGACCUGCACCGGGGGGAAGUCUCCCCCGUCCCCUCAGCAGUCGCCUCUGAGUCGCGCUCCUCUUCUUAUUCGUCUUCCUCUCCUCCUCCACGGGAAUCAUCGGAAGACAAUUCCACUGGCGCCGCUGUCGGUGUCAAAUCCGACAUAUCUCGUAGUAGGGGUCCUAAGCUAGGCGUCUUGGAGCGAUGGUAACACAGACACAGGAUUUUACCCAGGUUUGGGCUCUCUUAAAGAGAUAAUACCCUACAUCCUGCUUUUGAUUGUAUUCAUAUGGGGGAUAGUACAUAGUAUAGGUGUCUACCACGAGAUUGUAGUAAUGAAUAUGAGAUUGUCUAUUGACCAGCCUGGCCUUCAGUUUAUAUAAGACACCGGAGGCCUAGGGUUUAAGAGAGUCCUUGUCUUGGGCGCCAAGUCUUGUGGAGUCUUCCUUGUAUGAAGCAGGGGUUGUCCGAACUGGCCCAUGAGUAUACGGCCAUGGGGGUCCUCGACCCAAUCCAACUGACUGGGAGACGACGUGGUGAGUACCCCCUAGUCCAGGACACCGUCAGCCACCGCCUCCUGGCCCUCAGGAGGCACCUCCGACACCAGACCGCUCCUAUCAAAGGUGGGCAUGGCUUCCACCACUUGUUGCCAGUUUUCGCGAAGGAACAAGGGGACAUAAGCGCCCUCCAGGCCUUCCACGUCCUCUCCAACCAGGAGGCGGAGAGAUGCGACCAGAUCCUCAUCAGCUAGGGCCUCCGAGUUUAGGUGGAGAUCAUCGUCCGCACCUUCAAGCCUCCACAACGGGCGCGAGUGCGCCUGAAGUGGAGCCACCCGCUCCGCCAGGAACUCCCUCAGGAGCGUGGCCCUGGUCAGCUUCGCCGCCUUCAUAUUGCUCGGUCUCAAGUCAGUGUUCAUCUUCUCCAGCAUCGACUUCACCCAUCGGUCGUCAAGCUUCGCGCGAGACCAUGCCUCGUCAGCCUGGUGCUGCUCCAUGGGUAGCACCAACCGAGAGUGGGUGCAUAUGGCGUCCAUCAUGACCCACUUGCUCCGAAAGCCAUCGACCCUCUUCCCGGUCUUCGAAAUCGCGUUGGCCUUGGAGUACGUGAUGAAGCCAGCGCACGCUGAGGUAUGGCUGCCGGAGAUUCGGAGGGAGAAGAAGUGGUGCAGCAAGGCCACAGACGGCAUCACCCCAACGUGCGCCUCAUAGUAGUAGGCGAAAAUCGAUAGAAGGAGGACAGAGUUUGGAUGGAGAUGAAGGGCCUGCAGCUUGUAAUGGCGGAUGACGGCGUAGAAGAACUCGGAGAAAGGAGGCACCAGGCCGGCGAUGACGGUGCUCAUGAAGAAGGGGUAGAAGGUACUCCCCUUGGCCUCCGGCUGGGCGGAGCCGACCCGGAGCACGGUCUCCCCCAUCUCAUUGCCCUGCACUGCCAUCAUCAGGCGCGUGGCGGUGAGAUUCUUCUCCGUCAUGUUGGGGGGAUCCAGAGCCGGUGAGUACCAAGCUGGCAGGGACUCACCUACGACCUUGCGGGGUGCUAUUGCUCGCUGGAAGAGAAAGGAUGAGGCUGAUCUGGAGAUUUUGGAAGCAAGAGAGCAAGAGCAAGGAAGGGGAUCUGAAGCAAGGCGAAUGAGAGCAAUGAAGGUAAGCCUAACCCAGGCCAACCUUUUGUCAGUCGGGCAGUUGCCGAGGCAGCAUGGGGAAGCGGAGACGCCCACGUCCAAUCAACCGCCAUGCCGCGACCAAGGCCGCAGACUGUUGGGGCCCGCGGUGCUCUACACUUGCCCUUUGGCUUUGCUGCUAAGCCAAGUCCGAGCGUGCCUUAGGCCCGGGGGCUACUGUCAGCGUUCUGGGAACGGGGGUCCCCAGACUUGCCUGCCUGCGGCCUGCGGCGUGGCUCAAGCAGUGGCCUAGUACGACCCAUCUUCAUCAACCCAAGUUCAAGAUCCUCGCGAGGGGCCAAGCCUCACGGGGCAGAUGACACAAGGCUUCCUCAGGGGUGGCCUAAUCACGCAGGCUCGCAAGGAGGCAGAGAGAUCAAGGCCAGGAGUACCUCGUGAGGUGCUCAUGACGCAAGCCAUGACGAUCAAGACUAGGCGGGCGCCAGGCGGGUGCCAGCCUAUGCAGUGUCCUCGUUUCCUCUUUGGUGCAAAGGGGGCAAGCGCAGGCGCGGAGUACCAAGGCAUCAAGCAAAGGUUUCCAUAUCGGCGCAAUGAGACCAAGACCAGCAGAGCGACAGGACGGAUAUCAUCAUGGAGCCCAAGACGGCAUCAUCACCAGUGCCUUUGGCAGUCGAAGACCACCUUUAGUCAGGAUAGCUUGUACUAGCUAUCCCCCUUCAAAAUGGCCGUUGUUGGCUCCCUUCCCGCUCAAUAUUUGGGAAGAGGACCAGGGCCUCUAUAUAUAGAGAUAGCCACCACAGUAGAAGGUAUCUGGAUCUCACCUACAUCCAACAGAGACGGAGCAAUUCCUCUCCAAGCACACCACCAUAAGAACACCCAUCGCGAGGUUGUUCUUCCUUUGUACUGUUCAUCAUCAGCCCAGAGGCAAUCCACCACACCACACAUUGGAUUAGGGUAUUACACCACAACGGUGGCCCGGACCAGUAUAAACCUCGUGUCCCUUGUGUUGUUCAUCGUGCUAGCUUAGAUUCGCGGCGAGGUUUUGGGGCGUGGAUCAGUAGGGAGAAGAUCUUCGUGCGCACCCCAGAGUUCGAACCUUAAGGGUUUUGCCAGAACCCGAUAUCCGACAGUAUCAUAUACAACUUUUCUUUAAUAAAUCCAUUAAGGAAUGCAGUUUUGAUAUCCAUUUAUCGGAUUUCAUAAAAUGUGGCAAUUGCUAACAUGAUUCAGAUAGACUUUAAGCGUUGAUACGAGUGAGAAAAUCUCAUCGUAGUCAACAUCUUAAACUUGUCAAAAACCCUUUUCGACAAGGUCGAGCUUUGUAGAUAGUAACACUACUAUCAUCGUCCGUCUUCCUCUUGAAGAUCCAUUUAUUCUCAAUGGCUUGCCGAUCAAUCGGGCAAGUCCACUAAAGUCCAGACUUUGUUCUCAUACAUGGAUUCUAUCUCAGAUUUCAUGGCCUCAAGCCAUCUGUCGGAAUCUGGGCUCAUCAUUGCUUCCUCAUAGUUCAUAUGUUUAUCAUGGUCUAGUAACAUGACUUCCAGAACAGGAUUACCGUACCACUCUGGUGUGGAUUGUACUCUGGUUGGCCUACGAGGUUUGGUAGUAACUUGAUCUGAAGUUUCAUGAUCAUCAUCAUUAACUUCCUCACUAAUUGGUGUAGGAAUCACUAGAACUGAUUUCUGUCAUGACCUACUUUCCAAUUCGGGAGAAGGUACAGUAACCUCAUCAAGUUCUACUUUUCCUCCCACUCACUUCUUUCGAGAGAAACUCCUUCUCUAGAAAGGAUCCAUUCUUAGCAACAAAGAUCUUGCCUUCAGAUCUAUGAUAGAAGGUGUACCCAACAGUUUCUUUUGGGUAUCCUAUGAAGACACAUUUCUUCGAUUUGGGUUCAAGCUUAUCAGGUUGAAGCUUUUUCACAUAAGCAUCGCAGCCCCAAAUUCUAAGAAACGACAACUUGGGGUUCUUGCCAAACCACAACUCAUAUGGUGUCGUCUCAACGGAUUUAGAUGGUGCCCUAUUUAACGUGAAUGCAGAUGUCUCUAAUGCAUAACCCCAAAACGAUAGUGAUAAAUCGGUAAGAGACAUCAUAGAUUGCACCAUAUCUAAUAAAGUACGGUUAUGAUGUUCGGACACACCAUUACACUAUGGUGUUCCAGGUGGUGUGAGUUGUGAAACUAUUUCACAUUGUUCGCACAUGAGGCAUCAUAGAACGGAGUUUUAGUCAUCUUUCACAUGAGGCAUCAUAGAACGGCAUUUUAGUCAUCUUGCACACGAGGCAUGGUUCGCAAGCAUCAAGUGAUUCCAAAAGCCGAUCAGCAUGGAGUUUCUUCAUGCGCUUUACACCAAUAUGACCUAAACGAUAGUGCCACAAAUAUGUUGCACUAUCAUUAUCAACUUUGCAUCUUUUGACAUAAAUAUUAUGAAUAUGUGUAUUACUACGAUCGAGAUUCAAUAAAACAUUCACCUUGGGUGUAUGACCACAGAAGGUUUUAUUCAUGUAAACAGAAUAACAAUUAUUCUUUGACUUAAAUGAAUAAUGUGUUGCAAUAAACAUGAUCCAAUCAUAUUAUGCUCAACGCAAACACAAAAUAACAUUUAUUUUAGGUUCACCACUAAUCCCGAAGGUAAAGGGAGUGUGCGAUGGUGAUCUUAUCAACCUUGGAAUCAUUUCCAACACACAUCGCCACCUUGCUCAACUAGUCUUUGUUCAUUUUGUAACUCCUGUUUCGAGUUACUAAUCAUAGCAACUGAACCCGUAUAAAAUACCUAGGGGCUAUUAUGAACACUAGUAAAGUACACAUAAAUAACAUGUAUAUCAUAUAUACUUUUGUUCACUUUGCCAUCCUUCUUAUCCGCCAAGUAUUUGGGGCAGUUUCGCUUCUAGUGACCAUUUCCUUCGUAGUAGAAGCACUCAGUUUCAGCCUUGGGUCUAGCUUUGGGCUUCUUCAUGGGAGUGGCAACUUGCUUGCUAUUCUUCUUGAAGUGCCAUUUCUUUCCCUUGCCCUUUUACUUGAAACUAGUGGUCUUGUCAACCAUAAACAUUUGAUGCUUUUCUUGAUUUCUACCUUAGUCGAUUUCAGCAACACGAAGAGCUCGGGAAUCGUUUUCAUCAUCCCUUGCAUAUUAUAGUUCAUCACAAAGUUCCAGUAACUUGGUGAUAGUGGCUAGAGAAUUUUGUCAAUCACUAUUUUAUCUGGAAGAUUAACUCCCACUUGAGCUAUUCUCCUCCAUCUUGUAGGCAAAGUACUUGUUAGAGGUCUCAUACCUCUCGACUCGGGCAUGAGUCUGAAAUACCAAUUUUAGCUCUUGGAACAUCUUAUAUGCUCCAUGGCAUUCAAAAUGUUUUUGAAGUCCCGGUUCUAAGCCGUAAAGCAUGGCGCACUAAACUAUCAAGUAGUUAUCAUACCGAGCUUGCCAAACGAUCAUAAUGUCUACAUCUGCUCCUGCAAUAGGUCCGUCACCUAGCGGUGCAUCAAAGACAUAAUUCUUCUAUGCAGCAAUGAGGAUAAUCCUCAGAUCACGGACCUAGUCCGCAUCAUUUCUAAUAUCAUCUUUCAACAUAGUUUUUCUCUAGGAACAUAUCUAAAAUAAAUAGGGAGCUACAUCGCGAGCUAUUGAUCUACAACAUAGUUAUGCAAAUACUACCAGGACUAAGUUCAUGAUAAAUUAAAGUUCAAUUAAUGAUAUUACUUAAAAACUCCCACUUAGAUAGACAUCCCUCUAAUCAUCUAAGUGAUCACGUGAUCCAUAUCUACUAAACCAUGUCCGAUCAUCACGUGGGAUGGAGUAGUUUUCAAUGGUGAACAUCACUAUGUUGAUCAUAUCUACUAUAUGAUUCAUGCUCGACCUUUCGGUCUCAGUGUUUCGAGGCCAUAUCUGCAUAUGCUAGGCUCGUCAAGUUUAACCCGAGUAUUCUACGUGUGCAAAACUGGCUUGCACCUGUUAUAUGUGAACGUAGAGCUUAUCACACCCGAUCAUCUUGUGGUGUCUCGGCACGACGAACUGUAGCAACGAUGCAUACUCAGGGAGAACACUUAUACCUUGAAAUUUAGUGAGAGAUCAUCUUAUAAUGCUACCGCCGUACUAAGCAAAAUAAGAUGCAUAAAUGAUAAACAUCACAUGCAAUCAAAUAAGUGAUAUGAUAUGGCCAUCAUCAUCUUGUGCCUUUGAUCUCCAUCUCCAAAGCACUGUCAUGAUCACCAUUGUCACUGCCUUGACACCUUGAUCUCCAUCGAAGCAUCAUUGUCGUCUCGCCAACUAUUGCUUCUACGACUAUCGCUACCGCUUAGUGAUAAAGUAAAGCAAUUACAUGGCGAUUGCAUUUCAUACAAUAAAGCGACAACCAUAUGGCUCCUACCAAUUGCCGAUAACUGUUACAAAACAUGAUCAUCUCAUACAACAAUUUAUAUAUCAUCACGUCUUGACCAUAUCACAUCACAGCAAGCCCUGCAAAAAUAGGUUAGAUGUCCUCUACUUUGUUGUUGCAAGUUUUACGUGGCUGCUAUGGGCUUAGCAAGAACCGUUCUUACCUACGCAUCAAAACCGCAACAUUUUUUACCAAGUGUAUUGUUUUAACCUUCAACAAGCACCGGGCGUAGUGACAGUCGAUUCAACUAAAGUUGGAGAAACAGACACCCACUUGCCACCUGUGUGCGAAGCACGGCGAUAGAACCAGUCUCAUGAACGCGGUCAUGUAAUGUCGGUAUGGGCUGAUUCAUCCAGCAAUACCGCCGAAUCAAAGUAUGACAUGCUGGUAAGCAGUAUGACUAUUAUCGCCCACAACUCUUUUUGUUCUACUCGUGCAUAUAACAUCUACGCAUAGACCUGGCUCGGAUGCCACUGUUGGGGAAUGUAGUAUUUCAAAAAAUUUGCCUACGAUCAUGCAAGAUCUAUCUAGGAUAGGCAUAGCAACGAGCGGGGAGAGUGUGUCUACGUACCCUUGUAGACCGAAAGUGGAAGCAUUUAGUAAUGCGGUUGAUGUAGUCGAAUGUCUUCGUGAUCCAACCGAUCAAGUACUGAACGCACGACACCUCCGUGAUUUGCACACGUUCAGCUCGAUGACGUCCCUCAUACUCUUGAUCCAGCUAAGGCCGAGGGAGAGUUUUGUCAGCAUGAUGGUGAGGUGACGUUGAUGAUGAAGUUACCGGCACGGGACUUCGCCUAAGCACUACGAUGAUAUGACCAAGGUGUGUAACUGUGGAGGAGGGCACCGCACACGGCUAAAAGAUCAACUUGUGUGUCUUGGGGUGCCCCCUUAGCCAUGUAUAUAAAGGAGGGAGGAGGUGGAGGCCGACCUAGGAGGGGCGCGCCUAUAGGGGGAGUCCAACUAGGAUUCCUGAUCCUAGUUGGAGUCCCCUUUCUUUUCUAAGAGGGGAGAGAGGGAAGGAGUAGGAGAAGGAGAAGGAAAGAGAGGCCCCCCUCCCUAGUCCAAUUUGGACUUUCCAUGGGGGGGGGGAGGCCACCCUUGAGGCCCUUCUCUCCUUUCCCGUAUGGCCCAUUAAGGCCCACUACUUCCUCCGGUGAAUUCCUGUAACUCUCCGGUACUCUGAAAAAUACCCGAAUCACUCGGAACCUUUCCCAUGGCCGAAUAUAGCCUUCCAAUAUAUCGAUCUUUACGUCUCGACCAUUUUGAGACUCCUCGUCAUGUCCGUGAUCUCGUCCGGGACUCCUAACAACCUUUGGUACAUCAAAUCACAUAACUCAUAAUAUAAAUCGUCAUCGAACGUUAAGCGUGCGGACCCUACGGGUUCGAGUACUAUGUAGACAUGACCGAGGCACAUCUCCGGUAAAUAACCAAUAGCGGAACCUGGAUGCUCAUAUUGACUCCUACAUAUUCUACGAAGAUCUUUAUAGGUCGAACCGCAUAACAACAUACAUUAUUCCCUUUGUCAUCGGUAUGUUACUUGCCCGAGAUUUGAUCGCCGGUAUCAUCAUACCUAGUUCAAUCUCGUUAUCGGCAAGUCUAUUUACUCGUUCCGUAAUGCAUCAUCUCGCAAUUAACUCAUUACUCACAUUGCUUGCAAGGCUUAUAGUGAUGUGCAUUACCGAGAGGGCCCAGAGAUACCUCUCCGACACACGGAGUGACAAAUCCUAAUCUCGAUCUAUGCCAACCGAACAAACACCUUCGGAUACACCUGUAGAGUAUCUAUAUAAUCACCCAGUUAUGUUAUGACGUUUGAUAGCACACAAGGUGUUCCUCUGGUAUUCGGGAGUUGCAUAAUCUCAUAGUCAGAGGAACAUGUAUAAGUCAUGAAGAAAGCAAUAGCAAUAAAACUGAACAAUCAUAAUACUAAGCUAAUGGAUGGGUCUUGUACAUCACAUCAUUCUCUAAUGAUGUGAUCCCAUUCAUCAAAUGACAACACAUGUCUAUGGUCAGGAAACAUAACCAUCUUUGAUUAGCGAUCUAGUCAAGUAGAGGCAUACUAGGGACAUUCUGUUUUGUCUAUGUAUUCACACAUGUACUAAGUUUCCGGUUAAUACAAUUCUAGCAUGAAUAAUAAACAUUUAUCAUGAUAUAAGGAAAUAUAAAUAACAACUUUAUUAUUGCCUCUAGGGCAUAUUUCCUUCACCAACAGCUCUGGAAAACUCUCGCCGAGCAGUAUUUCCAGAUAUUUGUGGUUCAGGAAUUGUAUUGGGUGCCGAUGGCAAGUCUGAAUUUCUCGGGCCCGCCUGCCAUCUGGCUGCAGUCGUUGCAACACAAAAUCGUCGGUCUUGCGUGGGAAUCGUUCACAGCUCUGCUGUGUACUUGAUUCGAGCGUGAUAAGCACCAACUCCUCAUCCGUCUGUUUUACGCUAUCCGUCAGACAGAUUCAGUUGCAGAUUUCAUGGAAUGUUUGAAACUCUGAUGAAUCAUAUAAUCUCUUACUCUGAACUGACACAUCCUUAUUUCUUUCUUACACGAUUAAUCGAGGGACCUGCAGACGAAUAUUUGUGCAGUGGUGCUCAUUCAGAGACCUCCCGAUCUCGAUAUGACGUGUUCUCUUGCCUUGCUCUAAGAGGAAGUGGCUGAUGGGGAGAACACCUUGUGCACCGGGUACAGCUGCUUGCUGGUGCCACUUUCAUGGUAACCAAUACACCGAGUCUACCUGCGAGUUCUGCAAAACUGUCCACACCAACAUCCAAAGCAGAAGAUAACCGAGGUACAGAAGCAACGAGUGUUGGGGAACAUAGUAAUUUCAAAAAAAAAAUCCUAGGCACACGCAAGAUCAUGGUGAUGCAUAGCAACGAGAGGGGAGAGUGUUGUCCACGUACCCUCGUAGACUGAAAGUGGAAGCAUUAUGACAACGCGGUUGAUGUAGUCGUACGUCUUCGGAAUCAACCGAUCCUAGUACCGUACGUACGGCACCUUCGCGAUCUGCACACGUUUAGCUCGGUGACGUCCCAUGAACUCAUGAUCCAGUAGAGCUUCAAGGGAGAGUUCCGUCAGCACGACGACGUGAUGAAGGUGAUGAUGAAACUACCGAUGCAGGGCUUCGCCUAAGCACCGCUAUGAUAUGACCAAGGUGGAUUAUGGUGGAGGGGGGCACUGCACACGGCUAAAAGAUCAAUGGUCAACUUAUGUGUCUAUGGGGUGCCCCCUCCCCAUAUAUAAAGGAGUCGAGGAGGGGGGGGGGAGGCCGGCCUCCUAGGCACGCCUCAAGGGUUGUCCUACUCCCACCGGGAGUAGGAUUCCACCCCUUCCAAGAGUAGGAAUAGGAGGGAAGGAAGGAGGAGAGAGGGGGAAGGAAAAAGGGGGGCGCCGCCCCCCUUCCUUGUCCAAUUCGGACUAGAGGGGGAGGGGGCGCGCGGCCUGCCCUGGCCGCCCCUUUAUCUCUCCACCAAGGCCCAUGAGGCCCAUUACACUCCUCGGGGGGUUCCGCUAACCCCCCGGUACUCCGGUAUUCGUUCGAACUCACUCAGAACCUUUCCGAAGUCCAAACAUAGUCAUCCAAUAUAUCAAUCUUUAUUUCUCGACCAUUUCGAGACUCCCUGUCAUGUCCGUGAUCAUAUCCGGGACUCUGAACUACCUUUAGUACAUCAAAACACAUAAACUCAUAUUAUCGAUCGUCACCGAAUGUUAAGCGCGCAGACCCUAUGGGUUCGAGAACUAUGCAGACAUGACCGAGACACGUCUCCGGUCGAUAACCAAUAGCAAAACCUGGAUGCUCAUAUUGGUUCCUACAUAUUCUACAAAGAUCUUUAUCGGUCAAACGCAUAACAACAUACGUUGUUACCUUUGUCAUCGGUAUGUUACUUGCCCGAGAUUUGAUCAUCGGUAUCUCAAUACCUAGUUAAAUAUCAUCAGCGGCAAGUCUCUUUACUCGUUCCGUAAUGCAUCAUCCCGCGACUAAGUCAUUACUUACAUUGCUUGCAAGGAUUAUAGUGAUGUGCAUUACCGAGAGGGCCCAGAGAUACCUCUCCGACAAUCGGAGUGACAAAUCCUAAUCUCGAUCUAUGCCAACUCAACAAGUACCAUCGGAGACACCUGUAGAGCACCUUUAUAAUCACCCAGUUAUGUUGUGACGUUUGGUAGCACACAAAGUGUUCCUCCGGUAUUCGGGAGUUGCAUAAUCUCAUUGUCAUAGGAACAUGUAUAAGGCAUGAAGAAAGCAGUAGCAAUAUACUAAACGAUCAAAUGCUAAGCUAACGGAAUGGGUCAAGUCAAUCACAUCAUUCUCUAAUGAUGUGAUCUCGUUAAUCAAAUGACAACUCAUGUCUAUGGUUAGGAAACUUAACCAUCUUUGAUUCAACGAGCUAUCAAGUAGAGGCAUACUUGUGACACUCUAUUUGUCUAUGUAUUCACACAUGUACUAAGUUUCCGGUUAAUACAAUUCUAGAAUGAAUAAUAAACAUUUAUCAUGAUAUAAGGAAAUAUAAAUAACAACUUUAUUAUUGCCUCUAGGGCAUAUUUCCUUCAGUCUCCCACUUGCACUAGAGUUAAUAAUCUAGAUUACACAGUAAUGAUUCUAACACACAUGGAGUCUUGGUGUUGAUCAUGUUUUGCUCGUGAGAGAGGCUUAGUCAACGGGUCUGCAACAUUUAGAUCCGUAUGUAUCUUGCAAAUCUCUAUAUCUCCUUCCUUGACUUGAUCGCGAAUGGAAUUGAAGCGUCUCUUGAUGUGCUUGGUUCUCUUGUGAAAUCUGGAUUCCUUUGCCAAGGCAAUUGCAUCAGUAUUGUCACAAAAGAUUUUCAUUGGACCUGAUGCACUAGGUAUGACACCUAGAUCGGAUAUGAACUCCUUCAUCCAGACUCCUUCAUUUUCUACUUCCGAAGCAGCUAUGUACUCCGCUUCGCACGUAGAUCCCGCCAUGACGCUUUGCUUAGAAUUGCACCAACUGACAGCUCCACCGUUCAAUAUAAACACGUAUCCGGUUUGUGACUUAGAGUCAUUCGGGUCAGUGUCAAAGCUUGCAUCGACGUAACCAUUUACGAUGAGCUCUUUGUCACCUCCAUAAACGAGAAACACAUCCUUAGUCCUUUUCAGGUAUUUCAGGAUGUUCUUGACCGCUGUGCAGUGAUCCACUCCUGGAUUACUUUGGUACCUCCGUGCUAAACUAAUAGCAAGGCACACAUCAGGUCUGGUACACAUCAUUGCAUACAUGAUAGAGCCUAUGGCUGAAGCAUAGGGAACACCUUUCAUUUUCUCUCUAUCUUCUGCAGUGGUCGGGCAUUGAGUCUGACUCAACUUCACACCUUGUAACACAGCCAAGAACCCUUUCUUUGCUUGAUCCAUUUUGAACUUCUUCAAAACUUUAUCAAGGUAUGUGCUUUGUGAAAGUCCAAUUAAGCGUCUUGAUCUAUCUCUAUGGAUCUUGAUGCCCAAUAUACAAGCAGCUUCACCGAGGUCUUUCAUUGAAAAACUCUAAUUCAAGUAUCAUUUUAUGCUAUCCAGAAAUUCUAUAUCAUUUCCAAUCAACAAUAUGUCAUCCACAUAUAAUAUUAGAAAUGCUACAGAGCUCCCACUCACUUUCUUGUAAAUACAGGCUUCUCCAAAAGUCUAUAUAAAACCAUAUGCUUUGAUCACACUAUCAAAAUGUUUAUUCCAACUCCGAGAUGCUUGCACCAGUCUAUAGAUGGAUCGCUGGAGCUUGCACAAUUUGUUAGUAUCAUUUGGAUCGAUAAAACCUUCAGGUUGCAGCAUAUACAACUCUUCUUCCAGAAAUCCAUUCAGGAAUGCAGUCUUUACAUCCAUUUGCCAAAUUUCAUAAUCAUAAAAUGCGGCAAUUGCUAACAUGAUUCGGACGGGCUUAGGCAUCGCUACGGGUGAGAAAGUCUCAUCGUAGUCAACUCCUUGAACUUGUCAAAAACCUUUCGCAACAAGUCGAGCUUUGUAGACAGUAACAUUACCGUCAGCGUUUGUCUUCUUCUUGAAGAUCCAUUUAUUCUCGAUGGCUUGCCGAUCAUUGGGCAAGUCAACCAAAGUCCACACUUUGUUCUCAUACAUGGAUCCCAUCUCUGAUUUCAUGGCCUCAAGCCAUUUCUUGGAAUAUGGGCUCAUCAUCGCUUCCUCAUAGUUCGUAGGUUCGUCAUGGUCAAGUAACAUGACCUCCAGAACAGGAUUACCGUACCACUCUGGUGCGAAUCUUACUCUGGUUAACCUACGAGGUUCGGUAGUAACUUGAUCUGAAGUUACAUGAUCAUCAUCAUUAGCUUCCUCACUAAUUGGUGUAGGAUUCACAGGAACAGAUUUCUGUGAUGAACUACUUUCCAAUAAGGGAGCAGGUACAAUUACCUCAUCAAGUUCUACUUUCCUCCCACUCACUUCUUUCGAGAGAAACUCCUUCUCUAGAAAGGAUCCAUUCUUAGCAAUGAAUGUCUUGCCUUUGGAUCUGUGAUAGAAGGUGUACCCAACAGUCGCAACGAAUGUCUUGCCUUCGGAUCUGUGAUAGAAGGUGUACCCAACAGUCUCCUUUGGGUAUCCUAUGAAGACACAUUUCUAUGAUUUGGGUUCGAGCUUAUUAGGCUGAAGCUUUUUCACAUAAGCAUCACAGCCCCAAACUUUAAGAAACGACAACUUUGGUUUCUUGCCAAACCACAGUUCAUAAGGUGUCGUCUCAACGGAUUUAGAUGGUGCCUUAUCUAACGUGAAUGCAGCCGUCUCUAAAGCAUAACCCCAAAAUGAUAGAGGUAAAUCAGUAAGAGACAUCAUAGAUCGCACCAUAUCUAGUAAAGUACGAUUAUGACGUUCAGAUACACCAUUACGCUGUGGUGUUCCGGGUGGCGUGAGUUGCGAAACUAUUCUGCAUUGUUUCAAAUGAAGACCAAACUCGUAACUCAAAUAUUCUCCUCCAUGAUCAGAUCACAGAAACUUUAUUUUCUUGUUACGAUGAUUUUUCACUUCACUCUGAAAUUCUUUGAACUUUUCAAAUGUUUCAGACUUAUGCUUCAUCAAGUAGAUAUACCCAUAUCUGCUCAAAUCAUCUGUGAAGGUGAGAAAAUAACGAUACCCGCCGCGAGCCUCAACAUUCAUCGGACCACAUACAUCAGUAUGUAUGAUUUCCAACAAAUCUAUUGCUCGCUCCUUUGUUCCGGAGAACGACAUUUUAGUCAUCUUGCCCAUGAGGCAUGGUUCGCAAGUACCAAGUGAUUCAUAAUCUAGUGAUUCCAAAAGUCAAUCAGAAUGGAGUUUCUUCAUGCUCUUUACACCAAUAUGACCUAAACGGCAGUGCCACAAAUAAGUUGCACUAUCAUUAUCACCUCUACAUCUUUUGGCUUCAAUAUUAUGAAUAUGUGUAUCACUAUUAUCGAGAUUCAAUAUAAAUAGACCAUUCUUUAAGGGUGCAUGACCAUCAAAGAUAUUACUCAUAUAAAUAGAACAACCAUUAUUCUCCGAUUUAAAUGAAUAACCAUCUCGCAUCAAACAAGAUCCAGAUAUAAUGUUCAUGCUCAACGCUGGCACCAAAUAACAAUUAUUCAGGUCUAAAACUAAUUCCGAAGGUAGAUGUAGAGGUAGCGUGCCGACACCGAUCACAUCGACUUUGGAACCAUUUCCCAUGCGCAUCAUGAAGGAAAUAUGCCCUAGAGGCAAUAAUAAAGUUAGUAUUUAUUUCCUUAUAUCAUGAUAAAUGUUUAUUAUUCAUGCUAGAAUUGUAUUAACUAGAAACAUAAUACAUGUGUGAAUACAUAGACAAACAUAGUGUCACUAGUAUGCCUCUACUUGACUAGCUUGUUGAUCAAAGAUGGUUGUGUUUCCUAGCCAUAGACAUGAGUUGUCAUUUGAUUAACGGGAUCACAUCAUUAGAAGAAUGAUGUGAUUGACUUGACCCAUUCUGUUAGCUUAGCACUUGAUCAUUUAGUAUGUUGCUAUUGCUUUCUUCAUGACUUAUACAUGUUCCUAUGACUAUGAGAUUAUGCAACUCCCGUUUACCAGAGGAACACUUUGUGUGCUACCAAACAUCACAACGUAACUGGGUGAUUAUAAAGGAGCUCUACAAGUGUCUCCGAAGGUACAUGUUGGGUUGGCAUAUUUCAAGAUUAGGAUUUGUCACUCCGAUUGUCGGAGAGGUAUCUCUGGGCCCUCUCGGUAAUGCACAUCACUAUAAGCCUUGCAAGCAAUGUGGCUAAUGAGUUAGUUGCGGGAUGAUGCAUUAUGUAAUGAGUAAAGAGACUUGCCGGUAACGAGAUUGAACUAGGUAUUGAGAUACUGACGAUCAAAUCUCGGGCAAGUAACAUACCGAUGACAAAGGGAACAACGUAUGUUGUUAUGAAGUUUGACCGAUAAAGAUCUUCAUAGAAUAUGUAGGAGCCAAUAUGAGCAUCCAAGUUCCGCUAUUGGUUAUUGACCGGAAACGUGUCUCGGUCAUGUCUACAUAGUUCUCGAACCCAUAGGGUCCGCACGCUUAAGGUUUCAAUGACAGUUAUAUUAUGAAUUUAUGAGUUUUGAUGUACCGAAGGUUGUUCGGAGUCCUGGAUGUGAUCACGGACAUGGCCAGGAGUCUCGAAAUGGUCUAGACAUGAAUAUUGAUAUAUUGGAAGCCUAUAUUUGGAUGUCGGAGGUGUUCCGGGUGAAAUCGGGAUUUUACCGGAGUACCGGGGGUUACGGGAACCCCCCCGGGGGCUUAAUGGGCCUACAUGGGCCUUAGUGGAAAUAGAGGGCAGCAAGGGGAGUGUGGGGCGCCCCCCAAGGCCCAAACCGAAUUGGUUUUUGGCAAGCCCCCUCCCCCUCUUUCCUUCUCCUCCUCUCCCUUUCCUCCCCCCUCUCCUACUCCUACUAGGAAAUAGGAGGAGUCCUACUCCUAGUGGGAGUAGGACUCCCCCUUGGUGCGCCUCUCCCUGGCCGGCCGCCUCCUCCCCUUGCUCCUUUAUAUACGGGGUAGGGGGGCACCCCAUAGACACAACAAUUGAUCUCUUGAUCUCUUAGCCGUGUGCGGUGCCCCCCUCCACCAAAGUCCUCCUCGAUAAUAUUGUAGCAGUGCUUAGGCGAAGCCUUGCGACUGUAGAACAUCAAGAUCGUCACCACGCCAUCGUGCUUACGGAAGGUGCCGUAGUUUUGGUGCUUGAUCGGUCGGGCCGUGAAGACGUACGACAACAUCAACCACAUUGUUCUAACGCUUCCGCUUUCGGUCUAUGAGGGUACGUGGACAACACUCUCCCCUCUUGUUGCUAUGCAUCACCAUGAUCUUGCGUGUGCGUAGGAAAUUUUUGAAAUUACUACGUUCCCCAACGGUGACAUCAGAGCUAGGUUUUAUGCGUAGAUGUUAUAUGCACGAGUAGAACACAAGUGAGUUGUGGCCGAUACAAGUCAUACUGCUUACCAUCAUGUCAUACUUUGGUUCGGCGGUAUUGUUAGAUGAAGCGGCCCGAACCGAUAUUACGCGUACGCUUACGUGAGACUGGUUCUACCGACGUGCUUUGCACACAGGUGGCUGACAGGUGUCAGUUUCUCCAACUUUAGUUGAACUGAGUGUGGCUACGCCAGGUCCUUGCAAAGGUUUAAACAUCACUAACUUUACGAACUAUCGUUGUGGUUUUUGACGCGUAGGUAAGAACGGUUCUUGCUCAGCCCGUAGCAGCCACGUAAAAUUUGCAACAACAAAGUAGAGGAUGUCUAACUUGUUUUUGCAGGGCAUGUUGUGAUGUGAUAUGGUCAAGACGUGAUGCUAUAUUUUAUUGUAUGAGAUGAUCAUGUUUUGUAACCGAGUUAUCGGCAAGUGGCAGGAGCCAUAUGGUUGUCGCUUUAUUGUAUGAAAUGCAAGCGCCCUGUAAUUGCUUUACUUUAUCACUAAGUGGUAGUGAUAGUCAUAGAAGCAAUAGAUGGCGUAACGACAACGAUGCUAUGAUGGAGAUCAAGGUGUCGCGCCGGUGACGAUGGUGAUCAGGACGGUGCUUCGGAGAUGGAGAUCACAAGCAGAAGAUGAUGAUGGCCAUAUCAUAUCACUUAUAUUAAUUGCAUGUGAUGUUUAUCCUUUAUGCAUCUUAUUUUGCUUUGAUUGACGGUAGCAUUAUAAGAUGAUCUCUCACUAAUUAUCAAGAAGUGUUCUCCCUGAGUAGGCACCGUUGAGAAAGUUCUUCGUGCUGAGACACCACGUGAUGAUCGGGUGUGAUAGGCUCUACGUUCAAAUACAACGGUGCAAAACAGUUGCACACGCGGAAUACUCAGGUUAAACUUGACGAGCCUAGCAUAUACAUAUAUGGCCCCAGAACACGGAGACCGAAAGGUCGAGCGUGAAUCAUAUACUAGAUAUGAUCAACAUAGUGAUGUUCACCAUUGAAAACUACUCCAUCUCACGUGAUGAUCGGACAUGGUUUAGUUGAUUUGGAUCACGUGAUCACUUAGAUGACUAGAGAGAUGUCUGUCUAAGUGGGAGUUAAGUAAUAUGAUUAAUUAAACUUAAAUUUAUCAUGAACUUAGUCCUGGUAGUAUUUUGCAAAUUUUGUUGUAGAUCAAUAGCUCGCGUUGUUGCUUUAUAUGUUUAUUUUGAUAUGUUCCUAGAGAAAAUUGUGUUGAAAGAUGUUAGUAGCAAUGAUGCAGAUUGGAUCUGUGAUCUGAGGUUUAUCCUCAUUGCUGCACAGAAGAAUUAUGUCCUUGAUGCACCGCUAGGUGUCAGACCUAUUGCAAGAGCAGAUGCAGACAUUAUGAACGUUUGGCUAGCUCAAUAUGAUGACUACUUGAUAGUUUAGUGAACCAUGCUUAACGGCUUAGAAUCGGGACUUCAAAGACGUUUUGAACAUCAUGGACCAUAUGAGAUGUUCUAGGAGUUGAAGUUAAUAUUUCAAGCAAAUACCCGAGUUGAGAGAUAUGAAGUCUCCAACAAGUUCUAUAGCUAAAAGAUGGAGGAGAAUCGCUCAACUAGUGAGCAUGUGCUCAGAUUGUCUGGGUACUACAAUCGCUUGAAUCAAGUGGGAGUUAAUCUUCCAGAUAAGAUAGUGAUUGACAGUGUUCUCUAGUCACCAUCACCAAGUUACUAGAACUUCAUGAUGAACUAUAGUAUGCAAGGGAUAGCGAAAAUGAUUCCCGAGUUCUUCGUGAUGCUGAAAUCAACGAAGGUAGAAAUCAAGAAAGAGCAUCAAGUGUUGAUGAUUGACAAGACCACUAGUUUCAAUAAAAGGGCAAAGGGAAAGAAAGGGAACUUCAAGUAGAAUGACAAGCAAGUUGUCACUCCCGCGAAGAAGCCCAAAGCUGGACCAAAGCCCGAAACUGAGUGCUUACACUGCAAAGGAAAUGGUCACUGGAAGCGGAAAUGCCCUGAAUAUUUGGUGGAUAAAAAGGAUGGCAAAGUGAACAAGGGUAUAUUUGAUAUACAGGUUCUUGAUGUGUGCCUUACUAGUGUUUAUAGUAGCCCCUGAGUAUUUGAUACUUGUUCGGUGGCUAAGAUUAGUAACUCAAAACAGGAGUUACAGAAUAAACAAAGACUAGUUGAAGGGGAAGUGACGAUGAGUGUUGGAAGUAGUUCCAUGAUUGAUAUGAUCAUCAUCACACACUCCCUAUACUUUUGGGAUUAGUGUUAAACCUAAAUAAAUGUUAUUUGGCGUUUGCGUUGAGCAUGAAUAUGAUUUGAUCAUGUUUAUUGUGAUACGGUUAUUCAUUUAAAGUCAGAGAAUAAUUGUUAUUCUGUUUACAUGAAUAAGACCUUCAAUGGUCAUACACCCAAUAAAAAUAGUUUGUUGGAUCUCGAUCAUAGUGAUACACAUAUUCAUAAUAUUGAUGCCAAAAGAUGCAAAGUUAAUAAUGAUAGUGCAACUUAUUUGUGGCACUACCGUUUCGGUCAUAUCGGUGUAAAGCGCAAGAAGAAACUCCAUAAAGAUGGAUUUUCGGAAUCACUUGGUUAUGAAUCAUUUGAUGUUUGCGAACCGUGCCUUUUGGGCAAGAUGACUAAAACUCCGUUCUCCGGAACAAUGGAACGAGCUACUGACUUGUUGGAAAUAAUACAUACUGAUGUAUGCAGACCAAUGAGUAUUAAGGCUCGUGGCGGGUAUCGUUAUUUUCUCACCUUCACAGAUGAUUUGAGCAGAUAUGGGUAUAUCUACUUGAUGAAACAUAAAGUCUGAAACAUUUGAAAAGUUCAAAGAAUUUCAUAGUGAAGUGGAGAAUCAUCGUAACAAGAAAAUAAAGUUUCUACGAUCUGAUCGUGGAGAAAGAAUAUUUGAGUUACGAGUUUGGCCUUCAUUUAAAAACAAUGUGGAAUAGUUUCACAGCUCAUGCCACCUGGAACACCACAACGUUAUGGUGUGUCCGAACGUCGUAACCACACUUUAUUGGAUAUGGUGCGAUCUAUGACGUAUCUUACAUGUUUACCAAUAUUGUUUUGGGGUUAUGCAUUAGAGACAGCUGCAUUCACUUUAAAAAGGGCACCAUCAAAAUCCGUUGAGACGACGCCUUAUGAACUGUGGUUUGGCAAGAAACCAAAGUUGUUGUUUCUUAAAGUGUGGGGCCACGAUGCUUAUGUGGAAAAAAGUUUCAACCUGAUAAGCUCGAACCCAAAUCGGAGAAGUGCGUCUUCAUAGAAUACCCAAAGGAAACUGUUGGGUACACCUUCUGAGGGAGUCCCGGAUUAGGGGGUGUCCGGAUAGCCGGACUAUGACCAUUGGCCGGACUCCUAGACUAUGAAGAUACAAGAUUGAAGACUUCGUCCCGUGUCCGGAUGGGACUUCCCUUGGCAUGGAAGGAAAGCUUGGCGAUACGGAUAUGUAGAUCUCCUACCAUUGUAACCGACUCUGUGUAACCCUAACCCUCUUUGGUGCCUAUAUAAACCAGAGGGUUUUAGUCCGUAGGACGGACAACAAUCAUACCAUAGGCUAGCUUCUAGGGUUUAGCCUCUCUGAUCUCGUGGUAGAUCUACUCUUGUACUACCCAUAUCAUCAAUAUUAAUCAAGCAGGAGUAGGGUUUUACCUCCAUCGAGAGGGCCCGAACCUGGGUAAAAACAUCGUGUCCCUUGUCUCCUGUUACCAUCCGCCUAGAUGCACAGAUCGGGACCCCCUACCCGAGAUCCGCCGGUUUUGACACCGACAUUGGUGCUUUCAUUGAGAGUUCCUCUGUGUCGUCAUCUUUAGGCCCGAUGGCUCCUCCGAUCAUCAACAACGACACGGUCCAGGGUGAGACUUUUCUCCCCGGACAGAUCUUCGUAUUCGGCGGCUUUGCACUGCGGGCCAAUUCGCUUGGCCAUCUGGAGCAGAUUGAAAGCUACGCCCCUGGCCAUCAGGUCAGAUUUGGAAGUUUGAACUACAUGGCUGACGUCCACGGAGACUUGAUCUUGGACGGGUUCGAGCCACAUCCAAGCGCGCCGCACUGUCACAAUGGGCAUGAUCUAGCUCUGCCGCCGAACAGUGCCCUGGAGGCCGCACCAGUGUCUGCUCCGACCCUUAGCUCGGAGCCGACUGCGCCGAUCGAGGACGGGUGGCUGGACACCACCUCAGGGGCUGCUACCUCUAUGGCGAUUGAGCCGAACACCAACCCUAUCCCUCGCGAAGCUCGUGACUCCAAGGUGCCGGACUCCUCUCCGGACUCCGAACCUUCCGCGCCCCUGCCAAUCGAAUCCGAUUGGGCGCCGAUCAUGGAGUUCACCACCGCGGACAUCUUUCAGCACUCGCCCUUUGGCGACAUCCUAAAUUCACUAAAGUCUCUCUCUUUAUUAGGAGAGCCCUGGCCAGAUUAUGGUCAGCAAGGCUGGGAUGUGGACGAAGAAGAAAUUCAAAGCCCACCCACCACCCACUUCGUAGCCACUGUCGAAAGUUUAAAUGACGUGCUCGAUUUCGACUCCGAAGACAUCGAUGGUAUGGACGACGAUGUAGGAGAUAAGCAUGAACCAUCACCUAUAAGGCACUAGACAGCCACCUCAUCUCACUAUGUAUACAUGGUGGACACACCUAAAGGAAGCGACGACGAGGAACAAUGGGACGCCACGAGGGAUCAUUCCCCCGAAAAGCAGUCAAAACAGCGACGUAAGCGCCGCUCAAAAUCCCGCCUCGACAAAGACAGCAGCCAUACAGACCCAGCCAUAGAGCAGGACGAACCGGUGGGCGACGAACAUGCCAUCACGCAACCGUCCGAACAGGACAACCUGGAUAAACAAUCCGUCCCCGGCGAAGAUAACAGUCCGGACGAUCUAACGCCGGACAAGUUGCUGGAGCAGAAGAACCUCCACAAAAGGCUCGUCGCCACUACGCGUAGCCUGAAAAAGCAGAAGCGGAAGCUCAAAACAGCGGAAGAUGCACUCAGAAUCAGAUGGAGCAAAGUACUCAACACCGCACACAAAUAUGGCGAUAGUCGCCGAACAAAGAGCUACCCGAAGCGAAAACUACUGCCCGAAUUUGAUGAGGAGGCCGUAGAGCCCCCACAAUCAAAAAACAAGGAGACCACCCGGUCGGAUAGACGACCCCAUGACAAACAUAGAGCGGCAAACGGCGCCGCACACAAGCCGGCACGCGAUCCGCACACGGAUUCACAUAAAAAAGAUGGCCCAGUUAGAUCUAUCUACGGGCCAAGAAAGCAAGCUCUAGUAAGCAAUGCAACACAUCAAGUAUCCGAAUGCUACGGUACAGCUAAAUAUAGAGGUGCCGCACCCCCCCUAUGUUUCACCGAUGAGGUUCUGGAUUACGAAUUCCCUGCAGGAUUCAAGCCCGUAAACAUAGAGGCAUACGACGGAACAACAGACCCCGGAGUCUGGAUUGAGGAUUACAUCCUCCACAUACACAUGGCUAGAGGAGAUGACCUCCACGCCAUAAAAUACCUACCCCUCAAGCUCAAAGGGCCAGCCCGGCAUUGGCUCAAAAGCCUCCCCGAAAACACCAUUGGAAGUUGGGAAGAGCUCGAGGAUGCUUUUCGGGCAAAUUUUCAAGGGACCUAUGUCCAACCUCCGGAUGCAGACGAUUUAAGUCGCAUAACUCAACAACCCGGAGAGUCAGCCCGAAAAUUCUGGAACAGAUUCCUUACUAAAAAGAACCAAAUAGUCGACUAUCCGGACGCCAAAGCCUUAGCAGCUUUCAAACACAACGUCCGAGACGAAUGGCUCGUCAGACACCUCGGCCAAGAAAAGCCAAGAACAAUGGCCGCAUUAACAAGCCUCAUGACCCGCUUUUGCGUGGGAGAGGAUAGCUGGCUGGCAAGAUGCAGUACCAGCGACCCAAGUACAUCCGAAGUCAAGGAUGGAAACGGAAAACCGCGACGCAGUAAGGACCAGCGCCGGACCAAGGGAAACAACCCGAAGAGCACGAUAGUCAACGCUGGAUUCAAAAGCUCUUGGCAGAAUCAUAAAAAACUGCCCCUUAAGGAUAACAGGGACGAGCUAUCUAACUUAAAUAAAAUCUUGGACAAGAUAUGCCAAAUCCACAGUACUCCCGGGAAGCCUGCAAACCAUACCCACAGAGAUUGUUGGGUCUUCAAGCAGUCCGGCAAACUCAACGCCGAACACAAGGGGCUCGACACACCAAGUGAGGACGAUGACGAACCCCACAAGCAGAGCACCGGAAAACAAAAGAAUUUCCCACAAGAAGUCAAAACAGUAAACUCACUUCACGUGACAAAAGGGAAAAAUAGAGCGGUGCCCAUAGAGGUACGCGCCAUACGGCCUAUCCCAGAGGAGUCUCGCAACUAGUUGUUAAAACCAAUCACCUUCGACCAUCAGGAUUACUCUAGAAGUAUCCGGAGUGCAGGAUGGACUGCCUUGAUAUUAGAUCCGAUAAUUGACGGACUCCAAUUUACACAAGUCCUAAUGGACGGCGGCAGUGAUCUAAACCUGCUAUACCAGGACACAAUCCGCAAAAUGGGGAUAGACCCAACCAAAAUUCGCCAUAGCAACACUUCCUUUCAAGGGGUAAUGCCAGGCCCAUAUGCCCAUUGUACAGGCUCUCUACUGCUAGAAGUUGUGAUCGACUCACCCGACAACUUCCGCCGCGAAAAGUUAACCUUCCACCUCGCCCCAUUUACAAGUAGCUACCAAGCACUACUGGGACGCGAAGCUUUCGCCCGCUUUAACGCAAUACCGCAUUAUGCAUCCCUUACACUUAAAAUGCCCGGUCCGCGAGGCAUCAUCUCCUUAAAGGGAAAUAUCGAGUGUUCCUCGAGCGCGGAAGAUUGUGUGACUACCUUGACAGCCACACACUAAACCAGCUUCACUAAUCAAAGCACCUAAAUAGGUUGUUCAGACCCCGGACACGGUUAGACGAGUCCGGCGUAAACAUACAAGGGCUUACUAGCCGCAUACCCCCGCACAAGGGGCUCCGCGCAUGUACAACAAGAGACAAUAAAGCUCAAUUUUAUUCAUUCUUUGAAUUGUACUUUGUUUAUUUAAUAUAACGUACAUUUUCGCACGAUCUUUUUCAACUAAGUUCCUCUCUUUUAUAGAUGAACACCGUGCUACACCCGUCCAGGAUACGGCACAACGGAGACACAGGCGCAGACGUGCAGCAGGGACCCGUGACAAGGAUUCUUUUCAGAUUAAGACCCUGCGUAAACCUUUUUUACUGUCUCUUGUUGAUACACAUCCCCUGGUUUCUUGCUAUAACCAAGGAGGAGGCUGAUGUUUUGGCAUGGGCCAUGUCAGAAUUUUGCGCGUACCUGGACACCAGGGGCUUAUUACCAAGGGCGUUGUUCGGCCCGUUUUCAUAAAGACCGAAUACCUUAGGGAGUGUUCGGCGUCUCGAGUUAGGCGUUAUAUGCAUCAGCUCCGAAUCAUGUCUUUGGUCAAAUGUUGGGUUUGCCCGGCUCCUGUGCUUUGCUGUCUUAUGUUCCGCUCUAUCGGCUAAGGCGGCACCAGGAGAACUGCUGCGAUUGUGCCCCGGUUCGGCCAGGCGAGCACCUCAGUAGAGAAAGCCGAAAACUGUCUGUCAUGAUAUAGCGUGAGACUGGUCAACCACUCGAUGACCCGCCGGAAUCUAUAGGAUUCCUCCGCAUUGACGAAGGACCGUUUCCCGGUCAGGCACAUACACGCCCCAAAUUCGGGUGAGCGCAGUGCCCCUAGGGGCUAUAUCGUAGCCCCAUUGUCAAACUCCUAUGGCUAAGUGAAAGUGAUAAAGCAUUAUAGUCCGGUUGCCUAGUUUGCUGCGCUACCACCUCCUUUAUAGGACCAAGACGUUGGAUCAAGUGUGAAAACGCGCCUUUUUGCAAACACCCCCGCAUUAUAUGCGUGGGGGCUGAAGCCGAAGACUACCAUCUUUCAGGUUAUAUAUACAUAUACAUUAGCGGCCACACAGGAGGUAUUUUAAUUCUUGAAAGGCACAAGUAUAAAAAGCUCUUAUAUUCCAUCGAUACAUUGUUUCACAAAUAAUGCAUGUUAUUCGAACAUAAUAUCCUUCGAGCACUGUGUCUCUAUUAAAUGAGCGCCCUGCAGAACUUCCUGAAAAUAGUGCUCGACAGGUACUCGGCUUCCGUUCGAAUCUUGGGAUGCAACAUCGGUGGCCUUCAUCUCCGCCCAGUAUGUCUUGACACGGAAAAGAGCCACCCGCGCACCCUCUAUGCAUGCCGACCUCCUCAUUGCAUUGAUAUGCGGCACCACACCAAGGAACUGCUGCACCAAGCCAAAAUAACUCUUUGGCUCGGGCCUUUUCGGCCACAAAAGACUCACGACAUCCUUCAUGGCAAGUCCGGAUAACCUAUUCAGCUCCUCCCAUUCGGCCAAGCAAUCGCUUAAUGGAAGUGGGCGCUCUGGAUUAUGGAACUGCGACCAAAAAACCUUUUCCAUUUUGUGAUCCUUUUGAUCUCGGAAGUGUUCGGCCGCGUCCGCGGCACUUGCCGCCCGGUCCAGAUAAGCAUCCUACACACUCCACAGCCGGUCCAACUGAGCAUAUUUAGGAUCCACGAAUUUCCUCCGCAGCAUAAAGGGCUUUCCAGCCGCGAUAUCUCUGGCCUGACGCAGCUCCUCCUUCAUAGCUCUCAUCGCAGAGCGAGCAUCCUUGGCCUCGGUAGUGGCCUUCUUCAAGUCCUCUUGCACCACUCGAUCUUCUUUUUCAAGAAGCUUGCAACGGUCGGCAGCAUUCUUUAACUUCACGGCCAUCUCGGCCAUUUCCUUCUUGCUUUGGCAGUGAGCAGCCUGUUCGGCUUUUAGCUCUUUGGCCGCCUUUAAGGCAGCCACAUCACUCUUUCUGGCAUGCUCCUUGGCUCGAGCGAGCUCCGCCCGAAGGUUCUCCAUGGUAGCGGCACCAUCUUCAUCAAGCAUACAUGUUGUAAGGCACGGGCAUCAAGCUCCUUUACCAGGUGUCCGCGGAGAAAUUACACACCUUGUGACUGGUCAAGUCGCUUAUUAACAAGCGCGAUGUCGGCAUCAGCCACGUCAAGUUGCCGCUUUAGUUCGGCAAAUUCAUCAGUCCGGCUAGCCACCGGACCCUUUGCCACCUACAUUGGAAGGGCGACACAUUAUACCUGGGAUUAUGAUCCUCGACGCGCUGUCAUUUUUGACAACACACCGAGCCUCAGGGGCUACUAUCUACACUGGGCGCAUUUUAUAUGCGGAACUGUCAGAGGGUACAUCAUUUUGUGUACCUCAAAUCCUGUUAGUAAACUUCUGACGGCUUCCUGCAAUCCGCUCUCAGCGGAUGAAAUCCUUUCAAUCACCAUACCCAUUAACGCACGGUGAUCUUCUGAGAUAGACACUCGCCCGAGCAGAUCCCUUAGCUCCUCCGACUGUACACCAGGUGGUGCCGGACUCGUCCGAUGGCCUUUUUCGAAGGCCAGACAUGGAGGGCUUUGAGGGGACAUACGACUGCCUUCCGGCCCCGCCGGACUCGGAGAAACCCUCCGCAACGACACCUCAGGGUCGCUCGCCUCGCAAGACGGUAUGGCAGGGGGAGGCAUUUUGCUCUCUAUCAUCUCCGGACGAAGAUCCCCCGAAGAUGAGCUCUGUUGAGAAGGGCCGAGAUCCGAACUACAAGGUAAAAUUUCGGUCAUCUUCAUCAGAAAUAGGGCAGGGAUAUCCUUUAUUUUAAAAUAAACUCCCCUUUUUACUUACGGCUCGGUAGAGGGCUCAUCCCCUUGGGGGCAUAAUGCGGCCGAGGCAUCUCUCGGCGCAGGACCCUCUGGAGAAGAUUUCUUCCCCCGCUUUGAGACCAUGGUCUCCGGGUCUUCAGAGGCGGUCCUCUUCUUCCCUUGGAUGGAGGGAUUCUCGAUCCCUCCUCUCCUGACAGCCUCCUUCGCGGAGGCGGUAGCUUCCUUGUUCCCCCCUUCACCCUCUUCCGAAGGCGCAACCUCUAGCAUCAUGGUUAACACGGGAUCCGACGUGGUCUCAGGGAGGGGGGUCGGACACCUGAUUAACUUUGCUUUCGCUAUCCACUCCUGUUCAAGGAACAACUCUUUUAAAGGGCAAGUUCGUAAUAAAUACGGGAUAGUGUGUUCGGAUACAAGGCUACUUACUUGAGUAUCCGGGCGAUGGCAGCUUAGACCUGCGUCCUCGGUCAAGUCUGGUCACAUCGCUUGUGAUCCGAAGAGAAGCUUGUACAUCUCCACGGGCGUCACGCCCAUAAAAUGUUGGAGAGCUCGUGGUCCCUCCGGGUUAAAUUCCCACAGGCGGAGGAGGCGAUGUUUGCAGGGCAGGAUGCGAUGAAUCAGCAUGACCUGCGCUACUACGACCAGAGUGAUCUCUCUCUCUCUAGGAGGUCUCGAAUGCGGCCCUGCAACAAGGGCACUUCCUUGGACGGCCCCCAGUCAAGUCCUUUUUGACCCAUGACGCCAGCCGCGGUGGAGGACCCGAGCGAAAGGCAGGUGGCGCCACCCAUUUGGUGCCCCUGGGAACUGUGAUAUAAAACCACUCUUGUUGCCAUAGGCCGAGCUCCUCUUGAAAAGAGCCCUCGGGCCACGGAGCAUCAACAUUCUUGCUUAUAACAGCCCCUCCGCACUCUGCCUGCUGCCCCUUAAUCAUCUUCGGCUCCACCUUGAAGGUCUUGAGCCACAAUCCGAAGUGAGGGGUAAUGUGGAGGAAGGCUUCGCAUACGACAAUGAACGAUGAGAUGUGGAGGAUGGACUCCGGAUCCAAGUCAUGAAAUUCCAACCCAUAAUAAAACAUGAGCCCCCUCACGAAGGGGUCCGUCGGGAAGCCUAGCCCCCGAAGAAAGUGAGACGCGAACACCACGCUUUCGCCAGGCUUGGGAGUGGGAAUAACCUGCCCUUGGGUAGGCAGCCUAUGCAAAAAUUUCGCCGGUUAUAUACCUGGCAUCUCUUAGAUUUAGCACGUCUUCUUCCGUAACGGAGGAAGGCAUCCACCGGCCUUGCAGGUCAGAGCCGGACAUCAUCGAAGGUCCGAAGCUCCUGAAUCUGGAGCUUUGGGUGUUGGAACUCGAGGCGAGGGGCGGAUUCGAUUGAGAUUGAAAGAAAGGAGUGGAGCCUUGGUCUCUUUAUAAAGAGGUUGAAUACCAAGAGCCUUCCCCGUGACCGUUCGGGACUCGCCUUCGAUAGAGGAGACGUGCCAAUGGGCACGAUUGGGUUACCCACACCCAUAUUGAUGAGAAUCCCGGAAUCAGGGGACACAAUCUCUGCUUCAACAAGACGUGCCAAGGAAACCGCCUCGCUAAACACGCUAAGGUGGGACAGUAAAAAUGAUUCGAAUAAAGGCUUGGCCGCGGUGUGAUGUCACGCCAUGGAAUACGUCAGCAGAUUGAAUUUGUGUAAAUAUUAUUCUCUCUAAGGUGGUAUGUGGAACUUAUUUUGCAGAGCCGGACACUAUCCUUGUGUUCAAAAUCUUCUAUGAAGUAUUCGGAGGAGGAAGCCGCCUUGCAAUGCCGAAGACAAUAUGCGCGCCGGACUCGUCGUCAUUGAAGCCUGGUUCAGGGGCUACUGAGGGAGUCCCGGAUUAGGGGGUGUCCGGAUAGCCGGACUAUGACCAUUGGCCGGACUCCUGGACUAUGAAGAUACAAGAUUGAAGACUUCGUCCCGUGUCCGGAUGGGACUUUCCUUGGCGUGGAAGGCAAGCUUGGCGAUACGGAUAUGUAGAUCUCCUACCAUUGUAACAAACUCUGUGUAACCCUAACCCUCUUCGGUGCCUAUAUAAACCGGAGGGUUUUAGUCCAUAGGACGGACAACAAUCAUACCAUAGGCUAGCUUCUAGGGUUUAGCCUCUCUGAUCUCGUGGUAGAUCUACUCUUGUACUACCCAUAUCAUCAAUAUUAAUCAAGCAGGAGUAGGGUUUUACCUCCAUCGAGAGGGCCCGAACCUGGGUAAAAACAUCGUGUCCCUUGUCUCCUGUUACCAUCCGCCUAGACGCACAGAUCGGGACCCCCUACCCGAGAUCCACCGGUUUUGACACCGACACCUUCUAUCAUAGAUCCGAAGGCAAAAUAUUCGUUGCUAAGAUGGAUCCUUUCUAGAGAAGGAGUUUCUCUUGAAAGAAGUGAGUGGGAGGAAAGUAGAGCUUGAUAAGGUAAUUGUACCUUCUCCUGAAUUGGAAAGUAGUUUAUCACAGAAAUCAGUUCUAGUUAUUCCUACACCAAUUAGUGAGGAAGCUAAUGAUGAUGAUCAUGAAGCUUCAGAUCAAGUUACUACUAAACUUUGUAGAUCUUCCAGAUUAAGAUCCGCACCAGAGUGGUACGGUAAUCCUAUUCUGAUGUCAUGUUACUAGACCAUGAUGAACCUACGAACUUUGAGGAAGCGAUGAUGAGCCCAGAUUCCGCGAAAUGGCUUGAAGGCCAUGAAAUCUGAGAUGGGAUCCAUAUAUGAGAACAAAGUGGACUAUGGUGGACUUGCCCGAUGACCGGGAAGCCAUAGAAAAUAAAUGGAUCUUCAAGAGGAAGACAAAUGCGGAUAGUAGUGUUACUAUCUACAAAGCUCGAAUUGUCGCAAAAAUGUUUUCGACAAGUUCAAGGUGUUGAAUACGAUGAGAUUUGCUCACUUGUAUUGAUGCUUAAGUCUGUCCGAAUCAUGUUAGCAAUUGCCACAUUUUAUGAAAUUUGGCAAAUGGAUGUCAAAACUGCAUUUCUUAAUGGAUUUAUUAAAGAAGAGUUGUAUAUGAUGCAACCAGAAGGUUUUGUCAAUUCUAAAGAUGCUAACAAAAUAUGCAAGCUCCAGCGAUCCAUCUAUGGACUGGUGCAAGCAUCUCAGAGUUGGAAUACACGCUUUGGUAAGUUGAUCAAAGCAUAUAGUUUUAUACAAACUUGCAAUGAAGCCUGUAUUUACAAUAAAGUGAGUGGGAGCACUACCGCCUUUCUGAUAAAUAUAUGUAAGUAACAUAUUGUUGAUCAGAAAUGAUGUAGAAUUUUUCUAGAAAGCAUAAAGGAGUAUUUGAAUGGAGUUCUUUAAAAAGAAAGACCUUAGUAAAGCUACUUACAUAUUGAGCAUCAAGAUCUAUUGAGAUAGAUCAAGAUGCUUGAUAAAUUUUUCAAUAAAGUACAUACCUUGUCAAGUUUUUGAAGUAGUUCAAAAUGGAACAGUCAAAGAAGGAGUUCUUGCCUGUGUUGCAAGGUGUGAAGUUGAGUAAGACUCAAAACCCGACCAUGGCAGAAAAUAGAAAGAGAAUGAAUAGUCAUUCCCUAUGCCUCAGUCAUAGGUUCUAUAAAGUAUGCUAUGCUAUGUACCAAACCUAUUGUAUACCUUGCUCUGUAUUUGGAGAGGGAGUACAAUAGUGAUCUAGGAGUAGAUCACUGGACAUUGGUCAAGAAUAUCCUUAGUGAGGACUAAGGAAAUAUUUCUCGAUUAUGCAGGUGAUAAAAGAGCCCGUCAUAAAGAGUUACAUUGGUGCAAGAUUUUACACCAAUUCAGAUGACUCUAAGUCUCAAUCUGGAUACAUAUUGAAAGUGGGGGCCAUUAGCUAGAGUAGCUCCAUGCGGAGCAUUGUGGACAUAGAAUAUUUGCAAAAUACAUACAACUCUGAAUGUGACAGGCCCAUUGACUAAACUUCUCUCACGAGCAAAACAUGAUCACAACUUAGUACUCUUUGGGUGUUAAUCACGUAGCAAUGUGAACUAGAUUAUUGACUCUAGUAAACCCUUUUGGGUGUUGGUCACAUGAUGAUGUGAACUAUGGGUGUUAAUCAUAUACAGGUAUGAAUAUUGGUGUUAAAUCACAUGGCGAUGUGAACUAGAUUAUUGACUAUAGUGCAAGUGGGAGACUGAAGGAAAUAUGCCCUAGAGGCAAUAAUAAAGUUAUUAUUUAUUUCCUUAUAUCAUGAUAAAUGUUUAUUAUUCAUGCUAGAAUUGUAUUAACCGUAAACACAAUACAUGUGUGAAUACAUAGACAAACAUAGUGUCACUAGUAUGCCUCUACUUGACUAGCUUGUUGAUCAAAGAUGGUUGUGUUUCCUAGCCAUAGACAUGAGUUGUCACUUGAUUAACGGGAUCACAUCAUUAGAAGAAUGAUGUGAUUGACUUGACCCAUUCCGUUAGCUUAGCACUUGAUCGUUUAGUAUGUUGCUAUUGCUUUCUUCAUGACUUAUACAUGUUCCUAUGACUAUGAGAUUAUGCAACUCCCGUUUAUCGGAGGAAUACUUUGUGUGCUACCAAACGUCACAACAUAACUGGGUGAUUAUAAUGGAGCUCUACAGGUGUCUCCGAAGGUACAUGUUGGGUUGGCGUAUUUCAAGAUUAGGAUUUGUCACUCCGAUUGUCGGAGAGGUAUCUCUGGGCCCUCUCGGUAAUGCACAUCUCUAUAAGCCUUGCAAGCAAUGUGGCUAAUGAGUUAGUUGCAGGAUGAUGCAUUACGUAACGAGUAAAGAGACUUGCCGGUAACGAGAUUGAACUAGGUAUUGACAUACCGACGAUCGAAUCUCGGGCAAGUAACAUACCGAUGAGAAAGGGAACAACGUAUGUUGUUAUGCGGUUUGACCGAUAAAGAUCUUCGUAGAAUAUGUAGGAGCCAAGAUGAGCAUCCUGGUUCCACCAUUGGUUCUUGACCGGAAAUGUGUCUCGGUCAUGUCUACAUAGUUCUCGAACCCGUAGGGUCCGCACGCUUAAGGUUUCGAUGACAGUUAUAUUAUGAGUUUAUGAGUUUUGAUGUACCGAAGGUUGUUCAGAGUCCUGGUUGUGAUCACGGACAUGACGAGGAGUCUCGAAAUGGUUGAGACUUGAAGAUUGAUAUAUUGGAAGCCUAUAUUUGGAUGUCGGAAGUGUUCCGGGUGAAAUCGGGAUUUCACCGGAGUACGGGGGUUACCGGAACCCCCCCGGGGGCUUAAUGGGCCUACAUGGGCCUUAGUGGAAAUAGAGGGCAGCAAGGGGAGUGUGGGGCACGCCCCCAAGGCCCAAACCGAAUUGGUUUAGGGCAAGGGGGCCGGCCCUCCUCUUUCCUUCUUCUCCUCUCCCUUUCCUUCCCCUCUCCUACUCCUACUAGGAAAUAGGAGGAGUCCUACUCCUAGUGGGAGUAGGACUCCCCCUUGGCGCGCCUCUCCCUAGCCGGCCGCCUCCUCCCCUUGCUCCUUUAUAUACGGGGGCAGGGGGCACCCCAUAGGCACAACAAUUGAUCUCUUGAUCUCUUAGCCGUGUGCGGUGCCCCCCUCCACCAUAGUCCUCCUCUAUAAUAUUGUAGCGGUGCUUAGGCGAAGCCCUGCGACGGUAGAACAUCAAGAUCAUCACCACGCCGUCAUGCUGAUGGAACUCUCCCUCGACACUCGGCUGGAUUGGAGUUCGAGGGACGUCAUCGAGAUGAACGUGUGCUAGAACUCGGAGGUGUCGUAGUUUCGGUGCUUGAUCGGUGGGGCUGUGAAGACGUACGACUACAUGAACCGCAUUGUUCUAACGCUUCCGCUUUCGGUCUACGAGGGUACAUGGACAACACUCUCCCCUCUCAUUGCUAUGCAUCACCAUGAUCUUGCGUGUGCAUAGGAAAAUUUUGAAAUUACUAUGUUCCCCAACACAUCGGCACCUCGUCGUUAGCCAAUCUUCGCUUAAUCCGUCGUCCCUAUUUCGAGUUGCAAAUAUUAGCAACAAAACCAGUAUCAAAUUCCCAGGUGCUACUGCGAGCAUUAGUAAGGUACACAUCAAUACCAUGUAUAUCACAUAUACCUUUGUUCACCUUUCCAUCUUUCUUAUCCGCCAAAUACUUGGGGCAGUUCCGCUUCCAGUGACUAGUCCCUUUGCAGUAGAAGCACUCAGUCUCGGGCUUAGGUCUAGACUUGGGUUUCUUCACUUGAGCAGCAACUUGCUUGUCAUUCUUCUUGAAGUUCCCCUUCUUCCCUUUACCAUUUUUCUUGAAAUUGGUGGUCUUGUUGACCAUCAACACUUGAUGCUCCUUCUUGAUUCCUACCUCCCCAGCCUUUAGCAUCGCGAAGAGCUCGGGAAUUGUCUUAUUCAUCCCUUGCGUAUUAUAGUUCAUCACGAAGCUCUUGUAGCUUGGUGGCAGUGAUUGAAGAAUUCUGUCAAUGACACUAUUAUCCGGAAGAUUAACUCUCAGUUGAAUCAAGUGAUUGUUAUACCCAGACAUUUUGAGUAUAUGCUCAUUGACAGAACUAUUCUCCUCCAUCUUACAGCUGUAGAACUUAUUGGAGACUCCAUAUCUCUCAAUCCAGACAUUUGAUUGAAAUAUUAACUUCAACUCCUGGAACAUCUCAUAUGUCCAUGACGUUCAAAACAUCGUUUAAGUCCCGGUUCUAAACCAUAAAGCAUGGCACACUAAACUAUCGAGUAGUCAUCAGCUUUGCUCUGCCAGACGUUCAUAACAUCUGGCGUUGCUCCUGCAGCGGGUUUGGCACCUAGCGGUGCUUCCAGGUGGUAAUUCUUCUGUGCAGCAAUGAGGAUAACCCUCAAGUUACGGACCCAAUCUGUGUAAUUGCUACCAUCAUCUUUCAACUUUGCUUUCUCAAGGAACGCAUUAAAAUUAAACGGAACAACAACACGGGCCAUCUAUCUACAACAACAUAGACAUGCAAAAUACUAUCAGUUACUAAGUUCAUGAUAAAUUAAAGUUCAAUUAAUCAAAUUACUUAAGAACUCUCACUUAGAUAGACAUCCCUCUAAUCAUCUAAGUGAUCGCGUGAUCCAUAUCAACUAAACCAUGUCCGAUCAUCACGUGAGAUGGAGUAGUUUUCAAUGGUGAACAUCACUAUGUUGAUCAUAUCUACUAUAUGAUUCAUGCUCGACCUUUCGGUCUUAGUGUUCCGAGGCCAUAUCUGCAUAUGCUAGGCUCGUCAAGUUUAACCCGAGUAUUAUGCGUGUGCAAAACUGGCUUGCACCCAUUGUAUGUGAACAUAGAGCUUAUCACACCUGAUCAUCACAUGGUGUCUCGGCAUGACGAACUUUCACAACGGUGCAUACUCAGGGAGAACACUUAUACCUUGAAAUUUAGUGAGAGAUCAUCUUAUAGUGCUACCGUCGAUCUAAGAAAAAUAAGAUGCAUAAAAGAUAAACAUCACAUGCAAUCAAUAUAAGUGAUAUGAUAUGGCCAUCAUCAUCUUGUGCCUUUGAUCUCCAUCUCCAAAGCACCAUCAUGAUCACCAUCAUCAUCGGCGCGACACCUUGAUCUCCAUCGUAGCAUCGUUGUCGUCUCGCCAACUAUUGCUUCUAUGACUAUCACUACCGCUUAGUAAUAAAGUAAAGCAAUUACAUGGCGAUUGCAUUUCAUACAAUAAAGCGACAACCAUAUGGCUCCUGCCAGUUGCCGAUAACUCUGUUACAAAACAUGAUCAUCUCAUACAAUAAAAUUUAGCAUCAUGUCUUGACCAUAUCACAUCACAACAUGCCCUGCAAAAACAAGUUAGACACACUCUACUUUGUUGUUGCAAGUUUUAUGUGGCUGCUACGGGCUGAGCAAGAACCAUUCUUACCUACACAUCAAAACCACGACGAUAUUUCAUCAAGUAUGUGCUGUUUUAACCUUCACAAGGACCGGGCGUAGCCACACUCGAUUCAACUAAAGUUGGAGAAACUGACACCCGCCAGCCACCUGUCUGCGAAGCACGUCGGUAGAACCAGUCUCGCGUAAGCGUAUGCGUAAUGUCGGUCUGGUCUGCUUCAUCCAACAAUACCGCCGAAUCAAAGUAUGACAUGUUGGUAAGAAGUAUGACUUGUAUCGCCCACAACUCACUUGUGUUCUACUCGUGCAUAUAACAUCUACGCAUAAACUUGGCUCGGAUGCCACUGUUGGGGAACGUAGAAAUUUCAAAAAGAUUCCUACACACACGCAAGAUCAUGGUGAUGCAUAGAAACGAGAGGGGAGAGUGUUGUCCACGUACCCUCGUAGACCGAAAGCGGAAGCGUUAUGACAACGCGGUUAAUGUAGUCGUACGUCUUCACGAUCGACCGAUCCUAGUACCGAACGUACGACACCUCCGCGAUAUGCACACGUUCAGCUCAAUGACGUCCCACAAACUCACGAUCCAGUAGAGCUUCGAGGGAGAGUUCCGUCCGCACGACGACAUGAUGACGGUCCUGAUGAAACUACCGACGCAGGGCUUCACCUAAGCACCGCUACGAUAUGACCGAGGUGGAUUAUGGUGGAAGAUGGCACUGCACACGGCUAAAAGGUCAAUGAUCAACUUGUGUGUCUAUGGGGUGCCGCCCUCCCCCGUAUAUAAAGGAGUGGAGGAGGGGGAGGAGGCCGGCCUCCUAGGCGCGCCCCAAGGGAAGUCCUACUCCCACCGGGAGUAGGAUUUCACCCCUUCCAAGAGUAGGAGUAGGAGGGAAGGAAGGAGCACAAGUAUAGGGGAUCAAUUGUAGCCUCUUUCAAUAAGUAAGAGUGUCGAACCCAACGAGGAGCUAAAGGUAGAACAAAUAUUCCCUCAAGUUCUACUGACCACCGUUACAACUCUACGCACGCUUAACGUUCACUUUACCUAAAACAAGUAUGAAACUAGAAGGACUUUGUAGGUGUUGUUGGAUAGGUUUGCAAGAAUAUAAAGAGCACGUAAAUAUAAACUAGGGGUUGUUUAGAUAAAGAAGCAAUAAAGUUAGUAUAGUGAGUGUGGAAAAGUGGUGGUAGGAGUUGUGAAAUUGUCCCUAAGAAAUUGACUACUUUACUAGACCGAUAGCAAGUUUUAUGUGGGAGAGGCAUAAGCUAACAUACUUUCUCUUCUUGGAUCAUAUGCACUUAUGAUUGGAACUCUAGCAAGCAUCCGAAACUACUAAACAUCAUUAAGGUAAAACCCAACCAUAGCAUUAACAUAUCAAGUCCCCUUUAUCCCAUACGCCACAACCCCCUUACUCGGGUUUAUGCUUCUGUCACUCAAGCAACCCACUAUAAGCGAAUCAUGAACAUAUUGCAACACCCUACAGCGGGAAUCCCUCAUGCUUGCGCGACACGGAGGGAACAAUAGGACAACAACAUAACCACAAGCAAAUUAAACCAAUCAUAGCAAUUCAUCAAUCAUCGGUAGGACAACGAAAAUCUACUCAGACAUCAUAGGAUGGCAACACAUCAUUGAUAAGAAUAUGAAGCAUAAAGCACCAUGUUCAAGUAGAGGGUGCAGCAAGUUGCGGGAGAGUGGACCGCUGAAUAUAGAUGGGGGAAGGUGAUGGAGAUGUUGGUGAAGAUGAUGGAGGUGUUGGUGUAGAUCGCGGUGAUGAUGAUGGCCCCUGGCGGCAUUCCGGCGCCACCGAAAGCAAGGGGGAGAGAGCCCCGCUUAUUCUUCUUCUUCCUUGACCUUAUCCCAAGAUGAGAGAAGGGUUUCCCCUCUGGUCCAUGGUCUCCAUGGUGUGGGAGGGCAAGAGCCCCUCUAAGAUUGGAUCUGCUCUCUGUCUCUCUCUGUUUCUGCGUUCUCAGAUUCUGCCCUUUCAGCGUUUCUUUUAUAUCCGGAGAUCCGUAACUCCGAUUGGGUUGGAACCUUCGCCCAGAAUUUUCUCCGAAAAUUAGCUUUCUUGCGGCAAAAGAAUAGCUUCAACCGCCUUACAGGGUGCCCACGAGGGUCAGGGGCGCGCCCCCCUACCUCGUGGCCCCCUCGGGCACCGUCUCGCGUUGAUUUUUCUUCCAGAAAAUCAUAAAUAUUCCAAAAAUAUUCUCCGUCCGUUUUUAUCCCGUUUGGACUCCGUUUGAUAUGGGGUUUCUGCGAAACAUAAAACAUGCAACAAACAGGAACUGGCAUUGGGCACUGGAUCAAUAUGUUAGUCCCAAAAAUAGUAUAAAAAGUUGCCAAAAGUAUAUGAAAGUUGAAUAACAUUGGCAUGGAACAAUAAAAAAUUAUAGAUACGAUGGAGACGUAUCACCGCCCCCCCUUCCUUGUCUAAUUCGGACUAGAGGGGGAGGAGGGCGCGGCCUGCCCUGGCCACCCCUUCCUCUCUCCACCAAGGCCCAUGAAGCCCAUUACACUCCCCGGGGGGUUCCGGUAACCCCCCAGUACUCCGAUAUUCAUCCGAACUCACUCGGAACCCUUCUGAAGUCCAAACAUAGUCAUCCAAUAUAUCGAUCUUUAUGUCUCGACCAUUUUGAGACUCCUCGUCCUGUCCAUGAUCAUAUCCGGGACUCCGAACUACCUUCAGUACAUCAAAACACAUAAACUCAUAUCACCGACCGUCACCGAACGUUAAGCGUGCGGACCCUAUGGGUUCGAGAACUAUGUAGUCAUGACCGAGACACGUCUCUGGUCAAUAAACAAUAGCGGAACCUGGAUGCUCAUAUUGGUUCCUACAUAUUCUACGAAGAUCUUUAUCGGUCAAACUGCAUAACAAUGUACGUUGUUCCCUUUGUCAUCGGUAUGUUACUUGCCCAAGAUUCGAUCAUCAGUAUCUCAAUACCUAGUUCAAUCUCGUUAUCGGCAAGUCUCUUUACUCGUUUCGUAAUGCAUCAUCCCGCAACUAACUCAUUAGUUACAUUGCUUGCAAGGCUUAUAGUGAUGUGCAUUACCGAGAGGGCCCAGAGAUACCUCUCCGACAACCGGAGUGACAAAUCCUAAUCUCGAUCUAUGCCAACUCAACAAGUAUCAUCGGAGACACCUGUAGAGCACCUUUAUAAUCACCCAGUUACGGUGUGACGUUUGGUAGCACAGAAAGUGUUCCUCCGGUAUUCGGGAGUUGCAUAAUCUCAUAAUCAUAGGAACAUGUAUAAGUCAUGAAGAAAGCAAUAGCAAUAUACUAAAUGAUCAAAUGCUAAGCUAACGGAAUGGGUCAAGUCAAUCACAUCAUUCUCUAAUGAUGUGAUCCCAUUAAUCAAAUGACAACUCAUGUCUAUGGUUAGGAAACUUAACCACCUUUGAUUCAAUGAGCUAGUCAAGUAGAGGCCUACUAGUGACACUGUGUUUGUCUAUGUAUUCACACAUGUACUAAGUUUACGGUUAAUACAAUUCUAGCAUGAAUAAUAAACAUUUAUCAUGAUAUAAGGAAAUAUAAAUAACAACUUUAUUAUUGCCUCUAGGGCAUAUUUCCUUCAGCGAGGGCGGGAGCAGAGAGCAGCAAGAUAGUAGCGCUGCGUCCCUUCAGACGAGUUCGUGGUCUCUGUUUUAAGUGUGGCGAAAGGUGGGGGAAGGAUCAUACAGGUCCACCUAUAGUACAUAUGCAUGUCGUCGAAGAGCUUUUAGCAUUGUUUGCAACAAAGGAGGUGUUGGUUGAAGAUCGCCACGGUCCAACAUAGAUUGACAAAGAUGGUCUUUGUACUAUCUCCAAGCAAGCUAUCGAUAGGUUUGUUGGGCCGGGCGUGAUGCAAUUGCACGCGUGGAUUCAGGGUAAGGAAGUGUCGUUGCUGGUUGAUUCGGGUAGGUCAUCAUCAUUUGUGGACUGGCAGUUGGCUGCCAAACUAUCUGGAAUAAUGUGUAAACUACCUAAGACCUCCCGUGUUAAGUUUGCAGAUGGAGCCAUGCUAAGCUGUGACAGUGUUAUACCACAGUGUCAAUGGACAUCCCAGGGCCAUGAAUUUGUCAUAGAUUUCAAGAUACCGUCACUCGAGGCCUAUGAUGCUAUCUUGGGGAUGGAUUGGCUUAAGAAGCAAAACCCAAUACAUAUCGAUUUGGAGGCACACCAUAUGAAGGUUACCACUGAAAAAGGUUCUGUCAACUUGCAGGCGAUCGCCAACAGUCAGCAUCAGUGUUCUGCUAUCUCCUCCCAGGAACUCUUGGCCACAUGCAAGCAAGGUUCAGUGGCAUAUGUGGUUCACCUGAAUGCUGUGAAUGAGACAGGCUUACAAGAGGAAGCCAUUCCAGUAGAAAUUCUCUGAGUUUUGGAGCAGUACACGGAUGUCUUCGAAGAGCCAAAAGGUCUUCCACCCAGACAUGUGUGUGAUCACAGGAUUCCGCUCAUGGAGGGAGCACAACCUGUCAAUCAGCGCCCUUAUAGGCACAAACCAGAGCUAAAGAAUGAAACUGAGCGUCAGGUUAAGGAACUGCUCGAUGCUGGCAUCAUCAGAGAAAGCUCGAGUCCAUUUUCCUCGCCCGCAUUGCUUGUGAAGAAGAAAGAUGGCACAUGGAGGUUGUGCGUGCAUUACAGAUGCUUGAAUGCCAUGACAAUUGUCAGCAAGUAUCCUAUUCUGAUUAUAGAUGAGCUGCUCGAUGAGUUGGUUGGAGCGAAAUGGUUCUCUAAGCUAGACUUGCGUGCUGGGUAUCACCAGAUAAAAUUGGCAGGAGGGCAGGAGUAUAAAAAAACAUUCACAACUCAUUCAGGACACUAGGAGUACCUAGUCAUGUCAUUUGGCCUAGCUGCAGGCCCUCCAACAUUAAUCAGCGCCAUUACUUGUACUCUACGCCCCUUGCUGCAAGAGUGCGUCAUCCUCUUCUUCGAUGACAUACUGGUUUUUAGUAAAACAUUGGCAGAGCACGUAGAUCAUCUCCGUCAGGUUCUGCAGCUACUCAGGAGGGAUCAUUGGCAGGUCAAACAGUCCAAGUGUGCUUUCGGGCAAAAGAAAACGGCUUACCUAGGGCAUGCUAUCACUGAACAUGGUGUCUCAACAGAUCCAAAAAAGAUCGAGACCAUCAAAAAGUGGCAUGUUCCACGCAAUAGUAAAGAAGUGCGCAGUUUCCUCAGGUUGGCUGGCUAUUACCAGAAGUUUGUCAAGCACUUUGGCAUUAUUGCAAGGCCUCUAUUCAAUGUCUUGAAGAAGAAGCAUCCUUUUGUGUGGACAGCUGAAAACACUAAGGCAUUCGAGUUACUGCAGCAAAGUGUGAUCUCUGCACCUGUUUUGCACCUGCCGGACUUCUCCAAACAGUUUGUUAUUGACACUGAUGCAUGUGAUUAUGGAGUGGGAGAAGUACUUCAGCAAGCAGGUCAUCCAAUAGCUUAUAUGAGCAAAACGCUGGCUCCCAAAUACAGGGGUUUGUCCACCUACGAGAAGGAGUGUUUGGCUAUCCUUACGACAGUGGAGAAAUGGCGACCUUACCUACACCAUGACGAGUUUCUGAUAAGAACGGAUCAGCACAGUUUAGUACAAUUGGAUGAUCAACGACUAUCAAUAGUGUGGCAGCAGAAAGCAUUUACCAAACUCUUGGUCCCGCGCUACAAAAUUUGCUACCGGCAAGGGACCACCAACGAUGCAGUAGAUGCCUUGUGUAACGCCCGGAUAAUCAAGCUACAGUAAUCCCCUGCUAAUGAUGCCAUGUCACCAUGAUUAUUGUUUCUAAUCUUGAGUUAGUUCAAACAAUUCUAAUUCGAAUUUAAAUUUAAAGGGAAACAACAAAGGUUUUCAAAAGUUAAAACUAAAAUGUUUGAGUAGGUUUAUGCUAUGCGAUGAUACUUGGUGAACUUACCAUCUACUCUCUUCUACAUGCUGCACUUCCAAAAGCGUAGUCUUCGACAUGACUAGCUAUCCCCCUCUUAUGCUGGCAUUUUGCAGUUCAGUCCACCGAUAAUGCCCCUUUACAUAGAUACCCAUGCAUAUGUAGUGUAGAUCCUUGCUCGUGAGUACUUUGGAUGAGUACUCACGGUUGCUUUGCUCCCCCUUUCCCCCUUUCCUUUCUUCUCGAUUGUCGCAACCAGAUGCUGGAGCCUAGGAUCCAGAUGCCACCGACGACGACUCCUAUUAUGCCUACUACUACGUGCAGGCCGCUGACGAUGACCAGGAGUAGUUUAGGAGGAUCCCAGGCAGGAGGCAUGUGCCUCUUUCGAUCUGUAUCCUAGUUUGUGCUAGCCAUCUUAUGGCAACUUGUUUACUUAUGUCUGUGCUUAGAUUUUGUUGCUUCCACUGACACGUCUAUGAUCAAGCACUAGUAUUCGAGCCCUCGAGGCCCCUGGCUUGUAUUAUGAUGCUUGUAUGACUUAUCUAUGUUUUUAGAGUUGUGUUGUGAUAUUUUCCCAUGAGUCCCUGAUCUUGAUUGUACAUGGUUGCGUGCAUGAUUAGUGUAUGAUUGAAUCGGGGGCGUCACAAGUUGGUAUCAGAGCCGACUGCCUGUAGGAAUCCCCCUUUCCAACUCCUUGGCCGAAGUUGAGUCUAGUCAUUGAAUUUUUUUACUAACAUGGAUGUGCGGCUUAUGGCCACACGUCGCCAUUGGGUGGUAUUAGGAUCUUUUAUUCCUCGUCUAUACUCUGGGACUCUGAUCUCUCUUCUGUUCGGGUUAAAUGAUUUUGCUAAAAAAAACUAACUUUAGGUUCUCGAAAUACUUUCCCGGAGAGCCCCUUCAUUUCGGAUGAUCGCCUGCUGCACCAGAAGAUUCGGAAGAUACUCUACGAUGUUCUCUCGAGACUUUAUGCCAUCGCUUUUGCAAUUCCCUUCCCUCGAUAAACCCCUAUGGAUAACAACAUACACUUUCCAUUUAUACAAUCAAACCCCAUUGAUCUUGUUAUUACAAGAUACCCCAAAGUUCUCUCCAUUGUUUCAAAAAUACUUUGAGCCUACUGCCUUGCAGUUCCUUCCCACAUGAAUACCCCUACUGAUAAUUCCUUGCACUUACCGAGUAUCCACUCAUUCCCAGUUGUUCAUGUGUUUCACCAAACUCUUCAAAAUACUGUUUGAUCUUUUGAAAAUCCUCAGCAGCUUGUUGUUCUUGAAUUCUUGCUUGCUUGCAUUAUGGUUAAUCCCAUAAGUAUAUUAAUCAUAUUGGCAUCCUUUGUUACUAUCAAUUUUUGAGUCCACUGAUUCAUUAUGUUGCGAAUGUUCACAAUCAUCAGUCAAAUUCUAUAAUUAUCCUUUCGGCUCAGACACCAUUUUAAACAUGAGCUGGAUCUCGACCAAUCAAAUUGUCGUCGAUUGUACCCCUAAGCUUACUCAUCUUAUCCUUCCUUAAUCAGAGCAUUUGCUUCUGAUCCCUUGAUUUGGAAAUCAUAAUUCCUUUGAUUGUUGAGCUUUCAAUCAAUCAGUUGUUUCUAUAAUCUGAUCUCCUUGCAUUCUUUCUUCCUCUAGUUGAGUACCGAUGCUCACAUCAGAUCCCUUGAGGACCACCGGGUCCUUUGUUGGAUUUUAUCCGACAACGUCCUUCAUAAUCAAUCACUUUGGAAGUUAUUUCUCUAAUAUAUAAUGCCAUUGGUAAAUUCUAUCCUCUGAUUGGCCAACCAUGCCCUGCUUUCGAGCUGGUGAUAAUUACUCUCGAAGCUUGUAGUAUAUGUUUCUUAGAUGCCCUGAUGGGUUGAACCUAUGCCUUCCUUAAUAUGUGUGAACCCGAAAGUUUUCCAAGGUUCAUACUCCUCUGGUAAUUCACCAGGUAGAUCUUCGCACUCAAAUCAUUUUUAGUAGAGCAGCGAAUGAAAGGUUAUGCAUUGAAGAAGUGGGAGUCGACCUUGAACUUUGUGUUCAUGCCAACGGACACGAUGUGGAACUUAUCAUGAAAGCUUCUUGCAAGAAUAUUUAAUCAUUCUAAUAAUUCUUCCGGUGUCAUAAAUUGGAUCCCUUGCAGUUUAUGGUUCCGACCAUGCUAACCUUGUUCAUUAUAUCUGAAAGGAAACCAUUCCAUUGCCUCGUCUAUUAUGACAAGAUUAAAGUAUCUGCUAUUGCAAGGCAACGCUCCAGUUCAGUUUCUAUUCUGAUCUGCCUUCGAGUAUUACCCUCUGGUAUCUCGAGAAUACCAUGGAACUACAUAACUUCUUAUGAGUUUUUCAUCAACUAUUAUUCUCUCCUAUUCCAUUUUUUCAAUGGGUUCUGAGUUGUUAGAACCCCUCAAGGACACGGACAACUGAAUCGAGUCUGCACUGCAUUUCAACAACUCUUAGUAAUCUUCAUUGCUUACGAGUUUGUACUCGAUCGUAUCAUUCCCAGCUGAUUGACUACAUCAUCAUUGUCGGGCUGACUGCUUAACCAUUCUACCUAUGUCCUUCAUCCUCGGGACACAAUCCCGACAGUGCUCUAAGCUUACAUAAACUUUCACGAUCAUAUUGUUUGUCUUGAGAGACGACUCUAAAUUGUGAGAUGGCAUCUUAUCUAUGGUUAUAAUAGCCUUUUGCUUCACCAUUCCCUUGGCUUGAUGUCGUGGCCGUGCGAUUGCAUCUUCAUGGAGCCUCUCGACAAAAUUUGUCAUGAUCAUCGUCAACAUUUUGACUCUUUCUAGGGUAUCAAUCAAAUUCAUGAUGGGAAAUACCAUCCUUUCCCCUCGAUGAUUGUGUUAUCAUCGACAACAUUCUUUCCUUCCCCCAACACAAACUUGUUCAUGUUAUGGAUGCAACUUGCUAUCCGGCUUGUAUGAUGUUCUACCUUGAAGUAUUACUGUCUUUUAUGUCAAGGAUGUUGUGAGGAUUGCUCCAUCUAUUAAGAAUUCUUGGUAUAGUAAUACUUCUCACAAACACCAUUGUUUCUUGGUCCCUGUGUUGAUUCUAACUGGGAUACCAAUAAGUGAACGAUGCUACUUGGUUUCUAUACUUCUAGCAAACCUAUUGCUUUGAAGUUAGUGGUCGACAUUUCAUUCUCAGACCAUUGGUUAUUGAAUCACCAUUUUAACAUUGAUCAUGUUACCUGAGCCCAUACCUUUCAACCAAUUAUCAGUUGUAUAUGCUUUCCUCGAGCAUACAUCAAUAUAUCACUUGAUCUGACAAAUGUUAUCCCCUUAUUCACAUAAUUGUCAGAAUCCAUCUUUUUAGAAAUCUCGAUGAGUUGUCGCCAAGUCCAUCAGCCACCUCCUCAUCCUCUCCUUGAUUAAUGGUGAACUCUUGUUUCAGAACUCGCUUCCAUAUUCAAUUCCCGAGAAUCUUACAAUGUUGUCUUGACAAUUUGUGUUGCACCUUUCUUCUUAGGCAUCCCGAGUCUGAGUUAUCCUAACACCAAUCAGAUCUGAAUUUCGGUCAGAUAUGAUGGUUGGAACAUAUUUCCAAGAAUUAUAACAUUGGUCUUUAUGUGACCCGGUAAGGUGAUGUCGUGCCUAGCACACCUGGCUGGAGGCCCUAUUGUUAUAGAUUCCUUUUCAGCAAGGUUAUCCAUUCUUCCAUGAGGAAAUCGUAAGACUUAUUCUACAAGUUAUUCCUGAUGGAUCCUUUGUGUAUCCAAGGUCUGACCUUUUCUUGAAGACCUUGUCAAUGCUAUCUCGAAGCAUGUCUGUGGUACUCCGAUCUUCAAUAAGAACAUUUGAAGCACAAUGCUAAAAUUCCCUUAUCAAUUAUCCAAACACCAUUGAGUGGGUAAUGUCACGAAAUUUCUCUCCCCUUACCUUAAAGGGGUUUCUACUUUAUAUCAUGUCAUGGUUAUCAUGCUCUGCUUGUCCUUGGGAGGGAUAUACCCCUGAAAUAUGUGUUUAAACACAUUUUCAUUUCCAUUGUUUUGAUUAACCUUUCUUGUAACCUGACUUAACUAAGCAGUAAUAAUUCCGUGCUUAGGUAAGCACCUUGUUGUACCACUCUAUUAGUAAGACCCUGAUAUUAUUGUUGAUGACUUCCAGUAACCACCGAUGGACGAGAACUUUGCCUAUUGGUCUGCCUCAUUCAGCGAGUAGGAAAAUGGUUCUCUUUGUCCCUCGCCCUUGGUAUCAAUGUUGUUGCCGACAUAACUGACAGACUAUCCUCUGACAUGCUUGCUUACAUGAUCGUGUAAGACGUCAUCGCCUUCCUACUUUUAACCCACAUGAUGGGCCCAUAACCCACAGUUCCACAGGAUCGAAACCUGAAUCUCUUAUACACCCCCAUUUCCAAAGUUAUUCAUUGCGUGUCGCCUUGUAUGUAAUUCAUGAGCCACCUUCCAAGAGAUCAUCAAUUCUGGUAUCAGACACAAUACUUAUUCCCGUUGCUUUGAGCCCCCUUUCACGCCCUGUUUCAGGCAUCAAACGAUUGCCUGCCCGCUCGAAACUUCCCAUGAUACCUCCUUACUUUGAUCUUGAUAUUUUCUUAAGUUUCAAUUCGAGAGUUACUUUCUGCCACCUUCCUCGAUGUUAUCGACCAGAUAGUCAACCUUGCGGAGGUCCGUUCUCCCAUAAUACUUCCCUUUUUUUUCUCUUCUUUCGUAAGUACGAUGGAGUUUUUGAAGAAAGGAUGCUGACUUCAUCAUGAUGACAUGAAGCAGAGAAAUGGAGACCUCAACAUAAUGGAUUGACCUCCUCGAGAAGAGCAACCCAGAACGAGAAGAUCCAUUAUAAUUUCGUAACUAAUUCCUUUCCCCUUAACUCCACCUCUUAAAUCUCAGGACGAGAUUUCUUGUAGUGGAGGAGGAUUGUAACGCCCGGAUAAUCAAGCUAUAGUAAUCCCCUGCUAAUGAUGUUGUGUCACCACGGUUACUGUUGUUAAUCUCGGGUAGUUCAAAUGAUUCUAAUACGAAUUUAAAUUUAAAGGCAAACAACAAAGGUGUUCAGAAGCUAAAACUAAAAUGUUCGAGAGGUGACUUAUAAUGCAUAGGUAAUUAUGGUGAUGAAACCACAUUUUUAUAAAAGGUUUAAAUGCUCAAAGGUAAAUAAAAUAGCAGCUAAAACAAAUAUUUAAAUGCCUUUUAAAUAAUAAAAAUAUGCAAAGUAUUUUAUUAUUGCACCAAACUUUUUGUGGCAGUGUACUAAAUUGAAAUUCUAUCUUAGGAGAUGGAUUCAUAAUAAUAGAAAAUAAAUUUGAAAACAAAUCAACAAAAAAAUAGAUUAAAAACGUAUAAAACAAAAAGGCCACUCCUUCCUCAUUGGGCCUCUUGGGCGAGUCGGCUCAGCCGACCAGGCCGGCCAAGCCGUCCCUCCCCACUCGCCCGCUACAGGGGCGAAGUCGUGGCCGCACCCGAUGGCCGCCACGGUCACGGACGUCACCGUCGCAACCAUCUGGCGGUGCCCGCCGGUUCCUCGCUCGCCUAUAAAGCUGGCAUCGCCCCUCUCGUCCUCUCCUAUCCCCCCGCGCCUCUCUUUCUGUCCUAGACACGUCGGAGCCUCCCCAACACAGCAUCGCCAUGGCUGCCGUCGCCCUCGCGCUCCCCGUCGCCCACGAGCCCAGCUAGUCCAUGGAUGCCCCCGCGAUGCUCGGCUACGUCGCUUGUGCCACCGGACCGAGACGGGAGCCACCGAUGCGUCGUCCACAACGUCGUCUUCUUCCUCUGCCUCGCUGGUGAACUUCGUCGAAUUCGGCCACCAUCUGCGCUAUAAGCUAUCAUCGAGCCUCCUUGUGCUCCCUUGGUGAGCUCCGCUUCUUCCCUCUCUCUUUUCUUCGCGGAUCCGCCCACUAGCCGUAGUCUCCGCCGUGCCAUGCCUCGCCGCUUGCUCCUGCCUACGCCCUAGGACGCGCCUCUGUGCGCGAGGCCAUGCCCCGGUCGAACCACCACUCCACCAGCACCACUGGCCGCGCCUCGCACCACCGGGUCGUGCCCCUGCUCACCGUGCCCCGCUUCGCUCCGGCCGCCGCCUGCUCCGCUCGCCCGCUGUCGCUGCCUUUCUGCAGCCGCUGCAGCCACUCGCACACGCGUGCGCGCCCAUGCCUCACGUCUGUCCCGCCCUGCGCCCAGCAUGCGCGACCGCGAGCAUGCCGCCUGCUUCGCUGCUGCUUUGCUGCUCUCGCCGCCGCCUGUUGGUGUUGCCUACUGCUACUAAUUACUGUAGAUACGGCUAGCUUUGUGAAUAUUACAUCGAGUAACCCCCUCGUCUGCUCCUAAACUGCGGUUAAACAAAUGUUAACCGGGCUAAAAAAUGGAAGGUAGUACACUUGACAAGGCUCAAAUGUGUUCAUUGGACCAAAUCCAUUUGAUGCAUGGAUUAAAUCCUAUGAAAAUCUCAAAUUGCUAUCUUCUGUUAACAGAGAACAUAUUUAACCCCUAGGUGUUGUCUGUUGUGUGUGGCCGGCUUGGCCACGGCCGUGUGUGGCCGGCCCUGUGUAAUUAGUGUGUGUGUUAGGUUAGUAGUGGCACACUGCCAGGUAGCCCCCAUUGUUAGUUUAAUUACUACCUAGUCUAACAUGCAUAUGCCAGUGAGCAGCCACCGCUAAUUAGACUGAAUUAAAACAAUCUGUUUAACGCAUGAAUGUAUGCCAUAUGGGUCCAUUUUGAUCCUGUUGACCAGUCAACAUUGACUAGUCAACUGCUGAUCGGACUAGUUGACUGGGCCCCUGGCCCCCACUGUCAUACGCUUAGGCUAGCGCACUUGUGGGUAUAAAAUGUAAUCUGUCAUAUUUUGCUAUUUGAAUUAACUAGAUAAAGAAAAACUAGAAAAUGCAAUAAACUCUGAUAAAUCGUAUAAAAUAGAUCGUAUCUCGAAUGAGAAAACUUUGUACAUUAAAGUUGCUCGGAACAACGAGUCGAAUCCGAGUACACGGCCCUUUCGUCCGCCACACAUCCCUAGCAUAGCAAACACCCAACUUUUCCCCCUCAAGUUUGACUGUCUAAAAAUGCCAAACACCGGGAAUACUUUCCCGGAUGUUUCCCUCUUUUGCCGAUAUCACCUUCCCUGCGUUAGAUCACCCCUGAUACCGCGUAUUGCCUUGUUAUAGUUUGUGAUGCUUUGUUUGCUCUAUAUUUACUGUUUCUUCCCCCCUCUUAUUCUCCAGUAGACCCCGAGACCGGCGCUGAUGCCAUCGAGUACGGCUACGUCACCGACGCCCCCUCCUUGCCAGCGCAACCAGGCAAGCCCCCCUGAUCACCAGAUAUCGCCUAUUCCUUCUCUCUACUGCUUGCAUUAGAGUAGUGUAGCAUGCUACUGCUUUCGGUUAAUCCUAUUCUGCUGCAUAUCCUGUCAUUGUUGCUACAGUUGUUACCCUUACCUGCAAUCCUAAAUGCUUAGUAUAAGAUGCUAGUAUUCCAUCAGUGGCCCUACCUUCUUGUCCGUCUGCCGUGCUAUACUACCGGGCCGUGAUCACUCGGGAGGUGAUCACGGGUAUAUACUUACAUACAUACUAUAUGAUACAUGUGGUCACUAAAGUCGGGUCGGCUCGUAGAGUACCCGCAAGUGAUUCCGAUGUGGGGGCUGAAAGGAUAGGUGGUUCCAUCCCUUUAGUGGUGGGCCUAGGUUGUUGACGGCCCCCGACUGUUACUUUGUGGCGGAGCGACAGGGCAGGUUGAGACCACCUAGGUGAGAGGUGGGCCUGGACCCUGGUCGGCAUCCGCGACUACUUCUAAAUAACACACUUAACGAGAUCUUGGUAUUUGAUCUGAGUCUGGCCACUGGCCUAUACACACUAAUCAACUACGCGGAAACAGUUAUGGGCACUCGACGUCAUGGUAUCAGCCGAAGCCUUCUUGACGUCAGCGAUUGAGUGGCGCGCACUGGAUUGGACUGGAACGCCUACUCUUGUAUUAGGGAGGCUAGGUCUGCUUCGGGCCACCCUCGCAACGUGCAGGUGUGCAAUGGGCGAUGGGCCCAGACCCCUACACCAUAGGAGUUAAACCGGCGUGUUGACCUCUCUUUUGAGCCUAGGUAGGGCUGCGACGUGUUGAUCUUCCGAGGCCGGACAUGACCCAGAAAAGUGUGCCCGGCCAAAGGGAUCGAGCGUGUUGGGUAAUGUGGUGCAACCCUGCAGGGAAGUUUAUCUAUUCGAAUAGCAGUGAUCCUCGGUAACAGGACGACUCGGAGUUGUACCUUGACCUUAUGACAACUAGAAUCGGAUAUUUAAUAAAACACGCCCUUCCAGGUGCCAGAUAUAACCCGGUGAUCGCUCUCACAUAGGGUGAUGAGGGGAUGAUCGUUGGGUAGGUUUAUGCUAUGCAAUGAUACUUGGUGAACUUACCAUCUACUCUCUUCUAUAUGCUGCAAGAUGGAGGCUUCAAGAAGCGUAGUCUUCGACGGGACUAGCUAUCCCCCUCUUAUGCUGGCAUUCUGCAGUUCAGUCCAUCAAUAAUGCCCCUUUACACAGAUACCCAUGCAUAUGUAGUGUAGAUCCUUGCUUGCGAGUACUUUGGAUGAGUACUCAUGGUUGCUUUGCUCCCCCUUUUCCCCCUUUCCUUUCUUCUCGGUUGUCGCAACCAGAUGCUGGAUCCUAGGAGCCAGACACCACCGACAACUACGACUCCUGCUACACUAGAGGUGCCUACUACUACGUGCAGGCCGCUGACGACGACCUGGAGUAGUUUAUGAAGAAAAUAUGCCAUAGAGGCAAUAAUAAAGUUAUUAUUUAUUUCCUCAUAUCAUGAUAAAUGUCUAUUAUUCAUGCUAUAAUUGUAUUAACCGAAAACAUGAUACAUGUGUGAAUACAUAGACAAACUUAAUGUCACUAGUAUGACUCUACUUGACUAGCUCAUUAAUCAAAGAUGGUUAUGUUUCCUAACCAUAGACAUGUGUUGUCAUUUGAUUAACGGGAUCACAUCAUUAGGAGAAUGAUGUGAUUGACUUGACCCAUUCCGUUAGCUUAGCACUUGAUCGUUUAGUAUGUUGCUAUUGCUUUCUUCAUGACUUAUAGAAGUUCCUAUAACUAUGAGAUUAUGCAACUCCCGUUUGCCGGAGGAACACUUUGUGUGCUACCAAACGUCACAACCUAACUGGGUGAUUAUAAAGGAGCUCUUCAGGUGUCACCAAAGGUACAUGUUGAGUUGGCGUAUUUCAAGAUUAGGUUUUGUCACUCCGAUUGUCGGGGAGGUAUCUCUAGGCCCUCUCGGUAAUGCACAUCACUAUAAGCCUUGCAAGCAAUGUAGCUAAUGAGUUAGUUACGGAAUGAUGCAUUACAUAAUGAGUAAAGAGACUUGCCAGUAACGAGAUUGAACUAGGUAUUGGAUACCGACGAUCGAAUCUCGGGCAAGUAACAUACCGAUGACAAAGGGAACAACGUAUGUUGUUAUGCGGUUUGACCGAUAAAGAUCUUCGUAGAAUAUGUAGGAGCCAAUAUGAGCAUCCAGGUUCCGCUAUUGGUUAUUGACCAGAAACAUGUUUCAGUCAUGUCUACAUAGUUCUCGAACCUGUAGGGUUUGCACGCUUAAGGUUUCGAUGACAGUUAUAUUAUGAGUUUAUGAGUUUUGAUGUAUAGAAGUUUGUUCGGAGUCCCGGAUGAGAUUAUGGACAUGACGAGGAGUCUCGAAAUGGCCGAGACAUGAAGAUUGAUAUAUUGGAAGCCUAUAUUUGGAUAUCGGAAGUGUUCCGGGUGAAAUCGGGAUUUUACCAGAGUACCGGGAGGUUACCGGAACCCCCCGGAGGCUUAAUGGGCCUACAUGGGCCCUAGUGGAGAGGAAGAGAGGAGGCAAGGGCUGGGCCGCGCCCCCUCCCCCCUAGUCCGAAUAGGAUAAGGAGAGGGGGGCGGCGCCCCCCCUUUCCUUCCUCUCUCCCUCCUCCUUCCCCCCUUCUCGUACUCCAACUAGGAAAGAAGGGAGUCCUACUCCCGGUGGGAGUAGGACUCCCCCUUGGUGCGCCCUCCUUGGCCGGCUGCCCCCUCCUCCUUGGCUAUUAUAUACAGGGGCAGGGGGGCACCUCUAGGCACAACAAUUGAUCUCUUGAUCUCUUAGCCGUGUGCGGUGACCCCCUCCACCAUAGUCCUUGAUAAUAUUGUAGCGGUGCUUAGGGGAAGCCCUGCGACGGUAGAACAUAAAGAUCAUCACCAUGUCUGUCGUGCCGACGGAACUCUUCCCCGACAUUCUGCUGGAUCGGAGUCCGGGGAUCGUCAUCGAGCUGAACGUGUGCUAGAACUCGGAGGUGCCGUAGUUUUGGUGCUUGAUCGGUCGGGCCAUGAAGAUGUACGACUACAUCAACCACGUUGUUCUAAUGCUUCCGCUUUCGGUCUACGAGGGUAUGUGGAAAACACUCUCCCCUCUCGUUGCUAUGCAUCACCAUGAUCUUGCGUGUGCUUAGGAAAAUUUUGAAAUUACUACGUUCCCCAACAGUGGCAUCCGAGCCAGGUUUUAUGCGUAGAUGUCAUAUGCACGAGUAGAACACAAGUGAGUUGUGGGCGAUAUAAGUCAUACUGCUUACCAGCAUGUCAUACUUUGGUUAGGCGGCAUUGUGAGAUGAAGCGGCCUGGACCAACAUUACGCGUACGCUUACGCGAGACUGGUUUCACCGCUACGAGCACUCGUUGCUUAAAGGUGACCGGCGAGUGUCUAUCUCUCUCACUUUACUUGAACCGAGUGUGGCUAUGCCCGGUCUUUGCAAAGGUUAAAACAACAUCAACUUGACAAACUAUCGUUGUGGUUUUGAUGCGUAGGUAAGAACGGUUCUUGCUAAGCCCGUAGCAGCCACGUAAAAUUUGCAACAACAAAGUAGAGGACGUCUAACUUGUUUUUGCAGGGCAUGUUGUGAUGUGAUAUGGUCAAGACGUGAUGCUAUAUUUUAUUGUAUGAGAUGAUCAUGUUUUGUAACCGAGUUAUCGGCAACUGGCAGGAGCCAUAUGGUUGUUGCUUUAUUGUAUGAAAUGCAAACGCCAUGUAAUUGCUUUACUUUAUCACUAAGCGGUAGCGAUAGUCGUAGAAGCAAUAGAUGGCGUAAAGAUAAAUAUGCUACGAUGGAGAUCAAGGUGUCGCGCCGGUGAUGAUGGUGAUCAUGACGGUGCUUCGGAGAUGGAGAUCACAAGCACAAGAUGAUGAUGGCCAUAUCAUAUCACUUAUAUUGAUUGCAUGUGAUGUUUAUCAUUUAUGCAUCUUAUCUUGCUUUGAUUGACGGUAGAAUUUUAAGAUGAUCUCUCACUAAAUUAUCAAUAAGUGUUCUCCCUGAGUAUGCAAUGUUGCGAAAGUUCUUCGUGCUGAGACACCACAUGAUGAUCAGGUGUGAUAGGCUCUACGUUCAAAUACAACGGGUGCAAAACAGUUGCACACGCGGAAUACUCAGGUUAAACUUGACGAGCCUAGCAUAUACAGAUAUGGCCUUGGAACACGGAGACCGAAAGGUUGAAUGUGAAUCAUAUAGUAGAUAUGAUCAACAUAGUGAUGUUCACCAUUGAAACUACUCCAUCUCACGUGAUGAUCGGACAUGGUUUAGUUAAUUUGGAUCACGUGAUCACUUAGAUGACUAGAGAGAUGUCUGUCUAAGUGGGAGUUCUUAAGUAAUAUGAUUAAUUGAACUUAAAUUUAUCAUGAACUUAGUACCUGAUAGUAUUUUGCUUGUCUAUGUGUGUUGUAGAUAGAUGGCUCAUGGUGUUGUUCCGUUGAAUUUUAAUGAGUUCCUUGAGAAAGCUAAGUUGAAAGAUGAUGGUAGCAAUUACACGGACUGGGUCCAUAACCUGAGGAUUAUCCUCAUUGCUGCACAAAAGAAUUACGUCCUAGAAGCACCGCUGGGUGCCAGGCCUGCUAUAGAUGCAACUGAUGACGUUAAGAACGUCUGGCAGAGCAAAGCUGAUGACUACUCGAUAGUUUAGUGUGCCAUGCUUUACGGCUUGGAACCGGGUCUUCAACGACGUUUUGAACAUCAUGGAGCAUAUGAGAUGUUUCAGGAGUUGAAGUUAAUAUUUCAAGCAAAUGCCCGGAUUGAGAGAUAUGAAGUCUCCAAUAAGUUCUAUAGCUGUAAGAUGGAGGAGAAUAGUUCUGUCAGUGAACAUAUACUCAAAAUGUCUGGGUAUAGUAAUCACUUGAUUCAACUGAGAGUUAAUCUUCCUGAUGAUAGUGUCAUUGACAGAAUUCUUCAAUCACUGCCACCAAGCUACAAGAGCUUCGUGAUGAACUAUAAUAUGCAAGGGAUGGACAAGACUAUUCCCGAGCUCUUCGCAAUGCUAAAAGCUGCGGAGGUAGAAAUCAAGAAGGAGCAUCAAGUGUUGAUGGUCAAUAAGACCACCAGUCUCAAGAAGAAGGGCAAAGGGAAGAAGAAGGGGAACUUAUGGAAGAACAGCAAGCAAGUUGCUGCUCAAGAGAAGAAACCCAAAUCUGGACCUAAGCCUGAGACUGAGUGCUUCUACUGCAAGCAGAAUGGACACUGGAAGAGGAACUGCCCCAAGUAUUUGGCGGAUAAGAAGGAUGGGAAGGCGAACAAAGGUAUAUGUGAUAUACAUGUUAUUGAUGUGUACCUUACUAAUGCUCGCAGUAGCACCUGGGUAUUUGAUACUGGUUCUGUUGCUAAUAUUUGCAACUCGAAACAGGGACUACAGAUUAAGCGAAGAUUGGCUAAGGACGAGGUGACGAUGCGCGUGGGAAAUGGUUCCAAAGUCGAUGUGAUCGCGGUCGGCACGCUACCUCUGCAUCUACCAUCGGGAUUAGUUUUAGACCUAAAUAAUUGUUAUUUGGUGCCAGCGUUAAGCAUGAACAUUAUAUCUGGAUCUUGUUUGAUGCGAGACGGUUAUUCAUUUAAAUCAGAGAAUAAUGGUUGUUCUAUUUAUAUGAGUAAUAUCUUUUAUGGUCAUGCACCCUUGAAGAGUGGUCUAUUUUUAUUAAAUCUCGAUAGUAGUGAUACACAUAUUCAUGAUGCAGAGUUGAUAAUGAUAGUGCAACUUAUUUGUGGCACUACCGUUUGGGUCAUAUCGGUGUAAAGCGCAUGAAGAAACUCCAUACUGAUGGACUUCUGGAAUCACUUGAUUAUGAAUCACUUGGUACUUGCGAACCGUGCCUCAUGGGUAAGAUGACUAAAACGCCAUUCUUCGGAACUAUGGAGUGAGCAACUGAUUUGUUAGAAAUCAUGCAUACUGAUGUAUGUGGUCCAAUGAAUAUUGAGGCUCGCGGCGGAUAUCGUUAUUUUCUCACCUUCACAGAUGAUUUGAGCAGAUAUGGGUAUAUCUACUUGAUGAAACACAAGUCUGAAACAUUUGAAAAGUUCAAAGAAUUUCAGAGUGAAGUGGAAAAUCAUCGUAACAAGAAAAUAAAAUUUCUACGAUCUGAUCGUGGAGGAGAAUAUUUGAGUUAUGAGUUUGGUUUACAUUUGAAGCAAUGCGGAAUAGUUUCGCAACUCACGCCACCCGGAACACCACAACGAAAUGGUGUGUCCGAAUGUCGUAAUCAUACUUUACUAGAUAUGGUGCGAUCUAUGAUGUCUCUUACUGAUUUACCGCUAUCAUUUUGGGGUUAUGCUUUAGAGACGGUCGCAUUCACGUUAAAUAGGGCACCAUCAAAAUCCGUUGAGACGACGCCUUAUGAACUGUGGUUUGGCAAGAAACCAAAGUUGUCAUUUCUUAAAGUUUGGGGCUGCGAUGCUUAUGUGAAGAAACUUCAGCCAGAUAAGCUCGAACCCAAAUCGGAGAAAUGUGUCUUCAUAGGAUACCCAAAAGAGACUAUUGGGUACACCUUCUAUCACAGAUCUCAGGGCAAGAUUUUUGUUGCUAAAUUCGGGUCCUUUCUAGAGAAGGAGUUUCUCUUGAAAUAAGUGAGUGGGAGGAAAGUAGAACUUGAUGAGGUAACUGUACCUUCUCCCUUAUUGGAAGGUAGUUCAUCACAAGAACCGGUUCAUGUGACAACUACACCAAUCAGUGAGGAAGCUAAUGAUAUUGGUCAUGAAACUUCAUAUCAAGUUACUACCGAACCUCGUAGGUCUACCAGAGUAAGAUCUGCACCAGAGUGGUACGGUAAUCCUAUUCUGGAAGUCAUGUUACUUCACCAUGGCGAACCUACGAACUAUGAGGAAGCGAUGAUGAGCCCAGAUUCCGCAAAAUGGCUUGAGGCCAUGAAAUCUGAGAUGGGAUCCAUAUAUGAGAACAAAGUAUGGACUUUGGUUGACUUGCCCGAUGAUCGGCAAGCCAUCGAGAAUAAAUGGAUCUUCAAGAAGAAGACCGACGCUGAUGGUAAUGUAACUGUCUACAAAGCUCAACUUGUUGCGAAAGGUUUUCGACAAGUUCAAGGGGUUGACUACGAUGAGACUUUCUCACCCGUAGCGAUGCUUAAGUCUGUCUGAAUCAUGUUAGUAAUUGCUGCAUUUUAUUGUUAUGAAGUUUGGCAAAUGGAUGUAAAACUGCAUUCCUGAAUGGAUUUCUGGAAGAAGAGUUGUGUAUGAUGCAGCCGGAAGGUUUUAUCGAUCCAAAAGGUGCUAACAAAGUGUGCAAGCUCCAGCGAUCCAUUUAUGGACUGGUGCAAGCAUCUCGGAGUUGGAAUAAACGCUUUGAUAGUGUGAUCAAAGCAUAUGGUUUUAUACAGACUUUUGGAGAAGCCUGUAUUUACAAGAAAGUGAGUGGGAGCUCUGUAGCAUUUCUAAUAUUAUAUGUAGAUGACAUAUUGUUAAUUGGAAAUGAUAUAGAAUUUCUGGAUAGCAUAAAGGGAUACUUGAAUAAAGUUUUUCGAUGAAAGACCUCGGUGAAGCUGCUUACAUAUUGGGCAUCAAGAUCUAUAGAGAUAGAUCAAGACGCUUAAUUGGACUUUCACAAAGCACAUACCUUGAUAAAGUUUUGAAAAAGUUCAAAAUGGAUCAGGCAAAGAAAGGGUUCUUGCCUGUAUUACAAGGUGUGAAGUUGAGUCAGACUCAAUGCCCGACCACAGCAGAAGAUAGAUAAAAAAUGAAAGAUGUUCCCUAUGCUUCAGCCAUAGGCUCUAUCAUGUAUGCAAUGUUGUGUACCAGACCUGAUGUAUGCUUAGCAAUAAGUUUAGCAGGGAGGUACCAAAGUAAUCCAGGAGUGGAUCACUGGACAACGGUAAAGAAUAUCUUGAAAUACCUGAAAAGGACUAAGGAUAUGUUUCUCGUUUAAGGAGGUGACAAAGAGCUAGUCGUAAAUGGUUACGUCGAUGCAAGCUUUGACACUGAUCCGGACGAUUCUAAAUCGCAAACCGGAUACGUGUUUAUAUUGAACGGUGGAGCUGUCAAUUGGUGCAGUUCUAAACAAAGUGUCGUGACGGGAUCUACAUGCGAAGCAGAGUACAUAGUUGUUUCGGAAGCAGCAAAUGAAGGAGUCUGGAUGAAAGAGUUCAUUUCCGAUCUAGGUGUCAUACCUAGUGCAUCGGGACCAAUGAAGAUCUUCUGUGACAAUACUGGUGCAAUUGCCUUGGCAAAGGAAUCCAGAUUUCACAAGAGGACCAAGCACAUCAAGAGACGCUUCAAUUCCAUCCGGGACCAAGUCCAGGUGGGAGACAUAGAGAUUUGCAAGAUACAUACGGAUAUGAAUGUUGCAGACCCGUUGACUAAGCCACUUCCACGAGCAAAACAUGAUCAGCACCAAGACUCCAUGGGUGUUAGAAUCAUUACUGUAUAAUCUAGAUUAUUGACUCUAGUGCAAGUGGGAGACUGAAGGAAAUAUACCCUAGAGGCAAUAAUAAAGUUAUUAUUUAUUUCCUCAUAUCAUGAUAAAUGUCUAUUAUUCAUGCUAUAAUUGUAUUAACCGGAAACAUGAUACAUGUGUGAAUACAUAGACAAACUUAAUGUCACUAGUAUGCCUCUACUUGACUAGCUCAUUAAUCAAAGAUGGUUAUGUUUCCUAACCAUAGACAUGUGUUGUCAUUUGAUUAACGGGAUCACAUCAUUAGGAGAAUGAUGUGAUUGACUUGACCCAUUCCGUUAGCUUAGCACUUGAUCGUUUAGUAUGUUGCUAUUGCUUUCUUCAUGACUUAUACAAGUUCCUAUAACUAUGAGAUUAUGAAACUCCUGUUUGCCGGAGGAACACUUUGUGUGCUACCAAACGUCACAACGUAAUUUGGUGAUUAUAAAGGAGCUCUAUAGGUGUCACCAAAGGUACAUGUUGAGUUGGCGUAUUUCGAGAUUAGGUUUUGUCACUCCGAUUGUCGGAGAGGUAUCUCUGGGCCCUCUCGGUAAUGCACAUCACUAUAAUCCUUGCAAGCAAUGUAGCUAAUGAGUUAAUUAUGGAAUGAAGCAUUACGUAACGAGUAAAGAGACUUGCCAGUAACGAGAUUGAACUAGGUAUUGGAUACCGACGAUCGAGCAAGUAACAUACCGAUGACAAAGGGAACAAUGUAUGUUGUUAUGCGGUUUGACCGAUAAAGAUCUUCGUAGAAUAUGUAGGAGCCAAUAUGAGCAUCCAUGUUCCACUAUUGGUUAUUGACCGGAAACAUGUUUCAGUCAUGUCUACAUAGUUCUCGAACCCAUAGGGUCCGCACGCUUAAGGUUUAGAUGACAAUUAUAUUAUGAGUUUAUGAGUUUUGAUGUACCGAAGUUUGUUCGGAGUCCCGGAUGAGAUUAUGGACAUGACGAGGAGUCUCGAAAUGGUCGAGACAUGAAUAUUGAUAUAUUGGAAGCCUAUAUUUGGAUAUCGGAAGUGUUCCCGGUGAAAUCGGGAUUUUACCGGAGUACCGGGAGGUUACGGGAACCCCCCGGAGGCUUAAUGGGCCUACAUGGGCCCUAGUGGAGAGGAAGAGAGGAGGCAAGGGCUGGGCCGCGCCCCCUCCCCCCCCCCUAGUCUGAAUAGGACAAGGAGAGGGGUGCGGCGCCCCCUUUCCUUCCUCUCUCCCUCCUCCUUCCCCCCUUCUCCUACUCCAACUAGGAAAGAAAAGAGUCCUACUCCCGGUGGGAGUUGGACUCCCCCUUGGCGCGCCCUCCUUGGCCGGCUGCCCCCUCCUCCUUGGCUCCUUUAUAUACAGGGGCAGGGGGGCACCUCUAGGCACAACAAUUGAUCUCUUGAUCUCUUAGACGUGUGCGGUGCCCCCUCCACCAUAGUCCUCGAUAAUAUUGUAGCGGUGCUUAGGCGAAGCCCUACGACGGUAGAACAUCAAGAUCGUCACCACGCCGUCGUGCUGACGGAACUCUUCCUCGACAUUCUGCUAGAUCGGAGUCCGUGGAUCGUCAUCGAGCUGAACGUGUGCUAGAACUCAGAGGUGCCAUAGUUUCGGUGCUUGAUCGGUCGGGCCAUGAAGACGCACGACUACAUCAACCGCGUUGUUCUAACGCUUCUGCUUUCGGUCUACGAGGGUACGUGGACAACACUCUCCCCUCUCGUUGCUAUGCAUCACCAUGAUCUUGCGUGUGCGUAGGAAAAUUUUGAAAUUACUACGUUCCCCAACAGUUUAGGAGGAUCAUAGGCAGGAGGCCUGCCUCUUUCGAUCUGUAUCCCAGUUUGUGCUAGCCAUCUUAUGGAAACUUGUUUACUUAUGUUUGUGCUCAGAUUUUGUUGCUUCCGCUUACUCGUCUAUGAUCGAGCACUAGUAUUCAAACCCUCGAGGUCCCUGGCUUGUAUUAUGAUGCUUGUAUGACUUAUUUUUGUUUUUAGAGUUGUGUUGUGAUAUCUUCUCGUGAGUCCCUAAUCUUGAUCAUACACGGUUGCGUGCAUGAUUAGUGUACGAUUGAAUCGGGGGUGUCACACCUUGUCAUGUCGGCAUCAUGAGCACGACCAAUCGUUGGCGAUCUCAGUCUGCCACCCUACUUGGAUCGAUGAUAUCCGAGCUAGCUAUUCAGAUAACCCGCAAGCCAAUAGACUGCUCGAGCAAUUCUCUCAACAUGCAGACCCGAAGGGGCGUUUCUCUGUUUCUGACGUACUGUUGUAUUUCCGACAACGACUAUGGCUGGGGGGCUCGCCCUCGCUUCAGCAAACUAUGUUGCGUGCUUUCCACGAUAGCACUAUGGGUGGUCAUUCGGGCUUCCCAGUGACAUAUCGACGUCUUUGUAGGCUAUUCGCUUGGCCAAAAAUGAAGCAAGCCAUCCGUCAAUAUGUGCAGGGGUGUGCGACUUGUCAACAAGCCAAGCCCGAAAGGAUUAAGUACCCGGGUUUGCUGAACCAAUUCCACUUCCAUAUGGGGCCUGGCAAGUGGUGACAAUGGAUUUCAUUGAUGGUCUCCCUCAAUCCGGCAAGUCUAAUUGCAUUCUGGUGGUGGUGGACAAGUUCACACGCUACGCCCAUUUUCUGCCCCUUCAACACCCAUUCACUGCAGCCAGAGUCGCACGAGCAUAUCUGGACAAUGUUCACAAACUUCAUGGCCUGCCCAAGCCAUCAUCUCGGAUAGAGACCCGGUGUCACAAGUAAGUUUUGGCGCGAACUGUUUGACUGCAUUGGUUCUGAACUAAAGAUGAGCACACCUUACCACCCGCAAACAGAUGGGCAAUCGGAAAGAGUUCAUCAAUGUUUGGAAAUAUAUUUGCGUUGCUUCAUCCAUGCGUGUCCCAAUCACAAGAGCCACUUCCUUUCAUUAGUUGAGUUCUGGUACAAUUCAAGCUACAACUCUGCAUUGGAUAUGUCACUGUUUCAAGCUCUUGUAUGGACAUGAGCCAAGGCAUUGGGGGAUCGAAGCAGCGUCUGUUUGCAAAAUACCAGCUCUAAAGGACUGGCUUGAAGAACGAAAGACGAUGCAACAAGUUCUGCAGCAGCAUCUGCAUCGAGCACGCCACAUUAUGAAAGUCCAAGAUGACAAUAAAAGAUCUGACAGGGUGUUCAAAGUGGGUGACACCAUUUUCGUCAAGCUGCAACCAUAUGUCCAAUCUUCAGUCCAUCGCCGGGCAAACCACAAACUCGCUUUCAGGUACUUUGGGCCGUUCAUGGUGACCCGCAAAAUCAACCCGGUGGCGUACGAACUAGAGCUGCCACCAGAGUCACGCAUACACCUGGUUUUCCAUGUCUCUCAAUUAAGGCAAGCACUCUCAACAUGUACCUUUGCAUCUGCUUCCCUGCCGGUUCCUCGCUCCUUUGAACUAUCUCCGGUUGAACUUUUGGACAAACGCUGGCGGCAAACACCUGAUGGCCGCUGAGAGCAGUAUUUGGUGCGCUGGUCGGAUUCGGAAGUUUUGGACGCUUCAUGGGAAGAUGCUCUCACUCUCAAGGCUUGAUAUCCGGCUGGGGCAGCUUGGGGACAAGCAUGCUCUCAAGGAGUAGGGGAUAUCAGCGACCCAAAUACAGUUACAGUCUCAGGUGACAGGCUUGCUGCCAAAUCAGCAAGGGGAAACAGCAUGGCCGAGGAAAAGGCAACAUACCAUCAAUCAGGGAUAAGGGCGCGUCACCUCCAGGCCACCUCGGAUCAAACAACCUAACCACAGGUACGUGGGGCCAGAGUGGGUGAGCUCUACAUAAUGGACCAGUCGCGAGGGAAUCGUCAUCCGGUAGGAUCAGGCAAUCGGCAAGGCAUGACACGGCUCCUGUAUUUUCUUGCUUUCUUUCUUCCUCCCAAAGACAAAGUGUAUUCCUAUAAGCUACUUGUGAGUGAUAAGUACCAGAUCAGAGAUCCAUUGCCUAACACACCGGUAGCUCCCACCACCGGUAAAAAACACUUUGCAAUGGCCGAAGCUCACCCUGCCGAGCAUUGAUGUCUACUACACAACCUUCUUCUUGUAGACGUUGUUGGGCCUUCAAGUGCACAGGUUUGUAGGAUAGUAGCAAAUUUCCCUCAAGUGGAUGACCUAAGGUUUAUCAAUUCGUGGGAGGCGUAGGAUGAAGAUGGUAUCUCUCAAACAACCCUGCAACCAAAUAACAAAGAGUCUCUUAUGUCCCCAACACACCCAAUACAAUGGUAAAUUGUAUAGGUGCACUAGUUCGGCGAAGAGAUGGUGAUACAAGUGCAAUAUGGAUAGUAGAUAUGGGUAUUUGUAAUCUGAAAAUGUAAAAACAGCAAGGUAACUAAUGAUAAAAGUGAGCAUAAACGGUAUUGCAAUGCUAGGAAACAAGUACUAGGGUUCAUACUUUCACUAGUGCAAGUUAUCUCAACAACAAUAACAUAGAUAGAUCAUAUAACAAUCCCUCAACAUGCAACAAAGAGUCACUCCAAAGCCACUAAUAGCGGAGAACAAACAAAGAGAUUAUGGUAGGGCACGAAACCACCUCAAAGUUAUUCUUUCGGAUCAAUCUGUUCAAGAGUUCGUACCAGAAUAACACCUUAAGACACAAAUCAACUAAAACCCUAAUGUCAGCUAGAUACUCCAUUGUCACCUCAAGUAUCCGUGGGCAUGAUUAUACGAUAUGCAUCACACAAUCUCAGAUUCAUCUAUUCAACCAACACAAAGUACUUCAAAGAGUGCCCCAAAGUUUCUACCGAAGAGUCAAGAUGAAAACGUGUGUCAACCCCUAUGCAUAGGUUCAUGGGCGGAACCCGCAAGUUGAUCACCAAAACAUACAUCAAGUGGCACAUGAUAUCCCAUUGUCACCACAGAUAAUCACGGCAAGACAUACAUCAAGUGUUCUUAAAUCAUUAAAUACUCAAUCCGAUAAGAUAACUUCAAGAGGAAAACUCAAUUCAUCACAAGAGAGUAGAGGGGGAGAAACAUCAUAAGAUCCAACUAUAAUAGCAAAGCUCACGAUACAUCAAGAUCGUGCCAUAGAGCGAACACGAGAGAGAGAGAGAGAGAGAGAGGGAGAGAGAGAUCAAACACAUAGCUACUGGUACAUACCCUCAGCCCCGAGGGUGAACUACUCCAUCCUCGUCAUGGAGAGCACCGGGAUGAUGAAGAUGGCCACCAGUGAUGGGUUCCCCCUCCGGCAGGGUGCCGAAACGGGCUCCCAAGAGGUUUUUGGUGGCUACGGAGGCUUGCGGCGGUGGAACUCCCGAUCUUUAUUGAUAUUGAUGUUUUUAGGGUACGUAGGCUUAUAUAGGCGAAAGAAGUCGGUCGGGGGAGCCUCGAGGGGCCCACGAGAGGGUAGGGCGCGCCCAGGGGGUGGGCGUGCCCCCCUAUCUCGUGGCUUCCUUGAUGCUCCCUUUACUUCAACUCCAAGUCUCCUGGGUCAUAAUCUUCCCAAAAAUCACGCUGCCGAAGGUUUCAUUCCGUUUGGACUCCGUUUGAUAUUCCUUUUCUUCGAGAUACUAAAACAGGCAAUAAAACAACAAUAUGGGCUGGGCCUCUGGUUAAUAGGUUAGUCCCAAAAGUAAUAUGAAAGUGUAUAAUAAAGCCCGUAAUCAUUCAAAACAGAUAAUAAAAUAGCAUGAAUGCUUCAUAAAUUAUAGAUACGUUGGAGAUGUAUCAGCAUCCCCAAGCUUAAUUCCUGCUCGUCCUCGAGUAGGUAAAUGAUAAAAGAAAGAAUUUAUGAAGUGUGAAUUCUAGAAGGUGCACAAGUUUGAUCAAUGAUAAUUUCAAUCACCUUUUCUAGCAUGAUAAUAUGUCAUAACAGUAGUUCAUCUCAUAAAACUUCUCACGAACAAGUAACAAGCUAUUCACAUGUUAAAACAUAGACCAUAAACUUUCUUGAAAACUAGCAAACUUCAUUCUCAGUCAUCAAACAAUUGCAAUUCAUCUUAUUUUCAGGAAUAGCAAACUCCACAUACUCAACUAUCAUAUAGUCUUCUACAAUUGCUAACACUCACGCAAUACUAAUGGUUAUGGAGUUUCAAUCGGACACUGAGAAAGAUAGGGGCUUAUAGUGUUGCCUCCCAACGUAUUCACCUUUGGGUGAUGUCAACAAUAAUAGUUCAUGCUAACUUACAUCCAAUUGGAUGUACAUAUCAGGAUCUUCCCAACACGAGGUGCUUGCCAAAGGAUAAAAUGAAAAGGGGAAAGGUGAAGAUCACCUUGACUCUUGCAUAAAAGUAAAAGACAUAAAGUAAAAGAUAGGCCCUUCGCAGAGGGAAGCAGAGGUUGUCAUGCGCUUUUAGGGUUGGAUGCACAAAAUAUGAAUGCGAAUGAACGUCACUUUAUAUUGCCACUUGUAUAUGGACCUUUACUAUGCAGUUCGUCGCUUUUAUUGCUUCCAUAACAAGAUCGUAUAAAGCUAUUUUCUUCACACCAAAAGAUCAUACAUAUUUAGAGAGCAAUUUUUAUUGCUUGCACCGAUGACAACUUACUUGAAGGAUCUUACUCAAUCCAUAGGUAGGUAUGGUGGACUCUCAUGGCAAAAUUGAGUUUAAGGAUAUUUGGAAGCACAAGUAGUAUCUCUACUUGGUGCAAGGAAUUUUGGCUAGCAUGAGGGGGAAAGGCAAGUUCAACGUGUUUGAAUGAUCCAUGACAAUAUACUUUAACUGAGAUGUGAGAAAACAUAACCCAUUACGUUGUCUUCCUUGUCCAACAUCAACUCUUUAGCAUGUCAUACUUAAUGAGUGCUCCCAAUUAUAAACUAUGUCUAGGAUAGUGUAUUUAUAUGUGAAAUUUCUCUUCCAUCAAUAUUCUUUCAUGAAUUGUUCAAAUGACCAAUACAAUGCUUGCUAACCUUCAAUGAAUUUACAACCUCUACUUCUUAGUGUGAAGUCAUUACUCCCCAUGGGAUAAGCAAACGAGACAUAUAUAAUUUCAGAUUUAUGACAAUCAACUCAUUCAACCAUUUACUCAUAGGAUAUAAGUGAAGCACAUGAGUAAAUGACAAACUACUCCAAAAAGAUAUAAGUGAAGAUCAAUGAGUAGCUAAAUAAUUGUGUAACUAUGUGAAGACUCUCUCUCAUUAAAGAAUUUCAGAUCUUGGUAUCGUAUUCAAACAGCAAGCAAGGCAAAACAAAAUGACAUUGCAAGGAUAGCACAACUCAUGUGAAGAAGCAAAAACUUAGGUUCAACCGAUACUAACCGAUAGUUGUUGAAGAAGAAAGGCGGGAUGCCCACCGGGGCAUCCCCAAGCUUAGAUGCUUGAGACUUCUUGAAAUAUUAUUUUGGGGUGCCUUGGGCAUCCCCAAGCUUGAAUUUUUGUGUCUCCUUAAUUCCUUUCAUAUCAUGAUUUCUCUUUUUAUCAAAAGCUUCAUCCACACCAAACUCAACAAGAACUCGUGAGAUAGGUUAGUAUAAACCAAUGCAAAACCUUAUCAUUUUCUACUGUAAUAAAUCACUAAAAUUAUUAUUCAACAUUGCAUACUAAAUGCCUCUGCAUAUUUAAUACUCCUAUCCUCAAAUAGAAUCAUUAAACAAGCAAACAUAUGCAAACAAUGCAAACAUAACAGCAAUCUGCCAAAAUAGUACAGUCUGUAAAGAAUGCAAGAUUCAUUAUACUUCCCUAACUCCAAAAAUUAUGAGAUAAAAUUACCACUAUAAUAAAUUUAUCAGAGCUCAAAAUGCAAAAAGUUUCAACAUUAUACCAUUCUCUGACUUUUCUAGGGAAUUUCUGCAACAGCGGUAAACUUUCUGUUUUCAAACAGCAACAUGUAUACUAGCAAAAUAAGCAUGGUAAAGGCUAUCCUUGACAUUUUUAUUGAAAAUAAAGAUGCAAAACAUUAUUCCAAAUAACAGCAAGAAAAUACUAACAAAAGAAAAUGACGCUCCAAGCAAAACACAUAUCAUAUGGCGAAUAAAAAUAUAGUUCCAAAUAAAGUUACCGAUGAACAAAGACGAAAGAGGGGGUGCCUUCCGGGGCAUCCCCAAGCUUAGACUCUUGGUUGUCCUUGAAUAUUAUCUUGGGGUGCCUUGGGCAUCCCCAAGCUUAGGCUCUUGCCACUUCUUAUUCCAUAAUCCAUCGAAUCUUUACCCAAAACUUGAAAACUUCACAACACAAAACUCAACAGAAAACUCGUAAGCUCCGUUAGUAUAAGAAAAUAAAACCAUCACUUAGGUACUGUAGUGAACUCAUUAUAAAUUCAUAUUUGUGUAAUAUCUACUGUACUCCAACUUAUCUAUGGUUCAUACCCUCCGAUACUACUCAUAGAUUCAUCAAAAUAAGCAAACAACACAUAGAAAACAGAAUCUGUCAAAAACAGAAUAGUCUGUAGUAAUCUGUAUCAAACGUAUACUUAUGGAACUCCACAAAUUCUACAAAAUUAGGAAGUUCUAAGAAAUUUGUGUACCAAUCCAUAGCAAAAAGAAUCAUAUCAGCAGCACGUUUCUGUGAAUUAAGAAAACUAAUUUACUGGGUGCAAAGGUUUCUGAUUCUCAGCAGGAUCAACACAACUAUCACCGUAAGCUAUCAUAAAGGUCUUACUUGACACUUUAUUGAAACAAAAGCUAAAACAUGAUUACUACAGUAGCAUAAUCAUGUGGACACACAAAAACAAUAAGGAUAAGUAUUGGGUUGUCUCCCAACAAGCGUUUUUCUUUAAUGCCUUUCUAGCUAGGCAUGAUGAUGGCAAUGAUGCUCACAUAAAAGAUAAGAAUUGAAACAUAGCAGGAGCAUCAUGAAGCAUAUGACUAGAACAUUUAAGUCUAACCCACUUCCUAUGCAUAGGGAUUUUGUGAGCAAACAACUUAUGGGAACAAUAAUCAACAAGCAUAGGAAGGCAAAACAAGCAUAACUUCAAGAUUUUUAAGCACAUAGAGAGGAAACUUGGCAUUAUUGCAAUUCCUACAAGCAUAUAUUCCUCCCUCAUAAUAAUUUUCAGUAGCAUCAUGAAUGAAUUCAAAAAUAUAACCAGCACCUAAAGCAUUCUUUUCAUGAUCUAUAAGCAUAGAAAAUUUUCUAUUCUCCACAUAAGCAAAAAUUUUCUCAUUUGGAAUAGUGGGACUAUCAUAAGAGACUUGAACACUAAAAAUUGUUUCCACAUUAAAAGAGUAAUGUUCAUAAAAAGGGUAAUCAUAAUCAUGACAAGUUUUAUAAAUAUAAUCAUCACUACUUCUUAUAGCAUAAGUUUCAUCACAAUAAUCAUCAUAAGUAGCAACUUCGUUCUCAUCAUAAUCGAUUGAAACCUCUCCCAAGAUAGUGGAAUCACUAAAUAAAGUUGAAACUCUUCCAAAUCCACUUUCGUUCCAUCACAAUAAAAUUCAACACCCUCCAAAAUAGUGGGAUCACUACUUCCUAAAGUUGACACUCUUCCAAACCCACUUUCAUCAAUAUAAUCAUCAUAGGUAAGAGGCAUGCUAUCAUCAUAACAACUUUGCAUAUCAAAACUUGGGAUGUAAUAUCAUCUUCAUUAAACAUAGCAUCCCCAAGCUUGGGACAAACAUUAAUUUCAGCAAAUAUAUUCUCAAAUAUUUCAUCCUCAUCAAACAUAGCUUCCCCAAGCUCGGGCCCUUUCAUAUCAUAAGCAUAAUCACUCUCAUCAUUAAAAAUAUGGAUAGCACCAAUACUAUAGCAAUUAUCAUCAUCACAAUGAGUAGUAGGAGCAACAUCAUUUGGGAGGGUUACCUUUCUACCUUUGUUGCUCCUUCUUUUCUUUUUCUUCUUCACAUUAUGUGUGGGUUCAACCUUCUUCUUUGAGCUCCUUAUGGAUGAGAUUGGUUGAAUAGAAAACUCCUCCUCGUUACCUGAUUAAACAUAAGAAAUAAUAGGAGGAUAUUGGGAAGUCUCUUCCCUUUCAUUAGUAUUCUCUUCAUCUUCUAAUUGCUUUCUUUUCUUUAGGUAAUUGGCAAUAUAAGGAUUUUCAAUGCAAUUCACCGCACAAUACAAAUAAAUCUGUUCUAGAUCAAAAUCAAGAAAUCUAUCAAGACUAACUUUUGGAAUAUCCUCAGUUAUAUGUUUCAUUUCUUCAUACCCCAAAAGAAGACUAAGAUCUUUAUGAUGCUCAAGGGUAAUCAAGCUAUCACAAUUUUUGGACACGAUUCGGUCAUGAAACAAUUUGCAUUGGAGAUUUAAAUGACCACGUUCAUUGCAAAGUUCACAAGGAGCACGAAAAAUAUUGAAUUUUUCAGCACAAACAUCAAGACUUUCUUGCAACCCUUUAGUUUCUGAAUAUUUAUGCCUCUUGCAGUAUCUAUUUUCCCUAUUUGGUGUAUACUUGCAAACCCAAUCUACUCCACAAAAAUCAACAUGCUUAUAAGAGACAUUUUCAUCAUAACUAGUGCAAUCAUCAUUAGCACUAUGGAUAUUCAAAGAGUUCAUACUAACAACAUUGCAAUCAUGCUCAUCAUUCAAAGAUUUAGUAUCAAACAUUCUAUAGAUUUCUUCUUCUAGCACUUGAGCACAAUUUUCCUUUUCAUCAUACUCACGAAAUAUAUUAAAAAGACGAAGCGUAUGAGACAAACCCAACUUCAUUUUUUUGUAGUUUUCUUUUAUAAACUAAACUAGUGAUAAAACAAGAAACAAAAAUAUUCGAUUGCAAGAUCUAAAGAUAUACCUUCAAGCACUCACCUCCCCGGCAACGGCACCAGAAAAGAGCUUGAUGUCUACAACACAACCUUCUUCUUGUAGACGUUGUUGGGCCUACAAGUGCACAGGUUUGUAGGACAGUAGCAAAUUUCCCUCAAGUGGAUGACCUAAGGUUUAUCAAUCCGUGGGAGGCGUAGGAUGAAGAUGGUCUCUCUCAAACAACCCUGCAACCAAAUAACAAAGAGUCUCUUGUGUCCCCAACACACCCAAUACAAUGGUAAAUUGUAUAGGUGCACUAGUUCGGCGAAGAGAUGGUGAUACAAGUGCAAUAUGGAUAGUAGAUAUGGGUAUUUGUAAUCUGAAAAUAUAAAAACAGCAAGGUAACUAAUGAUAAAAGUGAGCGUAAACGGUAUUGCAAUGCUAGGAAACAAGGCCUAGGGUUCAUACUUUCACUAGUGCAAGUUCUCUCAACAAUAAUAACAUAGAUAGAUCAUAUAACAAUCCCUCAACAUGCAACAAAGAGUCACUCCAAAGCCACUAAUAGCGGAGAACAAACAAAGAGAUUAUGGUAGGGUACGAAACCACCUCAAAGUUAUUCUUUCGGAUCAAUCUAUUCAAGAGUUCGUACUAGAAUAACACCUUAAGACACAAAUCAACCAAAACCCUAAUGUCACCUAGAUACUCCAUUGUCACCUCAAGUAUCCGUGGGCAUGAUUAUAUGAUAUGCAUCACACAAUCUCAGAUUUAUCUAUUCAACCAACACAAAGUACUUCAAAGAGUGCCCCAAAGUUUCUACCGAAGAGUCAAGACGAAAACGUGUGUCAACCCCUAUGCAUAGGUUCAUGGGCGGAACCCGCAAGUUGAUCACCAAAACAUACAUCAAGUGGCACAUGAUAUCCCAUUGUCAUCACAGAUAAUCACGGCAAGACAUACAUCAGGUGUUCUCAAAUCAUUAAAGUCUUAAUCCCAUAAGAUAACUUCAAGAGGAAAACUCAAUUCAUCACAAGAGAGUAGAGGGGGAGAAACAUCAUAAGAUCCAACUAUAAUAGCAAAGCUCGCGAUACAUCAAGAUCGUGCCAUAGAGAGAACAUGAGAGAGAGAGAUCAAACACAUAGCUACUGGUACAUACCCUCAGCCCCGAGGGUGAACUACUCCCUCCUCGUCAUGAAGAGCGCCGGGAUGAUGAAGAUAGCCACCGGUGAUGGGCUCCCCGUCCGGCAGGGUGCCGGAACGGGCGCCCGAGAGGUUUUUGGUGGCUACAGAGGCUUGCGGCGGCGGAACUCCCGAUCUUUCUUGAUAUUGAUGUUUUUAGGGUAUGUAGGCUUAUAUAGGCGAAAGAAGUCGGUUGGGGGAGCCUCGAGGGGCCCACGAGAGGGUAGGGCGCGCCCAGGGGGUGGGCGCGCCCCCUAUCUCGUGGCUUCCUUGAUGCUCCCUUUACUUCAACUCCAAGUCUCCUGGGUCAUAAUCUUCCCAAAAAUCACGCUGCCGAAGGUUUCAUUCCGUUUGGACUCUGUUUGAUAUUCCUUUUUUUCGAAAUACUAAAACAGACAAUAAAAUAGCAAUAUGGGCUGGGCCUCCGGUUAGUAGGUUAGUCCCAAAAAUAAUAUAAAAGUGUAUAAUAAAGUCCGUAAUCAUUCAAAACAGAUAAUGAAAUAGUAUGAAUGCUUCAUAAAUUAUAGAUACGUUGGAGAUGUAUCAAGCAUCCACGCGAGCCCCCUUGCCGUCGCCCCCAAUCACCGAGAUCAACCGCCCACGGCCCGACCUCGCGCCAAUGGCCAGUCCCAAGCCAGACCUCUUGCGCUGUUUGCACAAGCUGGCCGAGGCUGCUCGCGCUCGUGGAAUCCGUGUGUGCAUCCGCGUGCCCGCACGCCCGAACUCACGCCCAACGGCCCAAGGCUGCUCCCAGAUGGGAGCUCGCGCGCCGGCGACGCCGCCUGCAUGAGCUGGCCGUGGCCGCUCACGCCCGUGGCAUCUAUGCAUGCUGCCGCGCCCGCACGCCUACGACCUCUCCUAGAAGGAGCUCGUGCGUUCGCCCACGGCCACUCCGGCAGGAGCUCAUGCGCCCGUCUGCCCACGACCGCUCCUAGCCGAAACUCGCGCGCCCACGACACCGCCUGCACGGGCUGACCACGAGCUGGCCGAGGAUGCUCGCGCUGCAUCGUGGCUGCCGCGCUCUGGCUGUCAUGCUCGCACUGGCUGCCGCGCUCGCGUGUUCACACAGUCGUGCAUGUGCCGCCAUAGCCGCGUGUGGGCGUGCUGACGGGCCGCUAGCUUGUGUGCUAGCCGCAGCCGAACACUUGCUGGCGUGCUUGCCGUGGCGUGGUAGCUAGACGCCGGUGCUGCUGCUAUGCAUGCGUGCUUGCUCUGGCCAGGGAACGGGUGCUGCCGCUGCAUGCGUGCUCUGUCCGGGCAGCAUGUUUGGCCAGGCAGCCGUGUGCGUGCAGCGCGUGUUCAUGCAAGCGUGCUUCAGCCGGCUGGCGACGACGCAUCCCAUGUGUUUGGUAAAAUGUCUAAAACUAUGAGAGGUUGAAAACAGGGGUCGUGAUUAUUUUGCAGUAAAAAUUAAAGGAUUGCGUGAACGCGCCCGGACGAUGACUCGGUGCGUGCGCGAGCGUUUGGGGUUCCAAAUUAGAUGAUACUUGUUGCAGAUGCUCUUAGGCCGCGGCUAUCUCGCAAUGUCCCGCAACGAAUGUCAGCGGCGAGGAUGUGCGCCGCCUUACCUUGCGCCUCCAACCCAUCCCUCAGACCCAAGGUCCCGAAGCCACCAUGGCUGAUGGCCUCAAGUCCUAGAUCCAAUGGGUUUCCAAUGACUUGGGCUCCAUCUGUGGUUGUCUGAGAGGAUGCGUGCGCCUGUUGUGUAGUCAAUGUGGAUUGCCUUGGCAUCUCUGCUAGAUCUCUGCCUUCUUGCCGCCCCAGAUGGAUCAGGCGUGGGUGUUGCGUAACACAGAUUGGUCUUCCUUGCUCUAGAUCCGAGGACAUGCCAUCCCCUUGGCCAACGGGUCUGGGCAGGGCUAUCUCCGGCUAUAUCACAAUCUGUGGUGAUGUUCUUCAUACACCGUGUUUGUGCAUGUUGUCACCACUUCGGCCUGCGUGGGAUGGGGGAUGGGGUCGUUGGGAUAGUAGUGCCAUCAAAAGGUCUUCUCGAGGGUUUCUCUCUCGAGAACAUGUGGUUGCCUCAGCGUUAGAUGUGAUCUAUGGACGAUGACUUGACACAGAGCUAAUGGUUGUGCAACGGCGAUCAGUUUUCUAGCCCAACUCAUGCACGUGCUAGGUUUAAGGAAAAGUGAUGGUGACGUCACAUGAUUGGCUUUGAUGGUGGUGCUUCUUGAGUGCCUGGUCUCAAGCUUCGAGGUGAAAAUCUAGGUCUAGCCCGAAUUGGUUAUACUUGGUAAUGGCGAUAUUUUUGUGUCGUUACCUUGUUGAAAGCAUUGCUCGGAUAUGCUCGAAUUAGUUUUUAGGGAGAAACCUAGAUUCUGCCUUUUGGUGGUUGGAUCUAGGGACGGUGGCUCUUGAGCAUCGCUCCCUUUCUGAAGACAUUGUUGCUGAAGAACCUCAUUGUCCUUGUGCUGUCAUUGCCCUGGUGCGAAUAUGGUCAUUAUUUUAGUUUGUCAAUCGCGGAUUUGAUCGCUCUGGGUGCAAGUGAAAUUGAGGUUUAUCUUUGCUUAUCACCCACAACCACAUGGCGAGGACAGAGAUGCCAUUUCUAGUCUUGAAACUCUCAUCGAAACAUCGAGAAAUUAUGCAUAUAGAAAACUCUAAAGAAAGAAAGAAAAAGGAGAAUCGUGCCAUGGCAAAACCAGGUGUGCCCCCCGAAGGUAGAAAGCUAUCAUUUUUGUGACUUCAUAAAACACAGCCUCGUUAUUUGCAGAUAAAAUGCCGUACAUUUGGCUUACUGAAUUGGUAAUCAAUCGAGCAAUUCGUUAAACGAUAUAUGUAUUAUGAGUACCUCGAGAAAAUACUUUUCUUGUAAUGUUUUUCCUUUGCUGUUUUUUCUUGGAUCUCUUGUUGAUGAUUCAAAGUACUUGGACCUUUUUUCCUUUUUCCUCUACGUGUAUUUUACAUACCAUAGGUUGAAGGGAAUCACUCUUGGCAACUCCUAGAAUGCCCGUAAUAAUGUAGCUUCCGCAAUAUAAGUUGGUACUACGGUGAGACGUGAAAACACCCGAUCCCAUUCCGAUCUCGAUACAUAUGUGGUGGGCGGACAUAGAAAUUCGAUUUCCAAUAGAGUUGCAAAGGCUACUCGCCUGGGGUCCUGAAUUUCUGGUGGGAGAAUGAUAAGAAAGGAGGAGCGGCUUCAUUUGGUGAUGCUUUUCUUGUUUCUCUGGAUUUAUUAGGCAUAUGCGGCGGGCUAGCAAUCUCUUGAUACUAUGCCUAGCCGCAAAAGGAUUGUAUUAAAGAAAACUAGAAAGCUCAAUUUUCCUCAAGGUCAUAAAGAUAAGUCAUCUAGCGUGGACUUCUGACUCUAAGUGGAAAGUCUUUCUCAUGUGCCUCUUCCAUCCAAAACCGUUUUUCGUGUUUUCGUUUUCCUCGCUUAGGCGUAGUUUUGGUUUUAUAUGACUUUGCUAUUUGCCGGUAUUUCUUAUGUGUGUAUUAGUGUUGAAUGUGUGCAUCCUAUUCGUAAAAACGCCAUGAUGUGUGAUCAUCGUGUUUGUCUCCACUUUAUGCUUCAUCUUGAGUAACUAAAAAUCACCAUUUGUAGAAAAGGAGAUACAAACGGGGUUGUCUAAAGUGCGCGCGUCCGAGCUCUUAGUUUCAGACGGUCCAAUUAAGAAACUGGGGAUGAGAGGGGAUUGGGCAGUAGGGCCCACUCUAAAACUCAAGGGGUGCUGCAAGCACUAUCGCGUCGUCGCCUACGCGCAUUCCGGCCCAUAAUGUUUGCCAAGCGAGCAAUCGAGAAGCAUAAAAAAAGGAGCAACCAACUGUCAUGUAUCCCUUGCGGGAGCCGUGGCGGACACCGUUGUGAGCGCCCUAGUGUCACCACGUUUCGCAUGCAGUGCGUCAUAUUGUUUCCUUUUUUUGCUUAUGUUGUGUUUUUUAAAUUCAUGAGUAUUUGUUGAACUUGUGAAUAUUUUUAAAGUUUUCAAAUAUUUUUGAUAUUUGUCAAUAAUUUUUAAAUUCUUGAAUAUUUUUUAUUUUUAUGAUUUUUUUAGUUCCAUGAACAUUUUUGAAUUCAUGAACAUAUUUUGAGUUUCCUGAUUGUUUGAAUGCACGAACAGUUUUUGAAUUUCAUUGACAUUUUUGAACUCUCAAAUAAAAAAAUUUAUAUCAACAAAUAUUUAAAUUGUUUUUGAAAAAAGCAAACAUUUUUAGAUUUGCAAAUAUUUUUGGAAUCCGCAAACUGUUUUUGAAUGCGUGAUUUUUUUAAUUUCACAAGUAUUUUUAGAAUUCCUGGACAUUUUUUGUAUUUGUGGAUAUUCAUUGAAUUGGUGAAUGUUUUUCUAAUUUGUUUGAACUCCUUUUUUCUGUGUUACGGGUGAACAUAUUUUGAAUACAUGAUUUCUGUCUUCAUGAUUUUUUUUCAAAUUUAAAAUAAAACUGACGUGCGCUUUGUCUCUAGCUCAGCUUUCGCGACCUAGGCCAUGCCCAUGUUGCGCGAUGCAAGCAACGCGAGCGAAGGCGCACCUAUAGGGCGCCCUAUAGGCGCGCCCCUAUUUCUCGCUUUAAGCGAGCAAGGGGUAUAGCUCUCACGUCGGAAAAUAUUCUACACACAAACACACAUACUCUCUCCGUUCUGAAUUACUUGUCGCGGGUAUGGAUGUAUCUAGAUGUAUUUUUGUUAUAGAUACAACCAUUUCCGCGACGAGUAAUUUGGAACGGAGGGAGUAUAUAAAUAUAUUAUAAAUAAACACUUUUUAAAACACAUUUGGAAAAAUGUUGAACAAGUCGCAGGAAAAAUGUUGAAUAAGUAUUAAAAGAAUGUUGAACAAGAAUGUGAAAAACGUUAAACAGGUAUUUGAAAAAGCUCAAUAAGUACUAAAAAUGUUGAACAAGUGUUUUAAAAAUGGUGAAUAAUUAUUAUAAAAUGGUGAACAGGUGUAGGAAAAAUGUUGAACGGGUAUUUAAAAAUAUUGAAUAAGUACUAAAAAUGUUGACCAAGUAUUUGAAACUGUUGAAAUAAAUAUUAAAAAAUGUUGAAGAAAUAUUAAAAAAAUGUUGAAUAAGUAUUAAAAUGUUGAACGAGUAUUUAAAAAAUGUUGAAAAAGCGUUCGGACAAUGUUGAACGUGUGUACAAAAAAUGUUGAUCACUUAUUAAAAGACAUUUUUGACAUAUACAAAAAAGUAGUUUGAAAGCGAAAUCAAACAUAAGGAAAAAAAUGAAGAAGAAGAAAGAAACCAAACAAAUAAUGGAUAAGCAAAAGAUAAAACCAAAAAAAAUGGAGAAAACCAAAACGAAGAAGUCCUAUCAAAAUAAAAAUGAAAAAACAGAAAAAAAAAAAC